CCAAACAAAAGGCACAUCCUUCUUUGUAAGCUCGUUGAGAGGUGCAGCAAUGGUGCUGAAAUAUCUCACAAAACGCCUAUAGAAACCAGCGAGGCCAGGGAAACUCCGCACUUGUGUGACCGUUUUGGGCUGCGGCCAACUCUCAAUAGCUUCAAUCUUGGCUUUAUCAACUUCAAUUCCCUGUGGAGUAACAACAUAGCCAAGAAAAGAUACUCGGUCGGUGCAAAAGGUGCACUUCCCAAGGUUACCAAAGAAACGUGCAUCACGUAGAGCAAUAAAAACAGCACGUAAAUGUUCCAAAUGUUCUUCCAAAGAUUUGCUAUAAAUCAGUAUAUCAUCAAAAUAGACUACCACAAAUCGUCCAAUGAAAGCACGUAAAACUUCGUUCAUUAGUCUCAUGAAAGUACUAGGUGCAUUAGUUAACCCAAAAGGCAUGACUAACCACUCAUAUAACCCAAACUUAGUUUUAAAUGCAGUUUUCCAUUCAUCUCCCAAUUUCAUACGAAUUUGAUGGUAUCCACUACGCAAAUAAACUUUGUAGAAUAUUGUAGAGCCACUCAAUUCAUCAAGCAUAUCAUCUAGCCUAGGAAUAGGAUGACGAUAACGAAUAGUAAUAUAAUUAAUGCCUCUACAAUCAACACACAUACGCGACGUACCAUCCUUUUUAGGCACUAGUAUAAUAGGAACAACACAAGGACUAAGAGAUUCGCGUAUAUAACCUUUGUCGAGCAGCUCAUGUACUUGACGCAUAAUCUCCUUCGUCUCCUCUGGAUUGGUACGGUAUGGUGCACGGUUGGGUAGCGAUGCACCGGGAAUUAUGUCAAUUUAAUGCUCAAUCCCUCGAAUAGGUGGUAAUCCCGGUGGCACGUCUUGUGGGAAGACGUCAGCGAACUCCUGCAAAAUGUUAGUGACAGCAGGGGGCAAAGAGGAAGGCACGUUCUCGAAUGAAAAUAAUGCCUCUUUGCACACAAAAGCAUAGCAAACAGAUUUGCUGAAAUCUAGCUCAUAAAUAUCAGAUUUUGUGGCAAGUAAACAUGCACUUUGCAAUUCAAUUUCAGAAACAACACUAGACGGUUUAUUAUUAGGUUUCAUUUGUUGCUCAAAUUCUUUUGCCACAAUCUGAUUUUCACUCUUAUUUUUCUCCUGUUUUGCUUUAUUAGCUCUAUUAAUGUCAUCUUUCCAAAUGGAAUCAGGGGUCAUAGGAAGCAAAGUAAUAUUUUUAUCCUGAUGAACAAGAGUAUACUGAUUGUUUCUACCAUGGUGUACAGAAUUUUUAUCAAAUUGCCAUGGUCUACCAAGUAAUAAGGAACAUGCUUGCAUGGGUACCACAUCACAAUCAACAUAAUCAGCAUAUGUAGAGAUACUAAAAUGCACACGAACAGUACGUGUUACCUUAACCUUACCGUUGUUGUUGAACCAUUGGAUGUAGUAAGGAUGUGGAUGCGGUCUUGUGGUGAGAGAUAGCUUCUCCACCAUCUCCAUGCUAGCCAAGUUGUUACAGCUCCCUCCAUCUAUGAUGACGCGAAUAGAACGUUCCUUCACAACUCCCUUUGUAUGGAACAAAUUAUGCCUCUGAUUUUGCUCUGCUUGUGUGACCUGCACACUCAAAACACGUUGAGCAACUAAACAUUCAUACCUGUCAGCGUCUUCAGGAGCCAUGUAUUGCGUCUCAUUUUCAGAAUCAUCUCCACCAUGUUCUUCACGUGUAAUAAGAGCCAAAGUCUCCUCAUCAUAGUCACUAGCGGACUCAUACCCACCAUCCUCAGUAGCAAUCAUCACACGCUGAGAUUUGCAUUCUCUCGCAUAAUGUCCUCUUCCCUUACAACGACGACAAAUAAUAUCACUUGUGUGCCCUGUCGAUGCCAUGGAAGAAGAAGAGCUCUGCGCAGGCCCGGCAGGUGUGCUCUUGGCAGAGAGUGGUAGUUGUGCCUGCUUUCUUGUAUCACGGCUGGAGGUGGCACCUGAUGGAGGUGCUGGUGCAGUGGAAGUAGAAGAUGCACGCGGUGUCCAUGAUGAAGGUCGACCUGCAGAAAAGUUAGUUCGCGCCUAUGGCUGUCGAUCCUGCACUUCACGUUCAGCUUUACAAGCAAGAUGGAAUAAACGAGUGAUAUUAUUAUAAUCCUUAUACUCUAGAAUGGUCUGAAUCUCUUUAUUUAAUCCACGCAUAAAACGUGCAAGCAUAGCUUCAUUCUCCUCAACAAUACCACAUCUAAUCAUGCCAGUUUGUAAUUCCUGAUAAUAUUCUUCUACAUAAUUUUUCCCUUGUCUUAAGCGCUGCAAUUUUUGAAGUAAUUCACGUUGAUAAUAUGGUGGUACCCAACGAGUACGCAUAGCAGUUUUCAAAGCAGCCCAAGUAGCUGGAACAGGAUAUAAUCUACAAUGUUCAGACCACCAAACACAUGCAAAGCUAGUGAAAGCACAAACAGCAGCAGGAACACGUCUCUCCUCAGGAUAUUGUAAACAUGUAAAUCGUUGUUCAGUUUCUAACACUCAAGUAAGAUAUAUAUCAGGAACAUAUCUACCCUCAAAUGGUGGAAUAUUCAAUUUCAGUUUAGGGAGAUGGUCAUGAUCUCGUACCUGAGGUGGUGGUGCAGGCCUACCGUUGCGAAUAUAUACCUGAGGUCGACCUGCUGGAGGUGGUGCUGGUGGCUGCACGUAGUUCUGAUUUUGAUCAACCUCAUCCUCAUAAUCGCCCGCAUAAUCGUCAUCCUCCUCAGCCGCCGCAGUAGCAGGAGCCAAAGAAGCAUCAACAGUAGGUGCAGCGGCACCUGAAUUUUGACCAGUCUCAAUUGGAACGCGCUGUGCUCGUCCCACUUGAUUUGGAAGGCGGCGUUGGACAUGUGGUUGUUGUUGUUGUAGCGGUGCGACAUGUGCAGCCGGUGGUGGUUGGGGAAGACACUUGAGUAAUUCAGUAAACUUGUUAUCCAGCUUUGUCUCGAACGACUUCUCCACGGCAUCUAUCUUCUCCAUAGCCUCUUCAAAUCUGUUUAGCACAUCUCCCACCUGGCCACUCAUCAUUUGCUGAAAUUUAUCAUGCAACUCCUUGUUCGUCAUGUUCUCCCAAUCAGUCUCAUCGGCUUGUGAUCCUGCCAUAGUUAGCAGCAAUAGAAACACAAAAGAAUAUGAUCCUGCAGACUACUAGGAAGUGGUGGUGAUGGUGGUGUGUCACAAAACCUUCAAGCGAAUCUCAAAUUCUUACCAGUUCUUACCCAGCAGCAGGUGGUGAUCGGCAACCGUUGUAGUCAAAACUCUCAAAGCUUGGAUAGAGCGAUUACCAGGGAGAGUCAAACGCACGAUGUAGAUGUAUGUGGAGCUGGGAAGGCUUAUAAUAUGGUAGCAAAAAUGGUCAGCAAUAAUCAAUUCAGAGAUGCAAAGUUGAAUAAAGGCUCAACAACGGUACUGUGCUGGUCCUAGGCUAGACCGUGCUAGAGACGCGAGCCUAGAACACUAACAAAAUCACGGCGCUGCACGUUAACAAGGGAAAAGCACACUCUGGAAUUUUUUUUGCUCCUUUUUUUUGCUCUUUUUUUUUGCUCUUUUUUUUGCGAAAAAUCACUAUAAUGGCGAGUGUCUCAAAACUCUUCCCAGGUCAAACUGACAGGAUGGGCACAAAAAAAAUUUGACUAUUUUUUUUCGGAAAUCAGGGCAGCGACGACGAAAAAGUGCGACAAAAAUCACUAUGAUGGCGAGUGUCUCAAAACACUCCCCAGGACCUAAAAAUAGGAUAGGGAAAAAAUAUUUUUGGUUGCCGAAAUUUUGGCCUAAAAACUGCCCGGUGGCGGAUAAGCAAUGGUGGUAGAUGGCAAGGCGAUGAUGGUGCGGCGGCGGCGUGACAACUUAUGACCAGAACUCGAAACUCUAAAAGACUAGACUCUAAGACCAGCAACUUGACACGAUGAUGCAACCGCAAAUUCAACAAAGCAAAAACCCUAAAAAGAUUAUGCAAAAGCUCAGAUUGGUUCGGAUAUACUGAACUAACCCUAUUUUUUUUGGCUUUUUCGUGGACUGUAGGUAUGAAGAACAGACUCGAUCUAAACUACGAAAAACUGUAAAAUCUCACCGAGCAACCUGGAAAUCAGAUACCACUUGAUAGAGGCAAAGGUGUCCCAUCUUUCGAUGAGAUGAUGGAUAUCGCUAUGAUGAAAGUCGACUUUGACGAUCCGACUACGAACGUGCGAGGACGUCGCGCCUUAACAAUCGCUAAACCAACUCCGAGAGGUUACUGACCACGCCGGAGCACGAUCAACCUGACCACGCGGGUCUGUUUCCUGCGAGCAAACGAAGGACAAGCAAGAAACAGAGAUUGCAAUCUGGAUAUUGCGAAUAUAAAAUGAAAGCUUUAUUGAUCAAGGUGGGGUUCUGUGACGCCUUUGUCUGGUCGUUGAACACAAACGAAGUACGCGAAGUUGCAGCUAUGGCGAACUUUUAAUCUAAACAGAACCCAAAGUCUAAACGGUUCCCUAAGGGCUGUAUAUAUGGAGGAAGAGGGGGGAAUUUCGUGGUCCUUGGAGAAGGGGUCCGAAACCAACCCUAUCUCUUGUUUCCCCACACACACGGACUCUAAAAACAACCUAUACUUAUGUAUUUCGAAAUUACAUGGGCCUGGCCCAAUAAUAAGGUGACGCAGCACCUAGAAUAGCCUCUGGACGAAAUUUAUGAAGUGGCAUCUUGUAUAUUUCGUCCAAGGCUUCAUUCACUCCUUAUGGUGGCUUCAAAGUCCUGAAAUAAUCACUGGUAACUCCGUUCUUGUUCCCUUUGCGCAUGCCAGCAACUCCAUGCUUGUUCUUGCUCCAAUGUUCAUCCUUCUCCAAGCCAGGCCCUUCAUUUGUAAGCAAAACAAAAGUAUCCAAUUUAGGCAGCAUCAUAUUCUCAUGAACAUUAGAAUCAUUACCAAGAAACGAAAGUACCUGGUAAUUUAAUUGGCGUGCGCGAGCUCUAGUAAUUGGUCCAUUAUAUGUAACAGUAGGGGUUGUGGGUGUAACAAUGGUAUUGAUGUCCUCAUCAAAAGUGGUCCACCUCUGAAUGUAAUCCCUCAAAGUUUCAUUCUGUUUUUGUACGCAAUGCUGUAGUUCUGCCAACCUUGCAGGUCGUUUGCAUGUGCCCUCAAAUGUCCUGACAAACACUCGGGCCAACUCUUCCCAACUGAAUAUACUUCUUGGAGCCAACUGAUUCAGCCAUGCUCUGGUCGAACCCUCUAACAUCAGGGGAAGAUGCUUCAUGGCUACCUCAUCAUUACCACCACCGAUCUGUACAGCCACUCGGUAAUCCUCCAGCCAAGUGUCAGGGUUCGACUCACCGGUGAACUUGCUCACUCCCGUUGCCAACCUGAAGUUGGGAGGAAUCUCAGUGGCUCUGAUAGCUCUACUGAAACACUCAGGUCCGGAGACAUGAACUCUGCUGCCAGUCGAGCGGUCUCUGUUGAGUCCUUCCCUGUGUGCUCUGUUCAUGUCGACCAGGCCUUGAACGAGGAUCGACCUCGCAUCAAACCCUGGCUACCUUGGGUCAACUGGGACCCUCCGCUCAUCGUUGUACUGGCGCCUGUCAUCAUAUUGCCGGGGCACAUAUGAUCUGCUCCUCGGAGGGGGUGUAGGCACUCGACGACGAUCAUCACGGCCGAGUCGAUGAUCAUACUGCUCGUGAUUCCGACCCAAAUACUGCUCUUGGCGAUGCUCACGUCCCUCACGACGCAGGGGCGAUCUUGGGCUGUGAGCCGACUGUAUUGUGUCAGCCACCACAGAUCUGCUGUGGAUCCUGUUGCAAGACUAAGAAACAACUGUGUUUUGUUCUCCUGCUGCCCAGAGCAGCGCCCUGGUCUGCAUCAAACCUCUUCCAGCAUCUGACUGGGAUGGCUGGAUUGACUCUGCUAUACGGGUUGCAGCUGUAAGAUUCUGAAUCGGAGUGCGGUAUACCUGAGGUCUAGGCGGGAACAACUAUUGCCGUUGACUGGAUUCGGGAAUCUGCUGCCGAGCGCGCUCGUCGAGUGAAUGUUCAAGGCUCUCCAGCCAUGCGCGCUCAGCCAAAGUGGCCAGGCGCGCAGCCUCCAAGGCCCGGGCCUCGGCGGUCUCCUCGGCGAUGGAGUGUGGAGGGCCUCCUCGUUGCAGCGGUGCGGCUCCUCCCUCUGCUGCAAAGUGAGCGCUUCGGGAUGAUAUUGCUCAUGAACACGCGAUGGAUCGUUGCCGCCGUCGCCACGACGGAAACUAGGCGGGUUGCGUGGCGUGUCGACCAUCAGGACUUCUGCAGCGGGGUCGCUGCUGUCGCACUCGGACAGAGUCUCGACGGAGCCAGUCGACAGGUCGAAUAGCCCGUAGAGAGAUUCGUCGGGCUCAAUUGCCGCGACUUGAGGGGUGGCCGACUGACGGGCCACCGCGUGCUUCAGCCACGGCUGAAGCCGCGAUUGACCAGAUCGCUUAGGGCGACGAGCAGCAGGAAGCAAAGACGUUGCGGGAGCCGGCUGAUAAUGAGUCGACGGCUGCCACAGAAGAACGCCGCGGACGCACGCGCAAAAGUGCGUCGCCCCACGGACGGGGAGCGCCUCGACGUCGAGGGGGGCCUCCUGGAGCCAGGCGGAGUCGUCGGCGACGAAAACGAGCGUGCCGAGACGGAUCUCACGGCCCUCAGCCAACCCACCGCCGGAAACCAUGAUGAUCGGAAUCGGAAAAAAUCGCAACCUCACCGGAAAGUCGCUAAGACACCUGCCCCACGGUAGGCGCCAACUGUCGUGGUUCUAAGUCUGACAGUAGAAUAGGGGGUACGUAGGAGGAGGCAAGAUCCUAGCUACGAUGAGGUUGUGCACGCAAGAUUUACGAGUUCAGGCCCUUCCCGGAGGAAGUAACAGCCCUACGUCUCGGUGCCCGGAGGCGGUCAACCGGAUUAUGCGUGAAGUUACAGGGGGUGCGGACCCUUGUGCCAGUGGAGGGGGUGGCUUAUAUAGAGUGCGCUAGGACCCCAGCCAGCCCACAUUACAAGGGGUUCAAUGUACAUAAAGGUGGGACGUUACUGGUAACGCCAACAAUAAAGGCAUAUAAAUGAUCAUUAAGACUACAGAGUGAACGCCUGGCCGUUGUCAUCCUGAGAGACUUUUGAUCUUCUGUACUCCGAGUGAUUUCUGAUAUGAUCGAAUGAGUAUAUCCUGGUCGAAUGGAAUUGGGUUGUCCGAGUGGAAUUGUUGGUCGAGUGGGUGGCACUCUGAGGUGAUUUCAGUCGGUAGGUGCUGCUGUACUUUGAAUGUCUUUGACUGUAGGAUAGUGUCCUUGGGUAGGGUGUCUAGGUCAGGCCUAUUGCCCUAUCCUAGGUAUGUGUCAUCGUCAGGCAUGCCUGUCAUCUCAGUUAAAAUAGGAAAUCACUGUUAUCAUGGUUUAUGUGACAUGGGUGCUAGUGUGAGUGCUAUUCCUUACACCUUAUAUCAAGAAAUUAUGAAAGGCAUAGCACCUGCAGAGAUAGAAGACAUAGAUGUUACUAUUAAACUUGCUAAUAGAGACACCAUAUCACCAUUUGGGAUUGUUAGAUAUGUUGAAUCUUGAUGUAGGGUGGUACCCUAGAUGGCCGAUCUUUCACGAAAGGAGUGGAACCCUACGAAGAACGCGAUGAACACGAGGGGAAACACGAGGGGAACACGAGAGAAAUCCCUCAACCAACAAGAAUAGAUCACACAUGCGCUAGAUCGAUGAACACAAAGGUGAGAUACAUGAUCCAAAGUCAACAAAGGACGAUACAUAGGGUAACCGGUUCUUCUUCGUGAGGAGGUCUUGAGGGGGCCGCCCAAGAGGGGGUCUUGAAUCCAAGGGGAUCUUCUCCGUAGAGGGGUCGCGGUCUCUCUCGUGGAGUAGAUCCCUAAUGGAUGAGCAAAGCUCUAUCUCACAUAUGAGCUAAUCCUUUGCUAACCCUAGAAAGAGGAAGGGGAUGGAGUAUAUAUAGUCUAGGGGGCGAAGAGGUACAUGGGCCUCGGCCCUUUACUGUGCGCAAACAGGUGGAGCCAGAUGUCUGGGCGUCGGGCCGGAUGUCCGGGCCUUCAGGAGGUGCCGGAUGUCCGGGCUGGGGGGCGGAUGUCCGGGCUGGCGCGGCUGCGUUCUGUGCUCUCUGGAUAGGCGGGGCCGGAUGUCCGGGCUGGUGGCCGGAUUCCGGGGCUUCGGGAGGAGCCGGAUGUCCGGGCUGGGGGCCGGAUGUCCGGGCUGGCGGCGAUAGUUUCUGUAGGUUCUGGUGCAUGGCGCCGGAUUUCCGGGCUUCUGGCCGGAUGUACGGGCUCGGUCCGGAUGUACGGGCUCGGUCCGGAUGUCCGGGCGGGGGCAGGAUGUCCGGGGCCUGUAGAUGUUGGGCGGCUGGGAUGUGGCUGUAGUAGAUGUCUCCAGCGGCCGGAUGUCCGGGGCUGGGGCCGGAUGUCCGGGCCCUGGAUCUGUCUUCUUCUCCUUCCGGCGGUUCUCUUCAUCCGUGAACUUGGCGGCUUGUCCGUCUUCACGUGCAUCCUCGGGAGGUUCCUCUUGACACCUAAUCAUGCAUAGCAUAUCGGACUUAGGUAGUAGCCAUGUCUCGAGUGGAUCAUAUGUGAUAUCACUAAGGAAGGAAGUCACCUCGUUCUCGAGAGCUCUAGCUUGUGCUCGUGUCAUGGGUCCUCUUGGCUCUUGAUGAGACGAUGGUAGAUCCAUGGGGAUGAUCAUGGGAUGCUCCGCAUCAUCUCCCCUCCCUUGGGAAAGAUCCGACCUCGGAUCGAAAUCCUCAUCACCAUGGUACGGGGAGAGAUCUUUGAUGUUGAAGAUGUCGCUCACGGAGUACUUGUCGCGUGGGAUGUCGAUCUUGUAUGCGUUGUUGUUGUAGCGUGCAAGCACCUUGAAGGGUCCAUCGGCUCGUGGUAGAAGUUUGGACUUGCGCUCGUUGGGGAAACAGUCCUUGCGAAGGUGUAGCCACACAAGAUCUCCAACUUGGAACAUCAUGGGUUGCUUGUUGACGUUUAGCUUGGUCGCGAGUCAUUGUACUUGGCGCUCGAUGGUGUUCCUUGUAUCUUCAUGCAUCUUCUUGAGGAGGUUGACUCGGGCACUCGCGUCCAUGUUUGUGCGCUCUUGUAGCGGUAGAGGUAGAAUGUCCAAUGGUGACAAUGGGUUGAAUCCGUAGACGACCUCGAAGGGGGACUUGCCGGUAGUCGAAUGUCUUGCACGAUUGUAGGCGUACUCGGCGAUAGGUAGGCACUCCUCCCACUCCUUGAUGUUCUUCUUUAUCAACACGUGUAGUAGAGUGGAGAGUGUGCGGUUCGUCACCUCUGUUUGGCCGUCGGUUUGUGGAUGGUAUGCCGAAGAGAACAAAAGCUUGAUUCCGAGCUUGGCGCACAAGGUCUUCCAAAAGUAACUCAAGAACUUGACGUCGCGGUCCGAGACAAUCGUCUUUGGCACUCCAUGAAGGCGCAAGAUUUCCCUACAAAACAAAUUUGCAACAUGUGAAGCAUCGUCUAUCUUGUUGCAAGGAAUGAAAUGUGCCAUUUUGGAGAAUCGGUCCACAACAACAAAAACGGAAUCCUUGCCAUUUCGAGUUCUAGGCAAACCAAGCACAAAAUCCAUGCUAAUAUCUUCCCAUGGGUGAUAUGGAAUUGGAAGUGGCAUAUAGAGGCCAUGAGAAUGGGCUUUAGACUUAGCUUUGCGACAUGUAGAGCACCGGUUGGUGAAGCGAUUGACGUCGCGAAACAUCUUGGGCCAGAAGUAGUUCUUGGAGAGCGUAGCAAAUGUCUUGUCGUGUCCAAAGUGUCCCAUGAGUCCGCCUCCAUCAGAUUCAUGCAAAAGCAACAAGCGAAGAGAGGACCCGGGAACCAAAGUUUGUUAGCUCUCAUAAGAUAUCCAUCUUUGAUGUAGUAUCGAUCCCAAGAAGUAUGCGUCAAACACUUGGCAUAAGGAAUAGCAAAUGUAGGAUCAUGCUCAUACAAGUCUUUUAUAUGCUCAAAGCCAAUGACAUUUAACUCAAGUUGAGUAACAAGCAUGCAUAUACGGGAAAGCGCAUCCGCCACAACAUUUUCCUUACCUUUAAUAUACUUGAUGACAUAAGGAAAUGACUCAAUAAACUCACUCCAUUUAGCAUGAUGCUUGUUCAACUUAGUUUGACCCUUAAGGUAUUUAAGCGUUUCAUGGUCGGUAUGGAUAAUGAACUCGUGAGGGCGAAGGUAAUGUUCCCAUUCAUGCAAAACUCGCACUAAAGCAUAUAGCUCUUUGUCAUAGAUGGGAUAAUUUAGUUGCGCUCCGGAGAGUUUCUCACUAAAUAAGCAAUUGGCGCUUCUCUUGUGUUAACACACCUUCUAUGCCAUUACCACUAGCAUCGCAAUGAAUUUCAAAAGGUUUGUCAAAGUUGGUAAUGCAAGCACGGGUGCAUGAGUAAGCAAAUUCUUAAGCUCAUUGAAAGCGAUAUCUUGGGAUGUUCCCCAAACAAACGGUGCAUUUUUCUUACUCAAAGCAUGCAAAGGUGAAGCAAUGGUGCUAAAAUCCUUCACAAAUCUACAGUAGAAACCGGCUAAACCAAGAAAACUACGCACUUGUUGCAAAUUGGUUGGUUGGGGCCAAGUGUUAAUAGCAUUGAUCCUAGAUUCAUCAACAUGAACACCCUUAGAAGAUACUACGAAACCCAAGAAAACAAGCUUAUCAACACCAAAUAGGCAUUUUUCCAUAUUAGCAUAAAGUUGCUCUUUUCGAAGAGUUUGUAGCACGGUGCGAAGGUGGGUGACAUGUUCUUUGAGAGAUUUGCUAAACACAAGGAUAUCAUCAAAGUAGACAACAACAAAUUCACCAAUGUAAGGGCGAAACACAUAAUGCAUAAGGCGCAUGAAAGUACCGAGUGCUUCCGAUAAACCCAUAGGCAUGACUAACCACUCAUAUAUACCAAACUUUGUUUUGAAAGCGGUUUUCCAUUCAUCACCCUCUUGUGUUUUGUUUGUCGGCGAGCACUUGGCUUGGAGACAUAGGCGUAGCACAAACUCUUUCCCUUUCAUCUUGAAGCUAUAGUAAUUUGUACGCCCAUUGUGAAUGACACCUCGGUCAAAUUGCCAUGGACGUCCAAGAAGGAGGUGGCAAAUGGUCAUCGGAAGGACAUCACACUCCAAAGUGUCUUCAUAGGCGCCGAUCUUGAAAGAGACUUGUACCCUAUGCUCGACUUGUAUGGUGCCGGUGCCGCUUAGCCAUUGAACCUUGUAGGGGUGAGGGUGCUUCAUCUUGACCAAUUGGAGUUUGGAGCAUAGUUCAUCACUUGCCAAGUUAUGGCAACUCCCUCCAUCGAUGAUGACCUUGACGGACCGUCCAUUGAUGCCGGCCUUUGUGUGGAAGAUAUGGCAUCUUUGAUUUUCGUCUUGUUGAUGUUGAAGAGUCAAGACCUUGGAGACAACAAGAGCGGGACUUGAGUCUUCGUCACAAAAGAUGUGAUCAUCUUCUUCUUCAUUGUUCACUUGUCGGUGCAUGGCCACUUGCUCAAGGGCUUCCAUUUCUCCUUCACUCAUGGAGUCAUAGGUUCCGUCGUCAUUGAGGAUCAUGGUGCGCUUGUUUGUGCACUCGAAGGACUUGUGGCCUCGGCCUCCGCAUGUUUAACAUUUGAUGGAACUUAUCUUGAUGGUCUCAUCGGUUGGAGUAGAUGAUGAUGAAGCUUUCUUGAAGUUGCUUGUAGUAGGAGGACGACUUGAGCAUGUCGAAGCUUUCUUGUAACUUGACUUGUCGCUGUUGCUUAUAGAUGGCUUGGUUGAGGUAGAAUGUGUUGGAGUCGUUGAAGCUUGAUUGUUGGAGAGGCCAUAGGACUUGGAUGAGAACUUGGCAUACUUGAAGUCAUCGUGUACUUGUCGUUCCGCUUUGGUAGCUUGGUGCACUAGCUCGAUGAGGUUCGAGUAUGGUUGGAAGUCGGCAAUCUUCUUGAUAGGGUGAUUGAGUCCAUUCAAGAAACGUGCCAUAGUUUGCUCAUCAUCUUCUUUGACAUUGGCUCGUAUCAUGGCAAUCUCCAUUUCCUUGUAGUAUUCUUCAACGCUCUUGGUUCCUUGCUUGAAUUGUUGGAGUUUCUUGAAGAGGUCGCGGUUGUAGUAGUUUGGCACGAAUCGUGCUCUCAUGACAUCCUUCAUUUGUGCCCAAGUGAUGAUGGGUGGUUCACCUCUUGCCGCUCGGCGCUCAAUGACUUGUUCCCACCAAAUGAGGACGUAGUCUUGGAAUCCAAGGGAUGCCAUUGCGAUCUUCUUCUCUUCUUCGUAGUUGUGCAAGCGGAAGAUUUUGUCAACCUUCAAUGCCCAUGAGAUGUACUCUUCGGGGUCAUUGCUUCCGGUAAACUUGGGCAUGGUGAACUUUAGCUUGCCAUAUCAUUGCUCUUCAUUGUGUUGGGGUCGGGGAUGAUGACGCCCAUGUCGGUGAGGAUUGGCAAUCUCAUGUUGCUCUUGGCGAGGAGGGUUGUCUUCCUCAUGUUGCUCUUGGCGAGGAGGGUUGUCGACCUCAUGUUGCUCUUGGCGAGGACGGGGUCCAUUGUCGUCUUGCUCUCGAUGGACUUGAUGUUCUUGUCUCGCUUGAGGAGGAGCUUGUCGAUCUUGACGAGGAACUUGUCGAUCUUGACGAGGAGCUUGUCGAUGCACACGUGCUUGGUAAAUCCUUUCUUGAGCUUCGUCGCGAAGUGCUUCUUGAUGUAGUCGAGCUUGUCGGCCUCGAUUGGCUACGGCACGAUUUGAAUCUUGGAGGGCACGUUCCGCCUCAAGUGCUUGAGCUUCACGUAGUUGUUGUUCUUGACGUUGCGCCUCGGCGUCUUGCGCAUCUUGAUGUUGUCGCGCUUGCUCCUCUUGUUCUUGUUGUCGUUGGUGUUGCCGUUCUUGUGCUUGUGCGAAAGCAGCUUGGUUUUGACGAUGUCGAUGCUCUUGAGAGUCGGUGUCGUGUAGAGGAUUGUGGUUAGCUUGAUGGUCUUGACGCGCGGCACGACGAAGAGUAUUCGAUGUCGGUGUACUUGAACAGGAGAGGUGUCGUCGGAGUGACGACUUGAGCGGCUCCGUCUUGACGAGGACGAAGUUGUAGAAGAGCGGACCAUCAUGGUUCGGAUAUCUUCUUUGAGGGAACUCAUGGAUGUGUCGAAGUAGUCUCUUGUACGUUGCUCGGAUUGUCGUAGGUCGGUGGCGAGAUUGUCGAUGCGGUCGCCCAAAGCAAGUUGUUCUUGAUGCAAAGCCCGAUGUGCACCAAAUAGUUGAGUCUUGGUGACGUAGGAUGACAUGUCGUCGUCUUGCUCCAAGAAGUGUGGGUUGGUAGAAGUACUUGGCUUAUCCAUCAUUCCAGACAAAGAUAUGUGAGUGGGAGAAAGAGAAGAACCAAUACCAAAUGUACCUUGACCGAUGUUGAAAAUGGAUCAAAGAUCACUCCAAUGUGUAGCAAAGAAAUAGCACAAUUGGUACCAAUUCUUGUCGGUUCUCACACCUACACAAGUAACAGCUUAUGGUGGAGCUUGGUUAGGAUGGUGGCACAAAAUUUGAUGCAAUUGUAAGUGAGACUCAAUAAUGUUGGAAAAGAUUCACAAAUUUGCGAAUGCAACAAGUAGACCAAUAGCAAGAUAUGGUACACGGAAACACACACGCAAAUAGAUAAUGUGGGGUUGGGCAACCAAGGAUGAGCCAAAAUGUGGAAUCCACCAAGAUGCUCUUGUUGCACAACACUAGAGAGACGCUAGCACGAUUGCACAAUAGGCGGAUACAAACUUGUGCGCAACCUACUAAGAAAAAAUGCAACGACUUCUAUCCCAAGUAUGCUAUAUGUAUGAUGUUCCUAUACGUUGAUCCAAGAUGAUCGAGUAUGACAAUUUUAAUGUUGUAUGAUGCUAUGGUUCUUGCUUAUAAGCUUUUUGCUUAUCUUUCCCUUUUGCUUAAAAGCUUGUUUGGCUCUUUGUUGUUUGAGCUCUUUUCUCAUGCAAUGCUUCACGAACCAAGAUAGCAAUUGUGUAUACGAAAGACAACUUUGUGACACAAGAGAUGAUACCAAGAUAUGCAACACAAUGAUGGUAUGUAUGCUAUGGGAAGUAUGAACACUAAUGUGCACAAGUCACGUUGCCGGCAAUACUCAAAGGCUAGUCUCGAUGGGUAAGUGACGCAAAAGUAAGGCUAUGGUGUUAUCAAUGCAAAUGCAAGAGAGUAUGAUGAUAUCACGAUACCAAAGUGAUACCAAGGUGAGGUGAUACCAAAGUGAUGUAGCCAUUCAUAGUAGUCCUUGGCGAAGAUGAGCGGUGGUGAUGUUGAUGCCGAACCGUACCUAGAUAGCCGAAACACAAUAGGACACGGAAACCACAACUCAAAUUCUCAAAGCAAAACGGAUCAAAAUUGUCGGAGUUGGUAGUGGGAAAGGCUAUGGUGGUGCUAUGCGAAAGUGGUGGUGGUAUGCGGAAGUCUAUGUGGGCUCCGGAACAAAAUUGGACGAAAGUUAGGCGGGAAACGGAGUGGAGGAUGGAAGUGAUGCUGUUAGGGGCCGGAUGUCUGGGCUGAAGGCCCGAUGACCGGGCCGGGCCGGAUGUCCGGGCUCGGGAUCCGUGGAUGAACUCGAAGAACACCGCGUGGAGAGGUCAAAUCCGGGGUAAAAUUCGGAAGAUUUUGUGGAUGGAAUUUGGGGAAAAGAUGGGGAAAAGCUAGAUCUGCCUGCAACACACGAAAUCUGCGGAUCAAAUCCAACAAAACAUCAUCACACCAACAAAUCACAAAAAAAAAUUGGGGCUAUUUUUGUGGGGCAAUUUUUGGAUUAGGACGAAAAACAACAAAAUCAAGCUAGAAAACAAAGAGAGGGGGCUCCGAAAUCGUGAUCAACGUGGCUCAUGAUACCAAGAUGAUGUAGGGUGGAACCCUAGAUGGCCGAUCUUUCAUGAAAGGAGCGGAUCCCUACGAAGAACGCGAUGAACACGAGGGGAAACACGAGGGGAACACGAGAGAAAUCACUCAACCAACAAGAAUAGAUCACACAUGCGCUAGAUCGAUGAACACAAAGGUGAGAUACAUGAUCCAAAGUCAACAAAGGAUAAUACAUAGGGUAACCGGUUCUUCUCCGUGAGGAGGUCUUUAGGGGGCCGCCCAAGAGGGGGUCUUGAAUCCAAGGGGAUCUUCUCCGUAGAGGGGCCGCGGUCUCUCUCGUGGAGUAGAUUCGUAAUGGAUGAGCAAAGCUCUAUCUCACAUAUGAGCUAAUCCUUUGCUAACCCUAGAAAGAGGAAGGGGAUGGAGUAUAUAUAGUCUAGGGGGGCGAAGAGGUACAUGGGCCUCGGCCCUUUACUGUGCGCAGACAGGUGGAGCCGGAUGUCCGGGCUGGCGCGGCUGCGUUCUGUGCUCUCUGGAUAGGCGGGGCCGGAUGUCCGGGCUGGUGGCCGGAUUUCUGGGGCUUCGGGAGGAGCCGGAUGUCCGGGCUAGGGGCCGGAUGUCCGGGCUGGCGGCGAUAGUUUCUGUAGGUUCUGGUGCAUGGCGCCGGAUUUCCGGGCUUCUGGCCGGAUGUCCGGGUUCGGGCCGGAUGUCCGGGGCCUGUAGAUGUUGGGCAGCUGGGAUGUGGCUGUAGUAGAUGUCUCCAGCGGCCGGAUGUCCGGGGCUGGGGCCGGAUGUCCGGGCCCUGGAGCUGUCUUCUUCUCCUUCCGGCGGUUCUCUUCAUCCGUGAACUUGGCGGCUUGUCCGUCUUCACGUGCAUCCUCGGGAGGUUCCUCUUGACACCUAAUCAUGCAUAGCAUAUCGGACUUAGGUUAGCCAUGUCUCGAGUGGAUCAUAUGUGAUAUCACUAAGGAAGGAAGUCACCUCGUUCUCGAGAGCUCUAGCUCGUGCUCGUGUCAUGGGUCCUCUUGGCUCUUGAUGAGACGAUGGUAGAUCCAUGGGGAUGAUCAUGGGAUGCUCCGUAUCAAAUCUUGUGUGGGAAAAUAAAAUCCCCUACUGAUUUUCUUGUUCUUGGUUCCCCACAAGAUGACUUCUGUCCCAUUAUCUUUGGUAGAACUUUCUUGAACACAGUUAAUGCUAAGAUAGAUUGUUAGAAAUAAACUGUUGGUGUUAGUUUCGGUGAUGAGUCUCAUGAUUUUAUUUUUUCCAAGUUUAGUAGAAAUCUUCAUGAAAAAGAAUUGCCUAGUAAGGAUGAAUUAAUUGGUCUUGCUUCUAUUGUUGUACCACCUACUGAUCCUUUAGAAAAAUAUUUGCUAGACCAUGAAAAUGAUUUACAUAUGCAUGAAAGAAAUGAAAUAGAUAAGAUUUUCUUUGAACAACGUCCUCUACUUAAACACAAUUUGCCUAUUGAAACUCUGGGAGGUCCUCCUCCACCUAAAGGUGAUCCUGUGUUUGAAUUAAAACAACUGCCAGACACUUUGAAAUAUGCUUAUCUUGGUGAAAAGAAAAUAUAUCAUGUUAUUAUGAGUGCUAACCUUUCAGAACAUGAAGAAGAAAGAUUAUUGAAAGUUCUAAGGAAGCACCGAGCUGCUAUUGGAUAUACUCGUGAUGAUUUAAAGGGCAUUAGUCCCACUCUAUGUCAGCACAAAAUUAAUAUGGAACCUGAUGCUAAACCCGUUGUUGAUCACCAACGUCGGUUAAAUCCGAAGAUGAAAGAGGUGGUAAGAAUGGAAAUAUUAAAACUUCUGGAAGCAGGUAUAAUUUAUCCCAUAGCUGAUAGUAGAUGGGUAACUCCUGUUCAUUGUGUCCAUAAGAAAGGAGGUAUUACUGUUGUUCCUAAUGAUAAAAAUGAGCUUAUUCCACAAUGAAUUGUUACAGGCUAUAGAAUGGUAAUUGAUUUUAGAAAAUUAAAUAAAGCAACUAGAAAAGAUCAUUACCCUUUGCCUUUUAUUGAUCAAAUGCUUGAAAGAUUAUCUAAGCACACACACUUUUGCUUCCUUGAUGGAUAUUCUGGCUUUUCACAAAUACCUGUUUCUCAACCUGAUCAAGAAAAGACCACUUUUACUUGUCCUUUUGGAACCUAUGCUUAUAGACGUAUGCCUUUUGGUUUAUGUAAUGCACCUACUACCUUUCAAAGAUGUAUGACUGCUAUAUUCUCUUAUUUUUGUGAAAAUAUUGUUGAGGUUUUCAUGGAUGACUUUUCUAUUUAUGGUAAGUCUUUUGAUGAUUGUUUAAGCAAUCUUGAUCGAGUUUUGCAGAGAUGUGAACAAACAAAUCUUGUCUUGAAUUGGGAGAAGUGCCACUUUAUGGUUAAUGAAGGCAUUGUCUUGGGUCAUAAAAUUUCUGAAAGAGGUAUUGAAGUGGACCAAGCUAAGGUUGAUGCCAUUGAGAAAAUGCCAUGUCCUAAAGAUAUAAAAGGUAUCCGUAGUUUCCUAGGUCAUGCUAGUUUCUAUAGGAGAUUUAUCAAAGACUUUUCUAAAAUUUCUAGGCCUCUUACUAGUCUUUUGCAAAAGGAUAUUCCUUUUGUUUUUGAUGAUGAUUGUUUAGAAGCCUUUGAAACACUCAAGAAAGCCUUAAUUUCGGCACCUAUUGUUCAACCACCUGAUUGGAACUUGCCUUUUGAAAUUAUGUGUGAUGCUAGUGAUUAUGCUGUUGGUGUUGUUCUAGGACAAAGAGUUGGUAAGAAAUUGAAUGUUAUUCAUUAUGCUACUAAAACUCUAGACAGUGCUCAAAGAAAUUAUGCUACUACUGAAAAAGAAUUCUUAGCAGUGGUGUUUUGCUUGUGAUAAAUUUAGAUCUUAUAUUGUUGAUUCCAAGGUAACUGUUCACACAGACCAUGCUGCUAUUAAAUAUCUUAUGGAAAAUAAAGAUCUAAACCUAGACUUAUUCGUUGGGUUCUCUUGUUACAAGAAUUUGAUUUACAUAUUAUUGAUAGAAAAGGAGCUGAGAACCCCGUAGUUGAUAACUUGUCUACGCUUGAAAAUGUGCUUGAUGACCCACUACCUAUUAAUGAUAGUUUUUCUGAUGAGCAGUUAGCAACAAUAAAUGUUUCUCAUAGUACUCCCUGGUAUGCUGACUAUGCUAAUUACAUUGUUGCUAAAUAUUUACCACCUAGCUUUACAUACCAACAAAAGAAAAAAAAUCUUCUAUGAUUUAAGACAUUGUUUUUGGGAUGACCCACAUCGUUAUAAAGAAGGAGUAGAUGGUAUUAUUAGACGUUGUGUACCGGAGCAUGAACAGGGACAAAUCCUACGGAAAUGACACUCCGAAGCUUAUGGAGGGCAUCAUGCUGGAGAUAGAACUGCCCAUAAGGUAUUGCAGUCUAGAUUUUAUUGGCCUACUCUCCUCAAGGAUGCCCGUAAGUACGUCUCAUCUUGUGAUGAAUGUCAAAGAAUAGGUAAUAUCGGUAAGCGUCAAGAAAUGCCUAUGAAUUAUUCACUUGCUGUUGAACCAUUUAAUGUUUGGGGAUUUGAUUACAUGGGACCUUUCGCUUCCUCUAAUGGGUAUACACAUAUUUUGGUUGCUGUUGAUUAUGUUACUAAAUGGGUAGAAGCUAUUCCAACCAGUAGUGCUCACAACACCUCUAUUAAAAUGCUUAAGGAAGUUAUUUUCCCAAGGUUUGGAGUCCCUAGAUAUUUAAUGACUGAUGGUGGUUCACACUUUAUUCAUGGUGCUUUCCAUAAAAUGCUUGCCAAGUAUGAUGUUAACCAUAGAAUUGCAUCACCUUAUCAUCCUCAGUCUAGUGGUCAAGUUGAACUUAGCAAUAGAGAAAUAAAACUAAUUUUGUAAAAGAUUGACAAUAGUUGAUGAGGACAUCAAUACAAUUGUUACACCCACAGCCCCUACUACUACAUAUACUGGACCAAUUACUAGAGCUCGCGCACACCAAUUAAAUUAUUAGGUACUUUCGUUUCUUGGUAAUGAUUCUAAUGUUCAUGAGAAUAUGAUGCUGCCUAAAUUGGAUACAUUUGUUUUGCUUACAAAUGAAGGGCCUGGCAUGGAUAAGAGGGAUGAACAUUGGAGCAAGAACAAGCAUGGAGUUGAUGGCAUGCGCAAGGGGAACAAGAACGGAGUUACAAGUGAUGAUUUCAGGACUUUGAAGCCACCAUAAUGAGUGCAUGAAGCCUUGGAUGAAAUAUACAAGAUGCCACUUCAUAAACUUCGUCCAGAGGCUAUUCUAGGUGCUGCGUCACCUUAUUAUUGGGCCAGGCCCAUGUAAUUUUGAAAUACAUAAGUAUAGGCUGUUUUGAGAGUCCGUAUGUGUGGGGAAACAAGAGAUAGGGUUGGUUUCGGACCCCUUCCCCAAGGGCCACGAAAUCCCCCCCCUUCCUCCAUAUAUACAGCCCUUAGGGCACCGUUUAGACUUUGGGUUUUGUUUAGAUUAAAAGUUCGCCAUAGCUGCAACUUCGCGUACUUCGUUUGUGUUCAACGACCAGACCAAGGCGUCACAGAACCCCACCUUCAUUAAUAAAGCUUUCCUCUUAUAUUCGCAAUAUCCAGAUUGCAAUCUUAGUUUCUUGCUUGUUCUUCGUUUGCUCGCAGGAAACAGGCCCUCGUGGUCAGGUUGAUCAUGCUCCGGCGUGGUCAAUAACCCUCGGAAGUUGGUUUAGCGAUUGCUAAGGCGCGACGUCUCGCACGUUCGUAGUCAGAUCGUGAAGGUCGAUUCCCAGAGAAAACAAUAGCCACCAUCUCAUCGAAACUUCGGGACACCUUUGCCUCUAUCAAGUGGUAUCAGAUUUCCAGGUUGCUCGGUGAGAUUUUAUAGUUUUUCGUAGUUUAGAUCGAGUCUGUUCUUCAUACCUAUAGUCCACGAAAAAGCCAAAAAAAUUUAGGGUUAGUUCAUCUUAUCCGAACCAAUCCGAGCCUUUGCAUAAUCUUUUCGGUAUUCGCUUUGUCGAAUUUGCGGUUGCAUCGUCGUGUCAAGUUGCUGGUCCUAGCGUCUAGUCCUUUAGAGUUUCGAGUUCUGUUCACAAGUUGUCAUGCCGCCGCCGCACCAUCGUCAUCACCGCUGCCAUAUACCACCAUUGUCAUCACCGCUGCCAUAUACCACCAUCGUCAUCACCGCUGCCAUAUACCACCAUUGUCAUCACCGUUGCCAUAUACCGUCAUCAUCAUCAUCGCUGCCAUAUACCACCAUCGUCAUCACCGCUGCCAUAUACCACCAUCGUCAUCGCCACUACCAUAUACCACAUAUCCACCGCCAUCACGCUAAUCCGAGUCCACCUCCAUCACAGAUUCGCCACCAGUCCGUCUUCCACCGCCCUGCAUAUAUCCGCCACCAGUCCGAGUUUCCACCAGAUUCAUCUCCGCCACCAGUCCUAGUCCGAGUCCAGUAAUUGUUGCUUUGUUCUCGAUUUCCAGAUCACGCGGUACUCCGAGUCAUGACAGAGUAGGACUCCCCAACUUUCGAGCCAUCCGCAGAAGAAAAAUAGUUCCAGUUAAAAAAACUAAGUCUGGAAAAUUCUGGCUAGGCAGUUUUAGGACAUUUGUAGACUUUUUCGGGGAAAAAUUGUUGCGGAGCAAAAAAAAGAGGGGAAAAAAGAGGAAAAAAAGUGAAAAAAGAAAAAAAAUCAGUGUGUUCCUACCUUGUUUACGUGCAGCGCCGUGAUUUUGUUAGUGUUCUAGGCUCGCGUCUCUAGUACGGUCUAGCCUAGGACCAGCACAAUACCGUCGUUGAGCGUUUAUUCAACUUUGCAUAUCUGAAUUGAUUAUUGCUAACCUUUUUUGCUACCAUAUUAUAAGCCUUCCCAGCUCCACAUACAACUACAUCGUGCGGUUGACUCUCCCUGGUAAUCGCUUUAUCCAAGCUUUGAGAGUUUUGACUACAUCGGUUGCCGAUCACCGCCUGCUGCUGGGUAAGAACUGGUAAGAAUUUGAGAUUUGCUUGACGGAUUUGUGACACCCACCACCACCACCACUUGUUAGUAGUCUGUAGGAUCAUAUUCUUGUGUGUUUCUAUUGCUGCUAACCAUGCCAGGAUCACAAGCCGACGAGAUUGACUGAACAGGUGCAAGAUGUGCUGAACAAUUUUGAAGAGGCCAUGGAGAAGAUCACUAGCCUUGAGAAGACAUUCGAAACAAAGCUCGAUAACAGAUUUAAUGAACUGCUUGCGCGUCUUCCACCACCGGCUGCACCUGCCGCACCUCUGCAACAACAACAACAACAACGACUACCUCCACGUCGCGAAACAGCCCUCCGCCGAGCGAGCCGUGUUCCUCUUCAGCCUGGCCAAACUGUUGGUGUUGCUGUUGAUAAUUUUGUGGCUACUGCUGCUGAUGGGGAGGAGGAUGAUUAUGCGGGAGAUUACGAGGAUGAGGUUGAUCAAAAUCAGAACUACGUGCAACCACCAGCACCACAACCACUAGGUCGUCCACAUGCAAGUAAUGGCAAUGGUAGGGCUCUCCCUCAGGUAUGAGAUCAUGACCAUCUCCCUAAACUGAAAUUGAAUAUUCCACCAUUUGAGGGUAGAUAUGUUCCUGAUAUAUAUCUUACUUGGGAGUUAGAAACUAAACAAUGAUUUACAUGUUUACAAUAUCCUGAGGAGAGACGUGUUCCUGCUGCUGUUUGUGCUUUCACUAGCUUUGCAUGCGUUUGGUAGUCUGAACAUUGUAGAUUAUAUCCUAUUCCAGCUACUUGGGCUGCUUUCAAAACUGCUAUGUGUACUCGUUUGGUUCCACCAGAUUAUCAACAUGAAUUAAUUCAAAAAUUGCAGCGUUUAAGACAAGGAAAAAAUUCCGUAGAAGAAUAUUACCAGGAAUUACAAACAGGCAUGAUUAGAUGUGGUAUUGUUGAGGAGAAUGAAGCUAUGCUUGCAUGUUUUAUGGGUGGAUUAAAUAGAGAGAUUCAGACCAUUCUAGAGUAUAAGGAGUAUAAUAAUAUCACUCGUUUAUUCCAUCUUGCUUGUAAAGCUGAACGUGAAGUGCAGGAUCGACAGGCAUUGGCGCGAACUAACUUUUUUGCAGGUCGACCUUCAUCAUGGACACCACGUGCAUCCUCUACUUCCACUGCACCAUCACCUCCAUCAGGUGCCACCUCCAGCCGUGAUACAAGAAAGCAGGCACAACCACCACUCUCUGCCAAGAGCACACCUGUCGGGGCUGCGCAGAGCUCUUCUUCUUCCUUGGCGUCAACAGGGCACACAAGUGAUAUUAUUCGUCGUCGUUGUAAGGGAAGAGGACAUUUUGCGAGAGAAUGCAAAUCUCAGCGUGUGAUGAUUGCUACUGAGGAUGGUGGGUAUGAGUGCGCUAGUGACUAUGAUGAGGAGACUUUGGCUCUUAUUACACAUGAAGAACACGGUGGAGAUGAUUCUGAUCAUGAGACGCAAUACAUGGCUGCUGAAGAGGCUGACAGGUAUGGAUGUUUAGUUGCUCAACGUGUUUUGAGUGUGCAGGUUACACAAGCUGAGCAAAAUCAGAGGCAUAAUUUGUUCCAUACAAAGGAAGUUGUGAAGGAACGUUCUAUUCGCGUCACCAUAGAUGGAGGGAGCUGCAACAACUUGGCUAGCAUGGAGAUGGUGGAGAAGCUAUCUCUCACCACAAGACCACAUCCACAUCCUUACUACAUCCAAUGGUUCAACAACAGCGGCAAGGUUAAGGUAACACGUACCGUUCGUGUGCAUUUUAGUAUCUCUACAUAUGCUUUAUGUUGAUUGUGAUGUGGUACCUAUGCAAGCAUGUUCCUUAUUACUUGGUAGACCAUGGCAAUUUGAUAAAAAUUAUGUACACCAUGGUAGAAACAAUCAGUAUACUCUUGUUCAUAAGGAUAAAAAUAUUACUUUGCUUCCUAUGACUCCUGAUUCCAUUUUGAAAGAUGAUAUUAAUAGAGCUAAUAAAGCAAAACAGGAGAAAAAUAAGAGUGAAAAUCAGAUUGUGGCAAAAGAAUUUGAGCAACAAAUGAAGCCUAAUAAUAAACCAUCUAGUGUUGCUUCUGAAACUAAAUUGAAAAGUGCAUGUUUACUUGCCACCAAAUCUGAUAUUGAUGAGCUAGAUUUUAGCAAAUCUGUUUGCUAUGCUUUUGUGUGAAAAGAGGCAUUAUUUUCAUUCGAGGACAUGCCUUCCUCUUUGCCCCCUACUGUCACUAACAUUUUGCAGGAGUUCGCUGACGUCUUCUGAUAAGGACAUGACUACCUUGGAUACGACCAAAAAUAUUGCAUACAUGCAUAUUUAUCAGGUGAUUUCUAGUGCAAACUAUUCAAUAAUCUAUUUAUGUUAUCCAGAACAAAAAUACUUCACACACUUUUGUGUUUUGUCUAAUUGCAGGUGCAUGGGACAUUUGUACAAUCCACAUAUGAAGAUAGGGGAAAAGGAGAAGUUUAGGUUCUGUUCAAAAAGUCCUCUCACGUCACUUUUGGGCCAAGAGAAGAUAGAGUCCAAGUCUCUCACGUUCUGGAUUCAGAUUCGGACUGCACAGACAUACCUAACUCAAAACGCCAACAACUUUUUCAUACGGACUCCGAAUUGGGUGAUUCUUUUUUUGUUGGAAAGUAGAUUUCGUCCUCUUUCCAACACAAUUGGAUUCACCUUUAAAUUCAUCCACAGCAUUGAGAUAUGGACGAAACAAUCAGACGCUGCAGCAGAAUCCGAGUCAAAAAACAAGUCCAAAGGUGUUGCAUCACCUCCACUUGGGCCCAUGAGCCUUGUACGACCUAGGGUUGGUUUUAGGCUGCCUUGGGACGUCCUCCCACCUCCUUGGCCGCCACCCCUUGCUCCUAUAUAGGUAGAUCCAUCUAGUAGCUUUUUCCUUGGGAUUUGUUUAGUUAAAAGUUAGCCAUUGCAACUUCGUGUACUUCGUUUGUGUCCAACGACCAGACCAAGACCGCUUACGGAUCCCCACCAUUAUCAAUACUGCAUAUAUAUUCGCAAUAUUCAGACUGCUUUAUCAUAUUCUUGAUCGUUCUUCGAUUGCUUGCAGGAAUAGACCUUCGUGGUCAGGCUGAUCGUGCUUCCGGCAUCGUCAGUAACCUCAGGAGAUUGGUUUAGCGAUUGCUAAGGCGCAACGUCGUGCACGUUUGUAGUCAGAUCGUCAAAGUCGACUCCACCAAAUCGAUAGUUAUCAUCUCAUCGAAAGAUCGGGACACCCUCGCCUCUAUCAAGUGGUAUCAGUUUUCAGGUUGCUCGGUGAGAAUUUCUAGUUUCCCCAAGAUUAGGUUUAUUUUCUUACCUAUUGUCCAAGAAAAAGCCACAAAAAAGUUAGAUCUAUUCAUCCUUUUAUCCAAGCCAGUCUGAUCCUUUGCAAUUUUCUUUUCAUUGUUUGCAUUAUUGAAUUAUCGGUUGCAUCGUCGUGUCGAGUUGCUGGUCUUAGGGUCUAGUUCGUUUAGAGUUUCGAGUUCUGUUCAUAUUAGUCACGUCGCCGCUGCAUCGUUAUCCCUUCCGCUUUCCACCACACCAUCCAUCAAUUUCCACCUUGUGCUACCGAUAGUUCAUUGUCACAAUCAUAGUUGAGGUCGUUCACAUCUUCGCUUGAUCCAAUCUGCAUCUUAUCUAGUUUGUCUUGGAAAGAGGGAGAGAAAAAAGACAGAGAAAAAAAAAGAGAGAAAAAAAAGAAGUUAGAGAAAAAAAGAAAGAAGGAAAAAGAAAAAAAAAGUGUGAGGAAAAAAAAGAGAGGAAAAAAAACAAAAUUCGAAUCUAUCUACACUCAAUCUCGUAGUUGAAUUCGGAUUGGAAUCUGUUUUGUGCACUGAUCAGUAAAACAGGCGUAACUUCCUCAUACGAAGUCCGUUUUGGCUCCGCGAGUAUUCAAAUGAAAGCUAGCGACGAGCCGCAUCUAAAUAGUUGCAGAAGCCAUUUCAAUAUUUGAUACCUCAAAAUCGGCUUCUAAAUAGGUGUUUUUGUCCUCCGAAGUUCGCGAACACAGUUUGUUUCAGUUUUUCAAGCCAGUUUCGGAAUUUUUUGACUCCUCAUAUCAACUCGGAAUUGAGUGAUUCUUUUCGUUUUGGCAAGCUUGAGUUAGUAGCAUUAUUUGAAAAAAGUUAUCAAAAAAUUGGCUCAAACUUUUAAAGAGGAAAGUUGGAGAGAGAGUUGUUGUAUAUCCUGCUUAGCAGUUGUUUUUCAUCAUUAUCUUUACUGACGUUGUGAUCUUCACUUAUAUCUUGUUGUCCAGAGCUACUUAGUAUCCUUAAUUGAUGGUAGUUGUGCUACGCCGUGACCUCAUUAGUGUUCUAGGCUCGCGUCUCUAGUCCGGUCUAGCCUAGGACCAGCACAGUACCGUCGUUGAGCGUUUAUUCAACAUUGAAUCAUGCAAUUGAUUAUUGCUAAUAUUUUGCUACCAUAUAUAGCCAACCCAGCUCCACAUAUUUCUACACCGUGUAUACGUACGUUCUCCUGGCAAUCGCUUUACACAAUCUUCGGAGUUAUUUGACACCGCUGGUUGCCUGUCACCACCUGCCGCAUGGUAAGAACUUGUAAGAUAUUGAUAUUUGCUUUACUGUGAGCACUUUACAACCACAUCCUAGUAGUUCAUCGGAACAUUAUUCUCGAAUUUUGUUUCUUGUUUCUACUAAUCAUGACAGGUUCCGGAGAUAGAAGUUCUUUGACAACGGACACAUCAUCACCAUCACGAGAGUUGGGACAACACACAUAAGCACAUGGUCAGGUUAUCUCUUUACCGUCAUUUGAGGGUAGAUUUAAUCCUGGUAUUUAUCUAGCUUGGGAGCUUGAAGUAGAACAAGUUUUUAGUCACCAUGACUUUUCUGAACUUGAGCAAGUACGAGCUGCCACUAGAGCAUUUACUGGUUUGCUUCUGUUUGGUGGAGUGUGCAUUGUAAGAAAAACAUUGAUAACCAACCCACAACUUGGAAAGAUUUGAAAGAUGUAAUGAGACAACAAUUUUUCCCUCCUUACUAUCGUCGUGCAUUGCUUCGCAAAUUUGAACAAUUUAAACAAGGCAACAACACUGUUCAUGCUUACUACCAAGAGUUCAAAUCUUAUAUGCAUCAUUGUGACAUAGAAGAAUCUGUGGAUGAUACAAUGAAUAGAUUUUUUAGUGGUUUGAACCAUGAUAUUCAGGCACAAUUUCAGUAUAUUCCUCGUUGCAUUACUGGUAUGUAUGUUCGUACUUGUACCUUUGAGAGACAGUUACAGGAGGAUGCUUUGGGUGACUACAACAACUACUAUUCUAGUUCAUGCUCACCACCACCGCUUGGUUCCUCCACCGUUGCACCUACUAGAGCAGCCACACCUCAGAUUGUGAGCGCGACAUCAUCUCAAGAGUAUGGUACAUUGCCAUCAUCCGUACCUACAUCAGCUACAUCUUUGCGACAAGGUAACUCUAACUGUAUUGAUGAUAUAACUUCACAUGAGAAUGAUGCAUGCCUAGUUAACUUGAAUACAUCAUGUGUUGAGUUACCUGUUGAUUUGAGCACAUCACCUAUUUUAGACAAUCGUGUUACUGUCAUGAAUGCGUCAUAUGAUCAAACAGUUGAAGUACCAACAAUUUUGAGUGCACCCAUUGAAUUAACUGUUGAUGCAAAAGAACCAAUGUUUAAUCAUUUUGAUAUGACCUCUAAUCUUGGUGAUGAUUCUGUGUCCAAUGACUUAUUGCAUGUGAUAGAAGCAAAGGUGUCCCGUCUUUCGAUGAGAUGAUGGAUAUCGCUUUGGUGGAAGUCGACUUUGACGAUCCGACUACGAACGUGCGAUGACGUCGCGCCUUAGCAAUCGCUAAACCAACUCCGAGAGGUUAUUGACCACGCCGGAGCACGAUCAACCUGACCACGAGGGUCUGUUUCCUGCGAGCAAACGAAGAACAAGCAAGAAACUGAGAUUGCAAUCUGGAUAUUGCGAAUAUAAGAUGAAAGCUUUAUUGAUCAAGGUGGGGUUCUGUGACGCCUUUGUCUGGUCGUUGAACACAAACGAAGUACGCGAAGUUGCAGCUAUGGCGAACUUUUAAUCUAAACAAAACCCAAAGUCUAAACGACGCCCUAAGGGCUGUAUAUAUGGAGGAAGAGGGGGGAAUUUCGUGGCCCUUGGGGAAGGGGUCUGAAACCAACCCUAUCUCUUGUUUCCCCACACAUACGGACUCUAAAAACAGCCUAUACUCAAGUAUUUCGAAAUUACAUGGGCCUGGCCCAAUAAUAAGGUGACGCAGCACCUAGAAUAGCCUCUGGACGAAAGUUAUGAAGUAGCAUCUUGUAUAUUUCGUCCAAGGCUUCAUGCACGCAUUAUGGUGGCUUCAACGUCCUGAAAUCAUCACUUGUAACUCCGUUCUUGUCCCCCAUGCGCAUGCCAUCAUCUCCAUGCUUGUUCUUGCUCCAAUGUUCAUCCUUCUCAAAGCUAGGCCCUUCAUUUGUAAGCAAAACAAAUGUAUCCAAUUUAGGCAGCAUCAUAUUCUCAUGAACAUUAGAAUCAUUACCAAGAAACGAAAGUACCUGGUUAUUUAAUUGGCGUGCGCGAGCUCUAGUAAUUGGUCCAGUAUGUAUAGCAGCAGGGGCUGUGGGUGUAACAAUGGUAUUGAUGUCCUCAUCAUCCUCCCCUUCUUGAAAUGAAGUCGUCCUCGACGGAAGCUCAUCUCCCUCACCCAAAUAAGGCUUCAAAUCUGCAAUGUUAAAAGUGGGACUAACCCCAAAAUUUGCAGGCAGCUCAAGUUUAUAUGCAUUAUCAUUUAUUUUCUCUAACACCUUAAAAGGACCAUCAGCACGUGGCAUUAGCUUUGAUUUGCGCAAAUCAGGAAAUCUAUCCUUACGCAAAUGUAACCAAACAAGAUCUCCAGGUGCAAACACAACAUGUUUUCUACCCUUAUCUCCAGCAAGUUUAUAUUUAGCAUUCAUACGCUCAAUGUUUUCCUUAGUUAACUCAUGCAUUUUUAAGAUCAAUUCAGCACGUUGUUUAGCAUCAAAAUUAACCUUCUCCGAAGAUGGAAGAGGCAACAAAUCAAUAGGUGCACGAGGUAGGAAACCAUACACAAUUUCAAAAGGGCACAUCUUCGUAGUAGAAUGCAAUGAACGAUUAUAAGCAAACUCAAUAUGAGGCAAGCAUUCUUCCCACAUUUUCUUAUUAUUCUUCAAAACAGCCCUAAGCAUAGUAGACAAUGUUCUAUUGACUACUUCAGUUUGUCCAUCAGUUUGGGGGUGACAAGUAGUACUAAAAAGCAGUUUAGUCCCCAACUUAGCCCAUAAACAUCUCCAAAAGUGGCUAAGAAAUUUAGUAUCACGAUCUGAAACAAUAGUAUUUGGCACACCAUGCAAGCGAAUAAUUUCACGAAAGAACAAAUCAGCAACAUUAACAGCAUCAUCGCUUUUAUGACAUGGUAUAAAGUGUGCCAUUUUCGAGAAUCUAUCCACGACAACAAAUAUGCUAUCCCUCCCCUUCUUUGUUCGAGGUAAACCUAAAACAAAGUCCAUAGAUAUAUCCUCCCAAGGAACACUAGGUACAGGCUGAUAGAGGCAAAGGUGUCCCGUCUUUCGAUGAGAUGAUGGAUAUCGCUUUGGUGGAAGUCGACUUUGACGAUCCGACUACGAACGUGCGAGGACGUCGCGCCUUAGCAAUCGCUAAACCAACUCCGAGAGGUUAUUGACCACGCCGGAGCACGAUCAACCUGACCACGAGGGUCUGUUUCCUGCGAGCAAACAAAGAACAAGCAAGAAACUGAGAUUGCAAUCUGGAUAUUGCGAAUAUAAGAUGAAAGCUUUAUUGAUCAAGGUGGGGUUCUGUGACGCCUUUGUCUGGUCGUUGAACACAAACGAAGUACGCGAAGUUGCAGCUAUGGCAAACUUUUAAUCUAAACAAAACCCAAAGUCUAAACGACGCCCUAAGGGCUGUAUAUAUGGAGGAAGAGGGGGGAAUUUCGUGGCCCUUGGGGAAGGGGUCCGAAACCAACCCUAUCUCUUGUUUCCCCACACAUACGGACUCUAAAAAUAGCCUAUACUCAAGUAUUUCGAAAUUACAUGGGCCUGGCCCAAUAAUAAGGUGACGCAGCACCUAGAAUAGCCUCUAGACGAAAGUUAUGAAGUAGCAUCUUGUAUAUUUCGUCCAAGGCUUCAUGCACGCAUUAUGGUGGCUUCAAUGUCCUGAAAUCAUCACUUGUAACUCCGUUCUUGUCCCCCAUGCGCAUGCCAUCAUCUCCAUUCUUGUUCUUGCUCCAAUGUUCAUCCUUCUCAAAGCUAGGCCCUUCAUUUGUAAGCAAAACAAAUGUAUCCAAUUUAGGCAGCAUCAUAUUCUCAUGAACAUUAGUAUCAUUACCAAGAAACGAAAGUACCUGGUAAUUUAAUUAGCGUGCGCGAGCUCUAGUAAUUGGUCCAGUAUGUAUAGCAGCAGGGGCUGUGGGUGUAACAAUGGUAUUGAUGUCCUCAUCAGCAUGUUUUCUUAUUUAAGCAUGUUGUAGCAUGUAAAUUUGAUGCAAGUAAGGUUUAUUCACCAAUGUUGGGAUGGUUUAAUGAUGAACAUGGUCAACCUUUUGAAAUGAAUAAGAGCUUCGCUUAUAUGUGCUAACUGAGUUGCAAUAUUUUCAUGCCUUCUACUUCUUGUGAUAAUAUUUUGGCUUUAGAUUUUAUCAACUAUGAAGGUUACUCAUGUAUACAUGUGCCAUAUGUGCAAAAACAAAGGAAACUAAAAAUGGAUGACAUAUACAUAUACAACAUGUACACCUUGUCUCUUUUGUUAGCCACAUUUCAGAUUAAGCAACGCCGAGGACGGCUUUGUUUUCAAGAAGGGGAGGAUGAUGAGGACAUGACUACCUUGGAUACGACCAAAAAUAUUGCAUACAUGCAUAUUUAUCAGGUGAUUUCUAGUGCAAACUAUUCAAUAAUCUAUUUAUGUUAUCCAGAACAAAAAUACUUCACACACUUUUGUGUUUUGUCUAAUUGCAGGUGUAUGGGACAUUUGUACAAUCCACAUAUGAAGAUAGGGGAAAAGGAGAAGUUUAGGUUCUGUUCAAAAAGUCCUCUCACGUCACUUUUGGGCCAAGAGAAGAUAGAGUCCAAGUCUCUCACGUUCUGGAUUCAGAUUCGGACUGCACAGACAUACCUGACUCAAAACGCCAACAACUUUUUCAUACGGACUCCGAAUUGGGUAAUUCUUUUUUUAUUGGAAAGUAGAUUUCGUCCUCUUUCCAACCCAAUUUGAUUCACCUUUAAAUUCGUCCGGAGCGUUGAGACAUGGACGAAACAAUCUGACGCUGCAGCAGAAUCCGAGUCAAACAACAAAGUCCAAAGGUGUUGCAUCACCUCCACUUGGGCCCAUGAGCCUUGUACGACCUAGGGUUGGUUUUAGGCUGCCGUGGGACGUCCUCCCACCUCCUUGGCCGCCACCCCUUGCUUCUAUAUAAGUAGAUCCAUCUAGUAGCUUUUUCCUUGGGAUUUGUUUAGUUAAAAGUUAGCCAUUGCAACUUCGUGUACUUCGUUUGUGUCCAACGACCAGACCAAGACCGCUUACGGAUCCCCACCAUUAUCAAUACUUCAUAUAUAUUCGCAAUAUUCAGAUUGCUUUAUCAUAUUCUUGCUCAUUCUUCGAUUGCUUGCAGGAAUAGACCUUCGUGGUCAGGCUGAUCAUGCUUCCGGCAUCGUCAGUAACCUCAGGAGAUUGGUUUAGCGAUUGCUAAGGCGCAACGUCGUGCACGUUUGUAGUCGGAUCGUCAAAGUCGACUCCACCAAAUCGAUAGUUAUCAUCUCAUCGAAAGAUCGGGACACCCUCGCCUCUAUCAUCUUCCCACAAGACAUGCCACCGGGAUUACCACCUAUUCGAGGGAUUGAGCAUCAAAUUGACUUAAUUCCCGGUGCAUCGCUACCCAGCCGUGCACCAUACCGUACCAAUCCAGAGGAGACGAAGGAGAUUAUGCGUCAAGUACAGGAGCUGCACGACAAAGGUUAUAUACGCGAAUCUCUUAGUUCGUGUGCUGUUCCUAUUAUACUAGUGCCUAAAAAGGAUGGUACGUCGCGUAUGUGUGUUGAUUGUAGAGGCAUCAAUAAUAUUACUAUUUGUUAUCAUCAUCCUAUUCCUAGGCUAGAUGAUAUGCUUGAUGAAUUGAGUGGCUCUACAAUAUUCUCCAAAGUUGAUUUGCGUAGUGGAUACCAUCAAAUUCGUAUGAAAUUGGGAGAUGAAUGGAAAACAGCAAUUAAAACUAAGUUUGCUUUAUAUGAGUGGUUAGUCAUGCCUUUUGGGUUAACUAAUGCAUCUAGUACUUUCAUGAGACUAAUGAACGAAGUUUUAAACGUGCUUUCAUUGGACGAUAUGUGGUAGUCUAUUUUGAUGAUAUACUGAUUUAUAGCAAAUCUUUGGAAGAACAUUCGAAACAUUUACGUGUUGUUUUUAUUGCUCUACGUGAUGCACGUUUGUUUGGUAACCUUGGGAAGUGCACCUUUUGCACCGACCGAGUAUCUUUUCUUGGCUAUGUUGUUACUCCACAGGGAAUUGAAGUUGAUAAAGCCAAGAUUGAAGCUAUUGAGAGUUGGCCACAGCCCAAAACGGUCACACAAGUGAGGAGUUUUCUUGGACUCGCUGGUUUCUAUAGGCGUUUUGUGAGAGAUUUUAGCACCAUUGUUGCACCUCACAAUGAGCUUACAAAGAAGGAUGUGCCUUUUGUUUGGGGUACCGCACAGGAAGAAGCCUUCACGGUAUUGAAAGAUAAGUUGACACAUGCUCCUUUACUCCAACUUCCUGAUUUUAAUAAGACUUUUGAGCUUGAAUGUGAUGCUACUGGAAUUGGAUUAGGAGGUGUGUUAUUACAAGAUGGCAAACCUGUUGCAUACUUUUCUGAAAAAUUGAGUGGGCCUAGUCUGAACUAUUCUACUUAUGACAAAGAAUUAUAUGCUCUUGUUCGGACUUUAGAGACAUGGCAACAUUAUUUAUGGCCCAAAGAAUUUGUUAUACAGUCUGAUCAUGAAUCUUUGAAACAUAUUAAAAGUCAAGCUAAACUGAAUCGUAGACAUGCUAAAUGGGCUGAAUUCAUUGAAACUUUCCCUUAUGUCAUUAAACACAAGAAGGGUAAAGAAAAUGUUAUUGCUGAUGCAUUGUCUCGUCGCUAUACUAUGCUGUCACAACUUGACUUCAAAAUAUUUGGUUUGGAGACCAUCAAAGAUCAAUAUGUGCAUGAUGCUGAUUUUGAAGAUGUUUUGCAGAAUUGUAAAGAAAGAAGAACCUGGAACAAGUUUGUUGUUAAUGAUGGAUUUGUGUUCCGUGCUAACAAGCUAUGCAUUCCAGCUAGCUCUCUUCGUCUUUUGUUGUUGCAGGAGGCGCAUGGAGGAGGAUUAAUGGGACACUUUGGCGUGAAGAAGACGGAGGACGUACUUGCUACACAUUUCUAUUGGCCAAAGAUGAGACGGGAUGUUGAGCGUUUUGUUGCUCGCUGCACUACAUGUCAAAAAGCUAAGUCACGACUCAAUCCUCAUGGUUUAUAUAUGCCUUUGCCUGUACCUAGUGUUCCUUGGGAGGAUAUAUCUAUGGACUUUGUUUUAGGUUUACCUCAAACAAAGAAGGGGAGGAUAGCAUAUUUGUUGUCGUGGAUAGAUUCUCUAAAAUGGCACACUUUAUACCAUGUCAUAAAAGCGAUGAUGCUGUUAAUGUUGCUGAUUUGUUCUUCCGUGAAAUUAUUCGUUUGCAUGGUGUGUCAAAUACUAUUGUUUCAGAUCGUGAUACUAAAUUUCUUAGCCACUUUUGGAGAUGUUUAUGGGCUAAGUAGGGGACUAAACUGCUUUUUAGUACUACUUGUCACCCCCAAACUGAUGGACAAACUAAAGUAGUCAAUAGAACAUUGUCUACUAUGCUUAGGGCUGUUUUGAAGAAUAAUAAGAAAAUGUGGGAAGAAUGCUUGCCUCAUAUUGAGUUUGCUUAUAAUCGUUCCUUGCAUUCUACUACUAAGAUGUGCCCUUUUGAAAUUGUGUAUGGUUUCCUACCUCGUGCACCUAUUGAUUUGUUGCCUCUUCCAUCUUCGGAGAAGGUUAAUUUUGAUGCUAAACAACGUGCUGAAUUGAUCUUAAAAAUGCAUGAGUUAACUAAGGAAAACAUUGAGCGUAUGAAUGCUAAAUAUAAACUUGCUGGAGAUAAGGGUAGAAAACAUGUUGUGUUUGCACCUGGAGAUCUUGUUUGGUUACAUUUGCGUAAGGAUAGAUUUCCUGAUUUGCGCAAAUCAAAGCUAAUGCCACAUGCUGAUGGUCCUUUUAAGGUGUUAGAUAAAAUAAAUGAUAAUGCAUAUAAACUUGAGCUGCCUGCAGAUUUUGGGGUUAGUCCCACUUUUAACAUUGCAGAUUUGAAGCCUUAUUUGGGUGAGGGAGAUGAGCUUCCGUCGAGGACGACUUCAUUUCAAGAAGGGGAGGAUGAUGAGGACAUCAAUACCAUUGUUACACCCACAGCCCCUGCUGCUAUACAUACUGGACCAAUUACUAGAGCUCGCGCACGCCAAUUAAAUUACCAGGUACUUUCGUUUCUUGGUAAUGAUUCUAAUGUUCAUGAGAAUAUGAUGCUGCCUAAAUUGGAUACAUUUGUUUUGCUUACAAAUGAAGGGCCUAGCUUUGAGAAGGAUGAACAUUGGAGCAAGAACAAGCAUGGAGAUGAUGGCAUACGCAUGGGGGACAAGAACGAAGUUACAAGGGAUGAUUGCAGGACGUUGAAGCCACCAUAAUGCGUGCAUGAAGCCUUGGGCGAAAUAUACAAGAUGCUACUUCAUAACUUUCGUCUAGAGGGUAUUCUAGGUGUUGUGUCACCUUUUUAUUGGGCCAGGCCCAUGUAAUUUCGAAAUACUUGAGUAUAGGCUGUUUUUAGAGUCCAUAUUUGUGGGGAAACAAGAGAUAGGGUUGGUUUCGGACCCCUUCCCCAAGGGCCACGAAAUUCCCCCCUCUUCCUCCAUAUAUACAGCCCUUAGGGCGUCGUUUAGACUUUGGGUUUUAUUUAGAUUAAAAGUUCGCCAUAGCUGCAACUUCGCGUACUUCGUUUGUGUUCAACGACCAGACAAAGGCGUCACAGAACCCCACCUUGAUCAAUAAAGCUUUCAUCUUAUAUUCGCAAUAUCCAGAUUGCAAUCUCAGUUUCUUGCUUGUUCUUCGUUUGCUCGCAGGAAACAGACCCUCGUGUUCAGGUUGAUCGUGCUCCGGCGUGGUCAAUAACCUCUCGGAGUUGGUUUAGCGAUUGCUAAGGCGCGACGUCAUCGCACGUUCGUAGUCGGAUCGUCAAAGUCGACUUCCGCCAAAGCGAUAUCCAUCAUCUCAUCGAAAGACGGGACACCUUUGCCUCUAUCACGGUAUCGUAUCAUCCCACUAUCUUUUUGCCCUUACUAUUUUAGUUCGAUCUUUUGCUUUAGAAUAAGAGUUUAGUUUGAUGCUUUCUUCUUUGAGAGUUUGCUUAGUGAUCUAUCCUUGUAAUCGUGUGCAAGAUAUAUAAUAAAGUUUACUUUGAGUUUUUGCUUUCUUUACUUUCAUGUUGCAAUAAAAAGAAAGGAUAUAAAUAAAAGGAAAGGAAAAAAUCAAGAAGAUCAUAUACUAAUCUUAUGGUAGGUGAUGGCACCACAUAAGGAAAAGUAUAAGUAGAAAAUUUUAUUAGAGAUUGACAAACGUAGCAUUAGUCAAUGAUGCAACUCAUGAAAGAAUUAAUAAGGGAAGAGAAGAUUCACAUAUAAAUACACUAUCCUAGAAAUAUUUUGUGAUUGUGAGCCCCCAUCAAAAUAUUAUAUGCCAAAAUUGUUGACGUUGGACAAGGAAAGACGACUUAAUGAUUUAUGUUUGUUCCUAUUCACAUAGAAGUCAUAUUGUCAUAGAUCCUUUAACAUGUGGUGCUUGCCCCCUAUCUUUGCUAGCCAAAAAUUCCACACUAAGUAGAGAUACUACCAUCCAAAAACCCUUAAACCCAAAUCUUAUUUUCAAGUGUCCACCAUACCUACCUAGGGAUUGACAAGAUCCCUCAAGUAAGUUGUCAUCGGUGCAAAAGGGCAAUAAAAAUUGCUUCUAAAUGUGUGACAUCAUCUAGUGUAAGAGAAAAUUGAGCGUUGCACGAACUUCUGAUGGUGAAGAAUAAAAGCGACAGACUACAUAAUAAAGGUCGCUUUCACAAGGGGCAACGCAACGUGACAUUCUUUUGCACUAAGGGGUUGACCAUACAAACAAAUAAGCGCAUGGCAACCUCUGCUUCCCUUUGCGAAGGGCCUAUCUUUUACUUUUAUGUAUUUACUUUUAUGCAAAGAGUCAAAGUUUCUUCUCUCUAUUCCUUUCAUUUUUCUCCUUUGGCAAGCAUCAUGUGGUGAGGAAAGAUCUAGGCACAUAUGUCCAGCUAAAUAUGGGUAGCAUGAAUUAUUAUUGCUGACAUCACCCUUGAGGUGAGUACGUUGGGAGGCGAAACUAUAAGCCCCUAUCUUUCUAUGUGUCCUGUUGAAACGUUUUGCUCAUGUGUAUGCGGUGAGUGUUAGCAAUCAUAUAAGACUAUAUGAUGGUUGAGUAUGUGGACUUGCCUAAAGGCUCCGAUACGUGACCCUUCCUGAAAAGAUGAUGAAUUGUAGUUGCAAAGUUGACUGAGAACAUAGUUUGUUGGUUUCUAGUAGGGUUUUUGCUUUAUACUUCGAUUGUGUGAUGAACUGUUACUUAUUCAUGACAAGUAUAUGAUAAAAGUACUAUGACAAAAGUCUUAUGUUUAAAUUUGUUGCUGUUAUAAUAAUCUACAUGAUGCUUCUAUGUUCGUAUUUUGUUUUUAUCGACACCUCUCUCUCAAAGCAUGUGGACAUGUUUUUCGAUUUCGGUUAUCGCUUGAGGACAAGCAAGGUCUAAGCUUGGGGGAGUUGAUACGUCCAUUUUGCAUCAUGUUUUCUUACUGUUAUUUAUGAUGUUUUUAUCCAUAAUAAUGUCUUUUGGAGUAAUUCUAAUGCCUUUUCUCUCAUAAUAUGCAAGGUACACACAAAGAGGGAGAAUUCUGGCAGCUGGAAAUCUGGACCUGAAAAACCUACGUCAGGCUACCUAUUCUGCACAACUCCAAGCAAGCUGAAACUUCAUGGAUUUUUAUGGAAUAUAUGAUGAAUAUUGGAGCAAAUAACUACCAGAGGGGGCCCACCAGGUGGGCACAACCCACCUGGGCGUUCCAGGGAGCCCAGGUGCGCCCUGGUGGGUUGUGCUCACCCAGGCCCACCUCCGGUGCCCAUCUUCUGGUAUAUAGGUCAUUUUGACCUAGAAAAAAUAAGGAGAGGACUUUCGGGACAGAGCGCCGCCGUCUCGAGGCGGAACUUGGGCAGGAGCACUCUUGCCCUUCAGCGGAGCGAUUCCGCCGGGGGAACUUCCCUCCCGGAGGGGGAAAUCAUCGUCAUCAUCAUCACCAACAACUCUCCCAUCUUGGGCAAUCUCCAUCAACAUCUUCAACAGCACCAUCUCAUCUCAAACCCUAGUUCAUCUCUAGUGUUCAAUCUUGUUAUCGGAACUAUAGAUUGGAGCUUGUGGGUGACUAGUAGUGUUGAUUACAUCUUGUAGUUGAUUACUAUAUGGUUUAUUUGGUGGAAGAUUAUAUGUUUAUAUCCAUUAUGCUAUUUAAUAUUCCUCUGAUCUUGAGCAUGUUUAUCAUUUGUGAGUAGUACCUUUUGUUCUUGAGGUCAUGGGAGAAUUCAUGUUGCAAGUAAUCAUGUGAAUUUGAUGUGUUCGAUAUUUUGAUAUAGUAUGUAUGUUGUUAUUCCCUUAGUGGUGUCAUAUGAACAUCGACUACAUGACACUUCACCAUAUUUGGGCCUAAGGGAAUGAUUUUGGAGUAGCAAUUAGAUGAUGGGUCGCGAGAGUGACAGAAGCUUAAACCCCAGUUCAUGCGCUAUUCUGUAAGGGACCGAUUGGAUCCAAAAGUUUAAUGCUAUGGUUAUAAUUUAUUCUUAAUACUUUUCUCCUAGUUGCGGAUGCUUGCGAGAGGGUUAAUCAUAAGUAGGAGGUUUGUUCAAGUAAGAACAGCACCUAAGAACCGGUCCACCCACAUAUCAAAUUAUCAAAGUAGCGAACACGAAUUAAACCAACAUGAUGAAACUGACUAGAUGAAAUUCCCAUGUACCCUCAAGAACGCUUUGCUUAUCAUAAGAGACCGUUUUGGCCUGUCCUUUGCCUCAAAAGGAUUGGGCUACCUUGCUGCACUUUUGUUACUAAUAUCGUUACUUGCUCAUUACAAAUUAUUUUGCUAUCAAACUACUCUGCUACUUACAAUUUCAGCACUUGCAGACAUUACCUUACUGAAAACUACUUGUCAUUUCCUUCUGCGCCUCGUUGGGUUCGACACUCUUACUUAUCGAAAACAGCUACAAUUGAUCCCCUAUACUUGUGGGUCAUCAUGCACGCAGGCACAGCCGGAGGGGUCCGGGCACCCGGGGUCGUCGGGGAGUAGAAAACCGGGCACCCGGGGUGGCACCUGGGAGGGGGGCGGGCACCCGGGGGUGCGGAUACCCGGUGGUUGGGGUGCGGGCACCCGGGGUGGACAGAGGGGCCCGCCCUUUGGCGUCGUGGUCCGGGCACCCUGGGCAUAGGAGGCCGGGCACACGGGAUGGUCCGAGGCCUCCGGUGUUUCGUGUCUUGGGGCCCCUCUUCCUCCUCCAUCUCCCUUCUUUGAUGGUGUAGAUGUUCUCUUGCACUUGAACUCCUCCUCGUCGUCAAUGAAGCUCCGGCAAUACCUAUGCAUGUACACGAGAGGGAUGUCAAGUAGUAUACCAUCCUCGAAGGGGUCAAGUGAACACGUGUAAAGGAGAUGAUUAACCUUUAUGUAUGUGAAGUAGAUGUCGCACGUGUCACUUGCCGAAUGGACCUUGACAUGGUGAUGUCUGUAGGAUGCUCCGCAUCAUCCCAUCCCCCUUGGGAAAGAUCCGACCUCGGAUCGAAAACCAAAUCACCAUGGGAAAGAGAUGGCGUCGCCUUGUAGGAGUGAACGUUCACCAAGUACUCAUUGUCUUGGAACUCAAAGUUGGCACUCUCCAAUGUCGCACCGGCUCGUGAUUCCUUCAAAGGGAUCAAGAACAACAAACACUUGUAAAAACAAAUGUGGUUAGCGUUAGUGCAAAACCAAGCAUUCAAGUGGUGAUUCACUGAACAAGUGUUGUCAUCAUGCAUAUCAUACGGUGCAACAAAGGAUUGUGGCAUGGUAUGUAAACACACAAAUUGAGCGCAAUCAAGGUCAUCAUGGAAGUAAGCAUGCAAGUGGGAGGUACAGAUGCUAAUAUGUGUGUCAAGAGAAUAAGCAUCUACCUCAAUGUCAUAGCAAGCAUGGAUAAGACUCUCAAUGAACGGUCUAUGGUAGGCAUAAGAGUCAUUCACAACACCAAAUGAAAUGAAAUGUCUAAACACAUGGGCAAGUGCAAGACAAUCCAAGCAUAAUGUGCAUAUGGUGUGGUGAAGAUAGUGAGGCACUCAACACAAAUGAGAUAGCAAUUUUGCAGCAUGUGCGAGGCAAUCAAGUCAUUCAAGCUAGUAGUGCAAAGAUGCAACAUACUUGAGGAAAUCGUGACAAUCAUGUCAUGUGAGCCAAUAAUAGGCAUAGGUAAUGCACAUGACAUAUCACAAGCACGAUUACAAAGCAAGAUCAAUGUAUCAUCAUAGGAAUGGAUCACAAAGGAAACAUGGCAAGAACAAGCAAUAUCUCCACCAAGCUUGCAAAUACACAUACAAGUAGUAGAAUCAAUCACCAUGUGUAAUGCAAAGCAUGGGUCACAAAUGCAUGGUAAAGGCAUCGGAAUAAGCAUGUCAUGCAAAGUGAACAUGGCAAGAUGGCGUAAAAUAUGGAAUGGACAAUAACCCAUAACCAUGUGAGGGCCAUGUAGAAGAAAUGCGCGAAGUCAUUGUGCGAAGGGAGUGGUGGGAAUGAAACUCCAUGGGAUCCCAAAUCAUCGUUGCUCUCAAGAACUCAUUUUGUCAACUCAUGGGAUUGUGAAUUUGACAAGUAUUCAUGAGUACCUACACAAAACAAAGACAGGAAAAAUUGUGUGCGCGUGGUAUAUGUACACAUCAUUCAUUAUGAUGCAUACGUGCAUGUGUUGGUUAGCACAAAAUAUCCAAUGCUCAAAUAGAUGAGAUGCAUGAUAAAGAAACAUGUCAUCCAUCAUGAUGGGUUUGUUAUUAUGUAUAGCAUAAUGGAGACUCAAAUUGUGUAAUGCAUCAUGAGAAAUAUUUAGAGCAUUGUUAUUCAUGGAAUGUAUAUGGUGCACACAAUCAUGGGAAUCAUGCAACGGAUGGGAUGGAUCAAAAUCUCCUAAUAUGGAUGGGGAAACUAUGGGGGUCUCCUCGUGAGCAAUAGCGGAAACAUCAUAUGGAGAAAAUGGAUAACAUCCGAAACAAUGCAUAUUCAAAGCUGGGUGUUUAUGGCAUGGCAUACGAGAUAAAUGAUGCAAAGGGAGCAUAUCAAUAUCAUCACAAGAAAAACAAAUGCCAAUAACCAUGGGUUUGUCAUCUAUGCCAUAUGUGCAAAUUGGAUUGAUUUUAAUGGCAUAUGCAUAGUCACUACGAUGAGAUUGCCAAUAUAACAUAUUGUUGAUUUCAUGCAUAGCAUAUGACAAGUCAAGCGGACUAUCAAACAUGAUGUGACCUAGAGAAUUGUCACAAGAAAUCCUAUGUAACAUGGCAUCACAACUAAUAGACUCCACAUGGCAAUCAUCAUACUCAUCACAAAUGGGCAAUAAAUCAUCACAUGGGGAAAUCGAACUAGCAUGAAGCAUGGUAAUAGGUGGAUCAACAUCAUGCAAGCAAUCAUUGGUAAGAUAGUCCACUAGUGGGACAAGUGAAGCACCAUCACCUAUGUUACCUUUGGAGCAUCGCUCAUGUGUUGUAGGUGAGGUAUCGAAGACCAAGUCGUGGUCAUCUUCAUCAUGAUGGAACCAUGUGGGGGGUGCAUCAUCGUCCACCAUGGCCAUCGUCGUCUCCAAAGGAAGGACGAAGUCGUCGAGGAUCGACGCAUCGUCAUAUAUGGGACCUAGCACCAAAUGAGAAGACACAAUAGAGGUAGAGGUUAAGUUGUUAGAAAUUGAAAUGGCCUCACAUGCCCUAUCAACUAUCUCACUCUCUCUAUGUGGUGGUGGCUCACUCACUCCCUCAAGGUAGGUGCAGUCAAAGUCACAUAUGGUGGAGUCACUCAUCUCACUCAAGUGGUGGGGGUUGUGGCUCUCCUCACAUGGGAAUUGGGGCAACUCAUCAUAUAUGGGGCUAGUGGUGAAGUCACUCUCACUCUCAAUAUGGUGGCACAAGUCACUCAAUUCAUCAUACGUCGCCGUGGUCAAAGGGAAAAUCCCAUGCUCAACCAUCUCGUCGCCGUGGAUGAAGGCCGAAGAUGGCACAUCAUCGUGCUCCUCCGAGACCAAAGAUAAUGUCUCCUGUGCGGUGUCGUAGCUUGACUCGGAGUAAGAGUCCCAUUGGGUCGCCGCCUUCAUGUUGUUGAAGGGGUUUGCGAUUGUCGCUGUGGUCGAAGGGGAUGGCCCUUGCUCGACCGUCUUGUUGUCGUCUUGUUGUAGGAGGCCCAUAUGAUGUGGCACCUCGUAGCUCGUCUCCAUGACCGAAGGGAAUUUCCCAUGCUCGGCUAUCUUCUUGAGGGUCUUCCGAUGAUGGAAGUGUCGCCCUCGCUUGUAGGUGGUCGCCUUGUUGUUGAAGAUGUCGAUGUAGGCGAACUCAUGGGAAGUAGGCGAAGAUGACGUACGUCCAAAGGUGAAGAUGCCUUGAUAACACUUGGCGAUGAUGCCGAAGUGGUGGUAGUAGUCGUAGCUCCGUCUUGUUGGUGCUCAUCUCGCGGUCUUCUCUUGUGCUCAUGAAGUUUGGUCGUAGCUUGAUGUAGAGCUUUUUGGGACUUGUAGGUGUAUGCAUCGCGAGCAUCUUCAUCUUGGUGGUGUUGUAGUGCUUGAGCUCACUGGCGUUCCAGAGAUUGGCUACUUGAGCGUCGACGCCUUGAAGAUGACGAAGGGGAAGAAGACUUGUAGUUAGCCACCAUGUCUCGUACUUGAUCCAUUUGUUCGUCCAACUUGGCGUAGAUGUAGUCCCUUUUCCUUGCUUCGUUUUGGCGAAUGUCGAUGGCGAGUCGCUCAAUGACUUGCAUUGCUCGUUGUAGUCCGAAGAUGGACGUUUUGGUGAUGUAGUUGUUCGGGUCGUCGUUGUCGUGGAAGACCGGAGAUGAAAUGGCUUGCCUAUCCAUCACAAGACUCGAGCAAAUGUGAGUGGAAGAAAGGAAAGAACUAGACCAAAUGUACCUUUCCAAUGUUGAAGAUGGAUCAAUGAUCACUCAAUAAUGUAUCAAGGAAAUAGCACAAUUGGUACCAGAUCUUGUCAAUUCUCACACCUACACAAGUAAGGCUUAUGGUGGAGCUCGGUGAGGAUAGUGGCACAAAAGUUUGAUGCAAAAUGUUAGCAAGAGUCAAUAAUGUUGGAAAAGAUUCACAAAUUUGCAAGUGAGACAAGCAGACCAAUAGCAAUGGGUGGCACACGGAAACACACACACGGAUAGAUAAAUGGGGUCGUGCAACCAAGGAAUGAGCACAAAAUGUGGAAUUCACGAAAAACACUUGUGUUGCACAACUCUAGAGAGACGCUAGAAGAUUGCUCAAAAGGCGGAUACGACACUUGUGCACAACCUAUAAGAUGCAAAAUGCAUCAACUUUCUAUCCCAAGUAUGCUAUAUAUGUAUGAUGUUCCGGUGUUUCGCACACGAUGUGAUAGAGGCGAGGGUGUCCCGAUCUUUCGAUGAGAUGAUAACUAUCGAUUUGGUGGAGCCGACUUUGACGAUCCGACUACAAACGUGCAUGACGUUGCGCCUUAGCAAUCGCUAAACCAAUCUCCCGAGGUUACUGACGAUGCUGGAAGCACAAUCAGCCUGACCACGAAGGUCUAUUCCUGCACGCAAUCGAAGAACAAGCAAGAAUAUGAUAAUGCAAUCUGAAUAUUGUGAAUAUAGAUGAAGUAUUGAUAAAGGUGGGGAUCCGAAAGCGGUCUUGGUCUGGACGUUGGACACAAACGAAGUACACGAAGUUGCAAUGGCUAACUUUUAACUAAACAAAUCCCAAGGAAAAAGCUACUAGAUGGAUCUACUUAUAUAGGAGUAAGGGGUGGCGGCUAAGGAGGUGGGAGGACGUCCCAAGGCAGACUAAAACCAACCCUAGGUCGUACAAGGCUCAUGGGCCCAAGUGGAGGUGAUGCAACACCUUUGGACUUGUUGUUUGACUCGGAUUCUGCUGCAGCGUCAGAUUGUUUCGUCCAUAUCUCAACGCUCCGGACGAAUUUAAAGGUGAAUCCAAUUGGGUUCGAAAGAGGAUGAAAUCUACUUUCCAACAAAAAAGAAUCACCCAAUUCGGAGUCCGUAUGAAAAAGUUGUUGGCGUUUUGAGUCAGGUAUGUCUGUGCAGUCCGAAUCUGAAUCCAGAACGUGAGAGACUUGGACUCUAUCUUCUCUUGGCCCAAAAGUGACGUGAGAGGACUUUUGGAACAGAACCUAAACUUCUCCUUUUGCCUUAUCUUCAUAUGUGGAUUGUACAAAUGUCCCUUACACCUGCAAUUAGACAAAACACAAAAGUGUGUGAAGUAUUUUUGUUCUGGAUAACAUAAAUAGAUUAUUGAAUAGUUUGCACUAGAAAUCACGUGACAAAUAUGCAUGUAUGCAAUAUUUUUGUUCGUAUCCAAGGUAGUCAUGUCCUCAUCAUCCUCCUCUUCUUGAAAACAAAGCCGUCCUCGACGUUGCUUAUGAAAUCUGGCUAACAAAAGAGACAAGGUGUACUCGUUGUAUAUGUAUAUGUCAUCCGUUUUUACUGAUCUCAUUUGGUGCACAUGUGACACAGUUAUACAAGAGCACCCUUCAAAAGUCGUGAAAUGUAAAGCCAAUAUAUUAUCACAAGAAGUCAAAGGCAUGAAAAUAUUGCAACUCAGUUUGCACAUAUAAGUGAAGCUCUUAUUCAUAUCAAAAGAUUGACAAUGCUUAUCGUUAAACCAUCCCAACAUUGAUGAACCAUCACCAAGAUUAGAGGUCAUAUCAAAAUGAUUAAACAUUGGCACAGUUAUUUUCAAACAUAUUUGAUCCCAAUCUGAUUUAUUCCCUGAUUCACUUGAUUCUUUUGCAUCGAUAGUUAAUUCAAUGGGUUCACUCAAAAUUGUUUGAUCACAUGGCAAAGUCAAAUCAUCAACGUAGUCCUCUAAAGUAGCUGGUGUGAUCAAAGUAGUGGGUAGCUCACCGCAUGGUGCACUUAAAUUGACAAGACAUUCAUCAUACUCAUGUGGAGGUGGAAGAUUAGUACCUUUGUCAUUACCUCUUAUGAUCAACUCAGAUGAUGUAGACACUCUCGGUGAUGAUGUGUCACAUGGUGGAGGUGAUGUAGUCCUGACAACAAUGGAUGUGGUUGUCAUAGUAUGCCUAGUAGUUGAAGGGACAACCGUAUCAACUCUUGGAAUGUGCAUCUCGCGCUUGUUCUCCUUGUGGGCAACACGUCGUUUUAUUUCCUGUUCAGCUUUGCAAGCAAGAUGAAACAAAUGGUCCAUAGGAUAACACUCUUCAUGAAUUAGAAUCUCCUGAAUGUCACGAUUUAAUCCUCCCCAAAAUCUAUCCAUAAAAUCUUCUUCACUUUCUUCUAAAGAAGAAUGCAGCAAGGUAGUUUGUAAACUAUCAUAAUAUUUCGUCACGGUGUCACUACCUUGUUUUAAAUGUUGCCACUUUGUAAUCAUGUCACGAGUAUAAUAAGUGGGAACGAAUGUAUGUCGCAUGGCAAGUUUCAAAUCAUCCCAAGUAGUAGUGAUGAGGACAUCAAUACUAUUGUUACACCCACAACCCCUGCUACUAUACAUACUGGACCGAUUACUCGAGCUCGCGCACGCCAAUUAAAUUACCAGGUACUUUCGUUUCUUGGUAAUGAUUCUAAUGUUCAUGAGAAUAUGAUGCUGCCUAAAUUGGAUACAUUUGUUUUGCUUACAAUUGAAGGGCCUAGCUUGGAGAAGGAUGAACAUUGGAGCAAGAACAAGCAUGGAGUUGAUGGCAUGCGCAAGGGAGACAAGAACAGAGUUUCAAGUGAUGAUUUCAGGACUUUGAAGCCACCAUAAUGAGUGCAUGAAGCCUUGGACGAAAUAUACAAGAUGCCACUUCAUAAUUUUCGUCCAGAGGCUAUUCUAGGUGCUGCGUCACCUAAUUUUGGGCCAGGCCCAUGUAAUUUCAAAAUACUUCAAUAUAGGCUGUUUUUAGAGUCCGUAUGUGUGGGGAAACAAGAGUUAGGGUGGGUUUCGGACCCCUCCUCCAAGGGCCACGAAAUUCCCCCCCUCUUCCUCCAUAUAUACAGCCCCUAGGGCAUCGUUUAGACUUUGGGUUUUGUUUAGAUUAAAAGUUCGCCAUAGCCACAACUUCGCGUACUUCGUUUGUGUUCAACGACCAGACAAAGGCGUCACAGAACCCAACCUUGAUCAAUAAAGCUUUCCUCUUAUAUUCGCAAUAUCCAGAUUGCAAUCUUAGUUUCUUGCUUGUUCUUUGUUUGCCUGCAGGAAACAGACCUUCGUGGUCAGGUUGAUCGUGCUCCGGCGUGGUCAAUAACCUCUCGGAGUUGGUUUAGCGAUUGCUAAGGUGCGACGUCCUCGCACGUUCGUAGUCGGAUCGUCAAAGUCGACUUCCUCCAAAACGAUAGCCACCAUCUCAUCGAAAGACGGGACACCUUUGCCUCUAUCAAGUGGUAUCAGAUUUCCAGGUUGCUCGGUGAGAUUUUACAGUUUUUCGUAGUUUAGAUCGAGUCUGUUCUUCAUACCUAUAGUCCACGAAAAAGCCAAAAAAAAUUAGGGUUAGUUUAUCUUAUCCGAACCAAUCUGAGCCUUUGCAUAAUCUUUUCUGUAUUUGCUUUGUUGAAUUUGCGGUUGCAUCGUCGUGUCAAGUUGCUGGUCCUAGCGUCUAGUACUUUAGAGUUUCGAGUUCUGUUCACAAGUUGUCACGCCGCCGCCGCACCAUCAUCAUCACCGCUGCCAUAUACCACCAUCGUCAUCACCGCUGCCAUAUACCACCAUCGUCAUCGCCGCUGCCAUAUACCACAUAUCCACCGCCAUCACGCUAAUCCGAGUCCACCUCCAUCACAGAUUCGCCACCAGUCCGUGUUCCAUUGCCCUGCAAAUAUCCGCCACCAGUCCGAGUUUCAACCAGAUUCAUCUCCGCCACCAGUCCUACUCCGAGUCCAGUAAUUAUUGCUUUGUUCUCGAUUUCCAGAUCACGCGAUACUCCGAGUCGUGACAGAGUAGGACUCCCCAACUUCCGAGCCAUCCGCAGAAGAAAAAUAGUUCCAGUUUCAAAAAAAAUUCUGGCUCGGCAGUUUUUAGGACAUUUGUAGACUUUUUCGAAAAAAUUUGUUGCAGAGCAAAAAAAAAGAGGAAAAAAAGUGCAAAAAAAGUGAAAAAGGAAAAAAAUCAGAGUGUGCUCCUCCCUUGUUUACGUGCAGCGCCAUGAUUUUGUUAGUGUUCUAGGCUCGCGUCUCUAGUACGGUCUAGCCUAGGACCAGCACAGUACCGUUGUUGAGCGUUUAUUCAACUUUGCAUCUCUGAAUUGAUUAUUGCUGACCCUUUUUGCUACCAUAUUAUAAGCCUUCCCAGCUCCACAUACAUCUACAUCGUGCGUUUGACUCUCCCUGGUAAUCGCUCUAUCCAAGCUUUGAGAGUUUUGACCAUAUCGGUUUCCGAUCACCGCCUGCUGCUAGGUAAGAACUGGUAAGAAUUUGAGAUUUGCUUGACGGAUUUGUGACACCCACCACCACCACCACUUGUUAGUAGUCUAUAGGAUCAUAUUUUUGUGUGUUUCUAUUGCUGCUAAGCAUGCCAGGAUCACAAGCCGACGAGAUUGACUGGGAGAACUUAACGAACAAGGAGCUUCAUGAUAAGUUUCAGCAAAUGAUGACUCAACAGGUGCAAGAUGUGCUGAACAAUUUUGAAGAGGCCAUGGAGAAGAUCACUGGCCUUGAGAAGACGUUCGAAACAAAGCUUGAUAACAGAUUUAAUGAACUGCUUGCGCGUCUUCCACCACCGGCUGCACCUGCCGCACCUCUGCAACAACAACAACAACAACAACGACUACCUCCACGUCGGGAAACAGCCCUCCUCGAGCGAGUCGUGUCCCUCUUCAGCCUGGCCAAACUGCUGGUGCUGCUGUUGAUACUUCUGUGGCUCCUGCUGCUGAUGUGGAGGAGGAUGAUUAUGCGGGAGAUUACGAGGAUGAGGUUGAUCAAAAUCAAAACUACGUGCAACCACCAGGUCGUCCACAUGCAAAUAAUGGCAAUGUUAGGGCUCCCCCUCAGGUACGAGAUCAUGACCAUCUCCCUAAACUGAAAUUGAAUAUUCCACCAUUUGAGGGUAGAUAUGUUCCUGAUAUAUAUCUUACCUGGGAGUUAGAAACUGAACAACGAUUUACAUGUUUACAAUAUCUUGAGGAGAGACGUGUUCCUGCUGCUGUUUGUGCUUUCACUAGCUUUGCAUGUGUUUGGUGGUCUGAACAUUGUAGAUUAUCUCCUGUUCCUGCUACUUGGGCUGCUUUGAAAACUGCUAUGCGUACUCGUUGGGUUCCACCAUAUUAUCAACGUGAAUUACUUCAAAAAUUGCAACGCUUAAGACAAGGAAAAAUUUCUGUAGAAGAAUAUUAUCAGGAAUUACAAACUGGCUUGAUAAGAUGUGGUAUUGUUGAGGAGAAUGAAGCUAUGCUUGCACGUUUUAUGGGUGGAUUAAAUAGAGAGAUUCAGACCAUUCUAGAGUAUAAGGAUUAUAAUAAUAUCACUCAUUUAUUCCAUCUUGCUUGUAAAGCUGAACGUGAAGUGCAGGAUCGACAGGCAUUGGCGCGAACUAACUUUUCUGCAGGUUGACCUUCAUCAUGGACACCACGUGCAUCAUCUACUUCCACUGCACCAUCACCUCCUUCAGGUGCCACCUCCAAACGUGAUACAAGAAAGCAGGCACAACCACCACUAUCUGCCAAGAGCACACCUGCCGGGCCUGCACAGAGCUCUUCUUCUUUCAUGGCAUCAACAGGGCACACAAGUGAUAUUAUUUGUCGUCGUUGUAAGGGAAGAGGACAUUUUGCGAGAGAAUGCAAAUCUCUACGUGUGAUGAUUGCUACUGAGGAUGGUGGGUAUGAGUCUGCUAGUGACUAUGAUGAGGAGACUUUGGCUCUUAUUACACAUGAAGAACACGGUGGAGAUGAUUCUGAUCAUGAGACGCAAUACAUGGCUGCUGAAGAUCCUGACAGGUAUGAAUGUUUAGUUGCUCAACGUGUUUUGAGUGUGCAGGUCAAGCUGAGCAAAAUCAGAGGCAUAAUUUGUUCCAUACAAAGGGAGUUGUGAAGGAACGUUCUAUUCACGUCAUCAUAGAUGGAGGGAGCUGCAACAACUUGGCUAGCAUGGAGAUGGUGGAGAAGCUAUCUCUCACCACAAGACCACAUCCACAUCCUUACUACAUCCAAUAGUUCAACAACAGCGGCAAGGUUAAGGUAACACAUACUGUUCGGGUGCAUUUUAGUAUCUCUACAUAUGCUGAUUAUGUUGAUUGUGAUGUGGUACCUAUGCAAGCAUGUUCCUUACUACUUGGUAGACCAUGGCAAUUUGAUAAAAAUUCUGUACACCAUGGUAGAAACAAUCAGUAUACUCUUGUUCAUAAGGAUACAAAUAUUACUUUGCUUCCUAUGACUCCUGAUUCCAUUUUGAAAGAUGAUAUUCAUAGAGCUAAUGAAGCAAAACAGGAGAAAAAUAAGAGUGAAAAUCAGAUUGUGGCAAAAGAAUUUGAGCAACAAAUGAAGCCUAAUAAUAAACCAUCUAGUGUUGCUUCUGAAAUUAAAUUGAAAAGUGCAUGUUUACUUGCCACCAAAUCUGAUAUUGAUGAGCUAGUUUUUAGCAAAUCUGUUUGCUAUACUUUUGUGUGCAAAGAGGCAUUAUUUUCAUUCAAGGACGUGCCUUCUUCUUUGCCCCUGCAGUCACUAACAUUUUGCAGGAGUUCGCUGACGUCUUCCCACAAGACGUGCCACCGGGAUUACCACCUAUUCGAGGGAUUGAGCAUCAAAUUGACUUAAUUCCCGGUGCAUCGCUACCCAACCGUGCACCAUACCGUACCAAUCCAGAGGAGACGAAGGAGAUUAUGCGUCAAGUACAGGAGCUGCUCGACAAAGGUUAUAUACGCGAAUCUCUUAGUCCUUGUGCUGUUCCUAUUAUACUAGUGCCUAAAAAGGAUGGUACGUCGCGUAUGUGUGUUGAUUGUAGAGGCAUUAAUAAUAUUACUAUUAUUUAUCGUCAUCCUAUUCCUAGGCUAGAUGAUAUGCUUGAUGAAUUGAGUGGCUCUACAAUAUUCUCCAAAGUUGAUUUGCGUAGUGGAUACCAUCAAAUUCGUAUGAAAUUGGGAGAUGAAUGGAAAACAGCAUUUAAAACUAAGUUUGGUUUAUAUGAGUGGUUAGUCAUGGCUUUUGGGUUAAGUAAUGCACCUAGUACUUUCAUGAGACUAAUGAACGAAGUUUUACGUGCUUUCAUUGGACGAUUUGUGGUAGUCUAUUUUGAUGAUAUACUGAUUUCUAUCAAAUCUUUGGAAGAACAUUUGGAACAUUUACGUGCUGUUUUUAUUGCUCUAUGUGAUGCACGUUUGUUUGGUAACCUUGGGAAGUGCACCUUUUGCACCGACCGAGUAUCUUUUCUUGGCUAUGUUGUUACUCCACAGGGAAUUGAAGUUGAUAAAGCCAAGAUUGAAGCUAUUGAGAGUUGGCCGCAGCCCAAAACGGUCACACAAGUGCGGAGUUUUCUGGGACUCGUUGGUUUCUAUAGGCGUUUUGUGAGAGAUUUUAGCACCAUUGCUGCACCUCUCAACGAGCUUACAAAGAUGGAUGUGCCUUUUGUUUGGGGUACCGCACAGGAAGAAGCCUUCACGGUAUUGAAAGAUAAGUUGACACAUGCUCCUUUACUCCAACUUCCUGAUUUUAAUAAGACUUUUGAGCUUGAAUGUGAUGCUAGUGGAAUUGGAUUAGGAGGUGUGUUAUUACAAGAUGGCAAACCUGUUGCAUACUUUUCUGAAAAAUUGAGUGGGCCUAGUCUGAACUAUUCUACUUAUGAUAAAGAAUUAUAUGCUCUUGUUCGGACUUUAGAAACAUGGCAACAUUAUUUAUGGCCCAAAGAAUUUGUUAUACAUUCUGAUCAUGAAUCUUUGAAACACACUAAAAGUCAAGCAAAACUGAACCGUAGACAUGCUAAAUGGGUUGAAUUCAUUGAGACUUUCCCUUAUGUCAUUAAACACAAGAAGGGUAAAGAAAAUGUUAUUGCUGAUGCAUUGUCUCGUCGUUAUACUAUGCUUUCACAACUUGACUUUAAAAUAUUUGGUUUGGAAACCAUCAAAGAUCAAUAUGUGCAUGAUGCUGAAUUUAAAGAUGUAUUGCAGAAUUGUAAAGAAGGUAGAACAUCGAACAAGUUCGUCGUUAACGAUGGAUUUGUGUUUCGUGCUAACAAGCUAUGCAUUCAAGCUAGCUCCGUUCGUCUUUUGUUGUUGCAGGAGGCGCAUGGAGGAGGACUAAUGGGACACUUUGGCGUGAAGAAGACGGAGGAUAUACUUGCUACACAUUUCUUUUGGCCAAAGAUGAGACCGGAUGUUGAGCGUUUUGUUGCUCGCUGCACUACAUGUCAAAAAGCUAAGUCACGACUCAAUCCUCAUGGUUUAUAUAUGCCUUUGCCUGUACCUAGUGUUCCUUGGGAGGAUAUAUCUAUGGACUUUGUUUUAGGUUUACCUCGAACAAAGAAGGGGAGGGAUAGCAUAUUUAUUGUCGUGGAUAGGUUCUCGAAAGUGGCACACUUGAUACCAUGUCAUAAAAGCGAUGAUGCUGUUAAUGUUGCUGAUUUGUUCUUUCGUGAAAUCAUUCGCUUGCAUGGUGUGCCAAAUACUAUUGUUUCAGAUCGUGAUACUAAAUUUCUUAGUCACUUUCGGAGAUGUUUAUGGGCUAAGUUGGGGACUAAACUGCUUUUUAGUACUACUUGUCACCCCCAAACUGAUGGUCAAACUGAAGUAGUCAAUAGAACAUUGUCUACUAUGCUUAGGGUUGUUUUGAAGAAUAAUAAGAAAAUGUGGGAAGAAUGCUUGCCUCAUAUUGAAUUUGCUUAUAAUCGUUCGUUGCAUUCUAGUACUAAGAUAUGCCCUUUUGAAAUUGUGUAUGGUUUCCUACCUCGUGCACCCUUUGAUUUGUUGCCUCUUCCAUCUUCGGAGAAGGUUAAUUUUGAUGCUAAACAACGUGCUGAAUUGAUCUUAAAAAUGCACGAGUUAACUAAGGAAAACAUUGAGCGUAUGAAUGCUAAAUAUAAACUUGCUGGAGAUAAGGGUAGAAAACAUGUUGUCUUUGCACCUGGAGAUCUUGUUUGGUUACAUUUGCGUAAGGAUAGGUUUCCUAAUUUGCGCAAAUCAAAGCUAAUGCCACGUGCUAAUGGUCCUUUUAAGGUGUUAGAGAAAAUAAAUGAUAAUGCAUAUAAACUUGAGCUGCCUGCAGAUUUUGGGGUUAGUCCCACUUUUAACAUUGCAGAUUUGAAGCCUUAUUUGGGUGAGGAACAUGAGCUUCCAUCGAGGACGACUUCAUUUCAAGAAGGGGAGGAUGAUGAGGACAUCAAUACCAUUGUUACACCCACACAUACUGGACCGAUUACUAGAGCUCGCGCACGCCAAUUAAAUUACCAGGUACUUUCGUUUCUUGGUAAUGAUUCUAAUGUUCAUGAGAAUAUGAUGCUGCCUAAAUUGGAUACAUUUGUUUUGCUUACAAAUGAAGGGCCUAGCUUGGAGAAGGAUGAACAUUGGAGCAAGAACAAGCAUGGAGUUGAUGGCAUGCGCAAGGGAGACAAGAACAAAGUUUCAAGUGAUGAUUUCAGGACUUUGAAGCCACCAUAAUGAGUGCAUGAAGCCUUGGACGAAAUAUACAAGAUGCCACUUCAUAAUUUUCGUCCAGAGGCUAUUCUAGGUGCUGCGUCACCUAAUUUUGGGCCAGGCCCAUGUAAUUUCGAAAUACUUCAAUAUAGACUGUUUUUAGAGUCCGUAUGUGUGGGGAAACAAGAGUUAGGGUGGGUUUCAGAUCCCUCCUCCAAGGGCCACGAAAUCCCCCCCCCCCUCUUCCUCCAUAUAUACAGCCCCUAGGGCAUCGUUUAGACUUUGGGUUUUGUUUAGAUUAAAAGUUCGCCAUAGCCGCAACUUCGCGUACUUCGUUUGUGUUCAACGACCAGACAAAGGCGUCACAGAACCCCACCUUGAUCAAUAAAGCUUUCCUCUUAUAUUCGCAAUAUCCAGAUUGCAAUCUUAGUUUCUUGCUUGUUCUUCAUUUGCCUGCAGGAAACAGACCUUCGUGGUCAGGUUGAUCGUGCUCCGGCGUGGUCAAUAACCUCUCGUUGUUGGUUUAGCGAUUGCUAAGGCGCGACGUCCUCGCACGUUCGUAGUCGGAUCGUCAAAGUCGACUUCCUCCAAAACGAUAGCCACCAUCUCAUCGAAAGACGAGACACCUUUGCCUCUAUCAAGUAGGUAUAUCAUUAGGGUGUAACCAACAAUAUUCACUCCACCAAACUACAGCAUAACCAGUGAAAGAACCAACCGCAACCUUAACUUUUUUACGUACAUCAAAAUUAUUGGAAGCAAAUAUAUUAUUUAUGUCAAACUCCCAUUCAAUAUAUAAAGCAGGUCUAAAACGGCCAUUAAAUGGUGGUAUAGAAACGUUAACCUGAUCAUGUGCAUUUGGAUGUUUGUGCACCUCUCGUGACAGUUGUGGUAUUUGCAUAGGUGAUGGCACGUCUCCCACGAUCGACAAACCCCAUGAAUUGACUCUAGAUCAUGUCAUGAUUAGUAGAAACAAGAAACAAAAUUCAAGAAUAAUGUUCCUAUGAACUACUGGAUUUGGUGGUAAAGCACUCACGGUAAAGCAAAUAUCAAUAUCUUACAAGUUCUUACCAAGCAGCAGGUGGUGACAGGCAACCAACGGUGUCAAAUAACUCUGAAGAUUGUGUAAAGCGAUUGCCAGGGGAACGUACGUAUACACGGUGCAGAAAUAUGUGGAGCUGGGUUGGCUAUAUAUGGUAGAAAAAUAUUAGCAAUAAUCAAUUCAGAGAUGCAAUGUUGAAUAAACGCUCAACGAUGGUACUGUGCUGGUCCUAGGCUAGACCGAACUAGAGACGCGAGCCUAGAACACUAAUGAGGUCACGGCGUAGCACAACUAGCAUCAAUGAAGGAUACUAAGUAGCUCUGGACAGCAAGAUAUAAUUGAAGAUCACAACGGCAGUAAAGAUAAUGAUGAAAAACAACUGCCAAGCAGGGUAUACAACAACUCUCUCUCCAACUUUCCUCUUGAAAAGUUUGAGCCAAUUUUCUGAUAACUUUUUUCAAAGAAUGCUACUAACUCAAGCUUUCCAAUGCAAAAAGAAUCACUCAAUUCCGAAUUGAUAUGAGGAGUCAAAGAAUUCUAAAACUGGCCUGAAAAACUGGAAUAAGCUGUGUCCACGAACUUCAGAGGGAAAAAAGACCUUAGAAGCUGAUUUUGAGGUGUCAAAUAGUGAACUAGCCUCUGCACUAUUUAGAUGCGGCUCGUCGCUAGAUUUCAUUUGAGUACUCGUGGAGCCAAAACUGACUUCGCAUGAGGAAGUUAUGCCUGUUUUACUGAACAGUGCACAAAACAGAUUCCAAUUCGAAUUCAACUACGAGACUGAGUCUAGAUAGAUCCGAAAAAAAAAUUCUCUCUUUUUUUUCCUCACACUUUUUUUUUCUUUUUCUUUCUCUCUUUUUUUGAACUUUUUUUUAUUUUAUUUUCUCUCUUUUUUUUCUCUCCCUCUUUCCAAAACAAAAUAGAUGAGAUGCAGAUUGGAUCAAGCGAAGAUGUGAACAACCUCAACUAUGAUGAAGACAAUGAACGGUGGGUAGCACGUGGUGGAAAUUGAUGAAUGGGAUGGUGGACAGCGAAAGGAAUAAUGGUGCAGCGGCGGCAUGACUAAUGUGAACAGAACUCGAAACUCUAAACGGACUAGACACUAAGACCAGCAACUCAACACGACGAUGCAACCGAUAAUUCAAUAAUGCAAACAAAGAAAAGAAAAUUGCAAAGGCUCGGACUGGCUAGGAUAAAGGAUGAAUAGAUCUAACUUUUUUUUGUGGCUUUCUUGGACAAUAGGUAAGAAAAUAAAUCUAAUCUAGGGAUAACUGGAAAUUCUCACCGAGCAACCUGAAAACUGAUACCACUUGAUAGAGGCGAGGGUGUCCCGAUCUUUCGAUGAGAUGAUAACUAUCGAUUUGGUGGAGCCGACUUUGACGAUCCGACUACAAACAUGCACGACGUUGCGCCUUAGCAAUCGCUAAACCAAUCUCCCGAGGUUACUGACGAUGCUGGAAGCACAAUCAGCCUGACCACGAAGGUCUAUUCCUGCACGCAAUCAAAGAACAAGCAAGAAUAUGACAAUGCAAUCUGAAUAUUGCGAAUAUAGAUGAAGUAUUGAUAAAGGUGGGGAUCCAAAAGCGGUCUUGGUCUGGUCGUUGGACACAAACGAAGUACACGAAGUUGCAAUGGCUAACUUUUAACUAAACAAAUCCCAAGGAAAAAGCUACUAGAUGGAUCUACUUAUAUAGGAGCAAGGGGUGGCGGCCAAGGAGGUGGGAGGACGUCCCAAGGCAGCCUAAAACCAACCCUAGGUCGUACAAGGCUCAUGGGCCCAAGUGGAGGUGAUGCAACACCUUUGGACUUGUUGUUUGACUCGGAUUCUGCUGUAGCGUCAGAUUGUUUCGUCCAUAUCUCAAUGCUCCGGACGAAUUUAAAGGUGAAUCCAAUUGGGUUGGAAAGAGGAUGAAAUCUACUUUCCAACAAAAAAAGAAUCACCCAAUUUGGAGUCCGUAUGAAAAAGUUGUUGGCGUUUUGAGUCAGGUAUGUCUGUGCAGUCCGAAUCUGAAUCUAGAACGUGAGAGACUUGGACUCUAUCUUCUCUUGGCCCAAAAGUGACGUGAGAGGACUUUUUGAACAAAACCUAAACUUCUCCUUUUGCCUUAUCUUCAUAUGUGGAUUGUACAAAUGUCCCAUACACCUGCAAUUAGACAAAACACAAAAGUGUGUGAAGUAUUUUUAUUCUGGAUAACAUAAAUAGAUUAUUGAAUAGUUUGCACUAGAAAUCACCUGACAAAUAUGCAUGUAUGCAAUAUUUUUGUUCGUAUCCAAGGUAGUCAUGUCCUCAUCACGAUGAUCCAAGAUGAUCAAUAUGGUAGUAUGGUAUGCAAUGUGGCCAUGCUAUGGCUCUUGCUUACAAGCUUCUUUGCUCUCUUUUUGCUUAAAAGCUUAUUCCCUUUUUGUUGUAUGGCCACUCAUGUGAAAUGCACAAACCAAGAUAGCUAUUGUGUAUAUGCGGGAACAAUCUUGUGACACAAGGAAUGGUACUAUGAUACCAAGAUGAUACCAAUAUGAUAUGGUAUGUACGCAAUGGAAUGUGUAGAUCGAUGAUCACUAAUGCGCACAAGUAACGUUGCCGGCAAUACUCAAUGGCUAGUCUCGAUACGCAAGUGACGCAAAAUGGGCUAAGGGGUUAACAAUGUAAUGGCAAGAGGAAUAUACAAUGAUGGGAUACCAUGAUACCAAGAUGAUAUAGAGGUUACUGUUCUUGCUUACGGUUAGGGUGUCAAAUUGGUGAAGGUGGUCGAUGUCGAAUCCUUGUCGAAGUUGAGCGGCGGUGUUGUUGAUGUCGAACCGUUCCUAGUUAGCCGAAACACCCUAGGAAACGGAAAAACCGCAAACUCAAAAUCUCAAAGGAAAAUGUCAAAUGGUGAUAGCAGAAUGCGUUGGUGGUUCCGGAGUUAGCAAUGCGGAAGUGGUGGUGGUGGUUGAUGACGAAGCAACCGUCCCUAAAUAGCCGAAACACCUUAGGAGACUCAAGUCACAACUCAAGAAACCACAAAUGCUAAAUGGAGCAAAAUGGGUUAGGUUGUGGAAAGCUAUGAUGAUUUUGCGGAUGAUAUGGUGGAUGGACUAGGCAAAGAUGCCAAAAUUUUGAUGGAUUCAAAUGAUGUUGGAACAUAUCUAGAUGGAUGGGGGAUGUCAAUACCUACUCAACGAGCUAAAGAACGUCAAAAUCGGACUUCGGGAGUGAAAGUUAUGGCCGAAACGGUUUUUGUUGGUGAGCUGAAACUGGGAGGUGCGGGCACCCGGGGUGGUCAGCGGGGUUGGGCGAAAGAAGUGGCCAGGGGGUCCGGGUGCCCGAGGGUAAGGGAUGCGGGCAUCCGGGGUGGUCAGCGGGGAUGGGCGGGUGGUCCGGGUGCCUGGGGUUUGAGGUCCGGGUGCCCGGGGGUCACGGAUUUGGGUGGAAAUUUGUGGAAAAAUGGAAGAGAUUGGUGGAUUUCAUGGUGGGAAAGGUGGAGAUGGAUGGGGGAAGGCUAGAUCCACUUGAAACCAAGCAAAUCCAUGGAUCAAAUCCAACAAAACCUCAUCAAACCAACAUAUCACAAAAUAAAUUGGGGCUAUUUUUGGUGGGGAAUUUUCAAAAUUGGGGAAGAACACAACAAAAUUAGGCUAGAGAACAAGGAGGGGGGCUCCAAUUUCGUGAGAAACCAUGGCUCAUGAUACCAAGAUGUUGUAGGGUGGAACCCUAGAUGGAGAUCUUUCACGAAUUGGAGGAGAAAUCCCCAAGAACAAGAAGAACACAAAGGGGGAAAACAAGAGGAACACUGAAAUUGACUUGAUCUAAUCACACAUGUGUUAGAUCCAAUUAAACAAAGAGGGAUACAAAGGUCCAAACCCAACACAAGAAGAUACAAGAGGUAACUAGUUCAUCCCAAUCCUAUGAGGAAAGAGGUCUUGAUGUUGAUCCUAUGAUGGGGAUCCUUCUCCAAGACCUUGAUAUCCACAAGAGGAUCUUCUCCCUUAGGAGGUCAUGAUCUCCAACAGGAGGAAGAUGAGCAAAGCUCUCUCAAUAUCUCACAUAUACUUUGCUAUCCUCUCUAAUGAGACAGGGGAAGAGUUUAUAUAGGAUAGGGACGAAAUAAGAGGGAAACAAGGGUACAAGGGUCAUUUGACCCUAAGUGCACGCAUGCACAGCCGGAGGGGUCCGAGCACCCGGGGUAAAGAGACCGGGCACCCGGGGUCGUCAGGGAGUAGAAGACCGGGCACCCGGGGUGGCGCCUGGGAGGGGGGUCGGGCACCCGGUGGUCGGGGUGUAGGCACCUGGGGGUGCGGGCACCCGGUGGUCGGGGUGCGGGUACCCGGUGGUCGGGGUGCGGACACCCGAGGUGGACAGAGGGGUCGCGCCCUUUCGCGCCAUGGUCCGGGCACCUGGGGCAUAGGAGGCCGGGCACCCGGGAUGGUCCGAGGCCUCCGGUGUUUCGUGUCUUGGGGUCCCUCUUCCUCCUCCGUCUCCCUUCUUCGAUGGUGUAGAUGUUCUCUUGCACUUGAACUCCUCCUCGUCGUCAAUGAAGCUCCGGCAAUACCUAUGCAUGUACACGAGAGGGAUGUCAAGUAGUAUACCAUCCUCGAAGGGGUCAAGUGAACACGUGUAAAGGAGAUGAUUAACCUUUAUGUAUGUGAAGUAGAUGUCGCACGUGUCACUUGCCGAACGGACUCUUGACAUGGUGAUGUCCGUAGGAUGCUCCGCAUCAAUAGCUCUUCUCUUUUAUAUCAUAAUUUAGAUGGAUGAUGAAACAUGUGUAUGGGAUGACCAUGUAGUUGCAUGUAUUCGAGACAUGUGAUAGCUUGUAUCGCUAUUUCGAGAUGAUGAUGAGAGACAUCAUUUGUGUUGGAUCAUGAUGAUGAUGAUGACAUGAUAUGAUGAGACUAUUGUAUGUGUAUGAUAUGAUGAGAUUUGUAUGUGUAUAAUAUGAUGAGACUAUUGUAUGUGUACUCAGGAGCUUGAAGUCGUCGGGGCGCGAGGGUGGACUAAUCAUCUACCAUGGAGUCAUGUUGAAGGUGGACCUGGAGUCUGGAGGACUUCACUCGGUGCUGAUUGAGGGGCUACGGCGUAAGUGCACACAGAGUCCAAGCCUACUCGGUGGGAGGGGGGAAGCGAGUGAAACAUGGUUCGGACUGGAGCCCAGUGGUCUGACGGAAACAUGAAACUCUUCAUCGGUCCAUGAUGAUCGGUGGUACACUAAAGUGGGGUCGAGUGGUGUGGGUUCGCGACCCUUGAGACUCGACCGGAACAGUAGAGGCUCAACGUGGUAAUAGCGGCGAGGCGUGCAGUACGCACGGGACAUGCAGAAGGGUCAGGGAUCUGGUGGUUAUACAUGUGGUGAGACAACAGUGAAUUUAACUCGGGAUGACUACAGGCAAUGGUGAAAUUCCUUCAAGUUUCAGACGGGUGGUCAAGAAAGGAGCGGUGAUGUUGAGUUCAGGUAACUCUUAUGUGUGACACCCAAUAUGUGGGUUGUUCACUUUCAUGCAGGUCAGUGAUCAAUGUGUGAUGGCGUUGGACGGAUACUAUGGAAGUUGGGAGCAUAGACUAGAGUAAAGAGGAACUUAAUUUUGCUCGAGCGUUGACUGUGAUCAAGAAAAGAAGGGACUACAAGUUGCAGGUGGAGUCGCAUGGAGUCUUUGGAGUAGCACGGUACUCAUGGAAUAAACUCAAGUCCAAUGUACAUGGAAGUUUGACACAUGGACGAAUUCAAGGUGGUGGAGAAUAUUCGCCAAGGUGGAGUCACAUGGAGUCCAAUGUCCUACUUUGACACAUUGUGUACAAGGUAGGUUACACUUGGACUUGUAGUUGUAUUGUGUUUAGAUAGGAUAUGGAGUCGUGUCCAAGUAGGACACUUGUAUCAUAGGCUUCUCAUAUAUAGUUAGGAUAGACACACGAUAUAACCUAUUGUCGGCAUUCUGGGAACCCGGGUACCCAGACUUGCCUGCCUGUGGCCCACGGCGUGGCUCCAUCGACGGCCUGGUAAGGCCCACCUUCAGCACCAACAACACAAGACCCUUGUGAGGGGGCCAAGCCUCGCGAGGUGGACGACGCCAAGGCCUCCAGAAGGAGUGGCCUCCUUAGGCUGGCUCCUGAGAAGCGGAGAUUUCCAUGCGAGCCCUCACCUCGUGAGGUUCAAAUGAUGCAAGACAUGACGACCAAGGCCAGGCGGGCUCCAGCGAGCGCAGUACAUCAGGUUACCUCUUUGGUGCUAAAGAGGCAAGCGCAGGCGCGGAGUCCCGAGGAAUCAACCAAAGGUUUCUAUUUCCAUGCUACAAGACCAAGACUGCCAGGACGGCAGGACGGCGGUCACCGCCGAGCCCACCAUGACGUCACAACCAGAAGCUUUGCAGGCGAAGACCACCUUUCGUCAGGAUAAGGUGUACUAGUUGUCUCCCUUCGAAUUUUGCCGUUGUGGGAUCCCUUCCCGCCUUCAUUUUGGGGGAAGAGGACCAAGGCCACUAUAAGUAUAGCCUAGCCACCACCAUAGAGGGGGGAUUCGGACCAUCCACACCCUCACACGCACAAGAACACAGCUCGUGAGGUUGUUCUUCCACUGUACUAGUUCAUCCUCAGCCCACCUCGAGGCUAAUCCACCACAAAGCAGGAGUAGGGUAUUACACCGUAAGGUGGCCUGAACCUGGGUAAACGGCCUUGUCACGUUCUUCCUCAGUUCAUCAAGCUAGGCCGUGAGAUCGUCGAGUUGGCAGGUGAGUGCGUUAGGAGGCGCCAUGGGCCUCUGGGCUUUCACCCCCGCCUUGCGGCGAGUGCAGUGGCUGCCCAAGUUCAGGCCGGAGCUGCCGCCUCGAUAUGACGGCGCGGCGGAUCCGACAUGAUUUCUCCAGGCGUAUACGGAGGCUGUUUGGGUGGCCGACGGCGAUGACAAGGCCAUGGUGAACUGGCUACCCAUGGCCCUUACGGGUGUGUCGCGCGCCUGGCUCCUGGGCUUGUCGGAGUCUUUAGUGGCCUCCUGGGAGGAGCUGCGCGGCCUCUUCAUCACGCGCUUCGUGGCGCCAGCGCCCCAUGCCGUCACGUCCCUCCUUGGCGGCUCGCAGGUGCCGGCCUCGGACCACCACGUCAAGCAGUUCUUCUGCCAGAUGGGCACCACCCACGCGCAGCCGGGAGCUCCUCCGGGCUGGGUGGCGCCUAAGGCCGACCUCACCUUCGACUCAAGGGACCACCCUGCGACCACGGCCGGUGCCGGCGCGCUCCCGAUGCUCUGCACCCCCACCAUCUGCAACGUAGCGGUCACCAGGACCCUCAUAGACGGCGGCGCCGGCCUAAAUGUCCUCUCCGUGGAAGCAUUCAGCCUGCUUCAUGUGCACCACGGCUGGCUCUGCCCCACCAAGCCUUUCUCCGGGGUCGUUGAUGGCUCCACCUGCCCCCUAGGGCAGAUCCGCCUCCCCGUCACCUUCGGCACCCGCGACAACUACUGCAUCGAGCUCAUCGACUUCGGCAUCGCCCGCAUCGGCCUUCCGUACAACGCCAUUCUCGGGUACCCGGCCUUGGCCCAGUUCAUGGCGGCAACCCAUCCUGUCUACAACCUCAUGAAGAUGCCGGGAAGCAGCGGCGUCCUCGCUGUGGCGAGGGACACCAAGGAUGCGCUCUCGGCCCUCAAGCUCACCUUCAGGGCCGUGGCGGCCAAGCGGGGAGGGAGCCCCGGAGGGCCUAGGGGCUGUACCAGCAAAGAAGAAGCAGUUGUUCUCUCAAGAUCGGGCCGAAACGAAGCAGGUGUCGGUCGAUGAAGACGGGGGAUCGGGCUAUACCUUCACCAUAGGUGCCGGCCUCCCUCCAGACCAAGAAGAGGUGCUGGUCAGCUUCCUCCGCGCGAACAAGGACGUGUUUGCAUGGGAAGCGGCGGACUUGGUCGGGGUCCCGUGCGGGGUAAUCGAGCACCACCUGAUGGUGUGCCCUAACGCACGCCCUAUAAAGCAAAACGCGCGGAGGCAAGCCCCGGAGAAGCAGUCAUUCAUCGUCCAAGAGACCCGCAAGAUGCAGGAGGCCGGCGUCAUUCGGGAAGUGCGGCACCUAGAUUGGCUUGCGAACCCGUUCAUCGUCCCCAAGAAGGGCGGGAAGGAGCGCAUGCGCGUUGACUUCGCCAACCUCAACAAGGCAUGUCCUCAAAACUCAUUCCCUCUCCCGCGCAUCGACCAAAUCAUCGACUCCACCGCCGAGUGCGAUUUACUAUGCUUCCUGGACGCCUUGUCGGGCUAUCACCAAAUCAAGAUGCCGUUCGGGCUGCGCAAUGCCGGAGCAACCUUCCAGCGGCUAAUGCACAUCGCCUUGGGCCAGCAGCUCGGGAGGAACUCCGAGACAUACAUCGACGACAUAGUGGUGAAAUCUCGGGAGGCGAGAACACUUAUCGAGGAUCAGGAGGAGACUUUCACCAACCUGCGCAAGGUAAACCUGUGGCUCAACUAAGAGAAAUGUGUAUUUGGUGUCCCGCCUGGCAAGCUGCUGGGCUUCCUGGUGUCGCACAGAGGGAUGAGGCCAACCAAGAGAAAGUCAAGGCCAUAGAAUGGCUUAUGGAAAAGCUUGUCAUUUGCCUCUUGAGUUGGAACAUCAAGCAUAUUGGGUAAUCAAAGAACUCAACUAUGAUUUCAAACUUGCCGGUGAAAAGAGGUUAUUUCAUAUUAGUUUAUUAGAUGAAUGGAGAACCCAAGCUUAUGAAAAUGCAAAAUUAUUCAAAGAAAAAGUUAAAAGAUGGCAUGACAAAAGAAUCCAAAAGCGUGAGUUUAAAGUCAUAGAAUAUGUUCUUUUGUACAACUCUCGGUUCAGAUUCUUUGCGGGAAAACUCCUCUCAAAAUGGGUAGGCCCAUAUGUUAUCGAGGAGGUUUAUCGGUCUGGAGCCAUCAAAAUAAAUAAUGCCGAAGGUACUAACCCGAAGGUUGUCAAUGGGCAACGAAUAAAACAUUAUAUCUCAGGUACACCCAUUAAUGUUGAAAGUAAUAUUAUCCAAACUUUAAUACCAGAAGAACACAUAAAACAGUCCUUCCGGAACACUCCAGAAUCGUGAAAAUAAGGAGGUAUGUGAUACGUUAAGUAAACAGACUCUGAAAAAUCCGCAAAAAUAUUUUUUGUCACUUUUGGAAUAUUUAGAAAAAUAGGAAAAUAAGAAACUUCCAGGAAGCGUACCCUGGUGGUCACAAGACACCAGGGCGCGCCAGGCUGGCGCGCCCAGGUGGGUUGUGCCCACCUGGGACACCUUUCGGACUCCGUUUUUUAUAGUUUGCUUGUUCCCCAAGAUAAUAAAUCUAUAUAUACUCCCCGAACCUGUUGACCACCGUAUCGCGGAGAAAUCCUCUAUUCUCUUUUCUUGCUAUUUUCUAUUAGAUCCCAUCUACCAUGGCCGCUUCAAGCUCCUCCAAGGACAAGUUCUUCAAGAACGUCAUCAACCCAUAUCUGCGGGAGGUGGUGCAGCACCCUCAAACCAUCCAGAUGCAUGAGGGGGUGCUGCACAUCCGCGAUGUGCAAGGACCCAAGGGGACGGGAACCGUGGAGGCCAGGCUUCAAGCUAUGGAGCAGGAAGUCUUCCGGUGCAAGGGGAUGGUGGAGCGUGGGCUCAAUGCGAAUCACCUCAUGAUCACGGACCUUUCCCGUGAUCUCAAGGUGGAUGGCAAGACCAUGAAAGACAUCGUCUUCACCCUCAACGACCAAAUUAACAUGCUCAGGUACACCAAAUCUUGUCUUGAAUUGGGAGAAGUGCCACUUUAUGGUUAAUGAAGGUAUUGUCUUGGGUCAUAAAACUUCUGAAAGAGGUAUUGAAGUGGACAAAGCUAAGGUUGAUGCAAUUGAGAAAAUGCCAUGUCCUAAAGAUAUCAAAGGUAUUCGUAGUUUCCUAGGUCAUGCUAGUUUCUAUAGGAGAUUUAUCAAAGACUUUUCUAAAAUUUCUAGGCCUCUUACGAGUCUUUUGCAAAAGGAUAUCCUUUUGUUUUUUAUGAUGAUUGUUUAGAAGCCUUUGAAACACUCAAGAAAGCCUUAAUUUCUGCACCUACUGUUCAACCACUGAUUGGAACUUGCUUUUUGAAAUUAUGUGUGAUGUUAGUGAUUAUGCUGUUGGUGUUGUUCUAGGACAAAGAGUGGAUAAGAAACUGAAUGUUAUUCAUUAUGCUAGUAAAACUCUAGACAGUGCUCAAAGAAACUAUGCAACUACUGAAAAAAGAAUUCUUAGCUAUGGUGUUUGCUUGUGAUAAAUUUAGACCUUAUAUUAUUGAUUCAAAAGUAAUUGUUCACACAGAUCAUGCUGCUAUUAAAUAUCUUAUGGAAAAGAAAGAUGCUAAACCUAGACUUAUUCGAUGGGUUCUCUUAUUACAAGAAUUUGAUUUACAUAUCACUGAUAGAAAAGGAGUUGAGAACCUCGUAGCUGAUAACUUGUCUAGGCUUGAAAAUGUGCCUGAUGACCCACUACCUAUUGAUGAUAGUUUUCCUGAUGAGCAGUUAACUGCAAUAAAUGUUUCUGAUAACACUCCUUGGUAUGCUGACUAUGCUAAUUACAUUGUUGCUAAAUAUUUACCAUCACGAGAGUUGGGACAACACACACAAGCACAUGGUCGGGUUAUCUCUUUACCGUCAUUUGAGGGUAGAUUUAAUCCUGCUAUUUAUCUAGCUUGGGAGCUUGAAGUAGAAUAAGUUUUUAGUCACCAUGACUUUUCUGAACUUGAGCGAGUACGAGAUGCCACUAGAGCAUUUUCUGGUUUUGCUUCUGUUUGGUGGAGUGUGCAUUGUAAGAAAAACAUUGAUAACCAACCCACAACUUGGAAAGAUUUGCAAGCUAUAAUGAGACAACAAUUUUUUCCUCCUUACUAUCGUCGUGAAUUGCUUCGCAAAUUGGAACAAUUAAAACAAGGCAGUAACACUGUUCAUGCUUACUACUAAGAGUUCAAAUCUUAUAUGCAUCAUUGUGACAUAGAAGAAUCUGUGGAUGAUACAAUGAAUAGAUUUUUUUGGUGGUUUGAACCAUGAUAUUUAGGCACGAUUUCAGUAUAUUCCUCGUUGCAUUACUGGUAUGUAUGUUCGUGCUUGUACCUUUGAGAGACAGUUACAGGAGGAUGCAUUGGGUGACUACAACAACUACUAUUCUAGUUCAUGCUCACCACCACCGCUUGGUUCCUCCACCGUUGCACCUACUAGAGAAGCCACACCUCAGAUUGUGAGCGCAACAUCAUCUCAAGAGUAUGGUACAUUGCCAUCAUCCGUACCUACAUCAGCUACAUCUUUGCGACAAAGAAACUGUAAAGGUAUUGAUGAUAUAACUUCACAUGAGAAUGAUGCAUGCCUAGUUAACUUGAAUACAUCAUGUGUUGAGUUACCUGUUGAUUUGAGCGCAUCACCUAUUUUAGAGAAUCAUGUUACUGUCAUGAAUGCGUCAUGUGAUCAAACAACUGAAAUACCAACAAUUUUGAGUGCACCCAAUGAAUUAACUGUUGAUGCAAAAGAACCAAUGUUUAAUCAUUUUGAUAUGACCUCUAAUCUUGGUGAUGAUUCUGUGUCAAAUGACUUAUUGCAUGUUUGCUUAUUUAAGCAUGUUGUAGCAUGUAAAUUUGAUGCAAGUAAGGUUUAUUCACCAAUGUUGGGAUGGUUUAAUGAUGAAUAUUGUCAAUCUUUUCAUAUGAAUAAGAGCUUCACUUAUAUGUGCAAACUGAGUUGCAAUACUUUCAUGCCUUCUACUUCUUGUGAUAAUAUUUUGGCUUUAUAUUUUAUUAACUAUGAAAGUUACUCCUGUAUACAUGUGUCAUAUGUGCAAAAUCCACGGGAAGUAAAAAUGGAUGACAUAUACAUAUACAACAUGUACACCUUGUCUCUUUUGUUAGCCACAUUUCAGAUUAAGCAACGCCGAGGACGGCUUUAUUUUCAAGAAGGGGAGGAUGAUGAGGACAUGACUACCUUGGAUACGACCAAAAAUAUUGCAUACAUGCAUAUUUGUCAGGUGAUUUCUAGUGCAAACUAUUCAAUAAUCUAUUUAUGUUAUCCUUAACAAAAAAUACUUCACACACUUUUGUGUUUUGUCUAAUUGCAGGUGUAUGGGACAUUUGUACAAUCCACAUAUGAAGAUAGGGGAAAAGGAGAAGUUUAGGUUCUGUUCAAAAAGUCCUCUCACGUCACUUUUGGGCCAAGAGAAGAUAGAGUCCAAGUCUCUCACCUUCUGGAUUCAGAUUCAGACUGCACAGACAUACCUGACUCAAAACGCCAACAACUUUUUCAUACGGACUCCAAAUUGGGUGAUUCUUUUUUGUUGGAAAGUAGAUUUCGUCCUCUUUCCAACCCAAUUGGAUUCACCUUUAAAUUCGUCCGGAGCGUUGAGAUAUGGACGAAACAAUCUGAUGCUGCAGCAGAAUCCGAGUCAAACAACAAGUCAGAAGGUGUUGCAUCACCUCCACUUGGGCCCAUGAGCCUUGUACGACCUAGGGUUGGUUUUAGGCUGCCUUGGGACGUCCUCCCACCUCCUUGGCCGCCACCCCUUGCUCCUAUAUAAGUAGAUCCAUCUAGUAGCUUUUUCCUUGGGAUUUGUUUAGUUAAAAGUUAGCCAUUGCAACUUCGUGUACUUCGUUUGUGUCCAACGACCAGACCAAGACCGCUUACGGAUCCCCACCAUUAUCAAUACUUCAUAUAUAUUCACAAUAUUUAGAUUGCUUUAUCAUAUUCUUGCUCGUUCUUCGAUUGCUUGCAGGAAUAGGCCUUCGUGGUCAGGCUGACCGUGCUUCCAGCAUCGUCAGUAACCUCAGGAGAUUGGUUUAGCGAUUGCUAAGGCGCAACGUCGUGCACGUUUGUAGUCGGAUAGUCAAAGUCGUCUCCACCAAAUCGAUAAUUGUCAUCUCAUCGAAAGAUCAGGACACCCUCGCCUCUAUCAAGUUGCAAGACCCGUGAGACUCAUUCUUCUUCUUACGAUGGUGGACCUCUGCCGUGGAAACCCGAGGACAAGAUCUCUUCUUCAUACCACCACCAUCAUCUUCAUCACCAAAGGAAAAUUGAGUCUAGGGUACGGGCACUCCCCUUGGCUUUCGCCAAGCUUGGGGGAGGUGCCCCGGUAUGAUGAGGACAUCAAUACCAUUGUUACACCCACAACCCCUGCUACUAUACAUACUUGACCAAUUACUAGAGCUCGCGCACGCCAAUUAAAUUACCAGGUACUUUCAUUUCUUGGUAAUGAUUCUAAUGUUCAUGAGAAUAUGAUGCUGCCUAAAUUGGAUACAUUUGUUUUUCUUACAAAUGAAGGGCCUAGCUUUGAGAAGGAUGAACAUUGGAGCAAGAACAAGCAUGGAGAUGAUGGCAUGCGCAUGGGGAACAAGAACGGAGUUACAAGUGAUGAUUUCAGGACGUUGAAGCCNNNNNNNNNNNNNNNNNNNNNNNNNNNNNNNNNNNNNNNNNNNNNNNNNNNNNNNNNNNNNNNNNNNNNNNNNNNNNNNNNNNNNNNNNNNNNNNNNNNNNNNNNNNNNNNNNNNNNNNNNNNNNNNNNNNNNNNNNNNNNNNNNNNNNNNNNNNNNNNNNNNNNNNNNNGAAGCCACCAUAAUGCGUGCAUGAAGCUGAUGAGGACAUCAAUACCAUUGUUACACCCACAACCCCUGCUGCUAUACAUACUGGACCAAUUACUAGAGCUCGCGCACGCCAAUUAAAUUACCAGGUACUUUCGUUUCUUGGUAAUGAUUCUAAUGUUCAUGAGAAUAUGAUGCUACCUAAAUUGGAUACAUUUGUUUUGCUUACAAAUGAAGGGCCUAGCUUUGAGAAGGAUGAACAUUGGAGCAAGAACAAGCAUGGAGAUUAUGGCAUGCGCAUGGGGAACAAGAACGGAGUUACAAGUGAUGAUUUCAGGACGUUGAAGCCACCAUAAUGCGUGCAUGAAGCCUUGGACGAAAUAUACAAGAUGCUACUUCAUAACUUUCGUCCAGAGGCUAUUCUAGGUGCUGCGUCACCUUAUUAUUGGGCCAGGCCCAUGUAAUUUCGAAAUACUUGAGUAUAGGCUGUUUUUAGAGUCCGUAUGUGUGGGGAAACAAGAGAUAGGGUUGGUUUCGGACCCCUUCCCCAAGGGCCACGAAAUCCCCCCCCUUCUUCCUCCAUAUAUACAGCCCUUAGGGCGUCGUUUAGACUUUGGGUUUUGUUUAGAUUAAAAAUUCGCCAUAGCUGCAACUUCGCGUACUUCGUUUGUGUUCAACGACCAGACAAAGGCGUCACAGAACCCCACCUUGAUCAAUAAAGCUUUAAUCUUAUAUUCGCAAUAUCCAGAUUGCAAUCUCAGUUUCUUGCUUGUUCUUCGUUUGCUCGCAGGAAACAGACCCUCGUGGUCAGGUUGAUCAUGCUCCGGCGUGGUCAAUAACCUCUCGGAGUUGGUUUAGCGAUUGCUAAGGCGCGACGUCAUCGCACGUUCGUAGUCGGAUCGUCAAAGUCGACUUCCACCAAAGCGAUAUCCAUCAUCUCAUCGAAAGACGGGACACCUUUGCCUCUAUCAAGUGGUAUCAGAUUUCCAGGUUGCUCGGUGAGAUUUUACAGUUUUUCGUAGUUUAGAUCGAGUUUGUUCUUCAUACCUAUAGUCCACGAAAAAGCCAAAAAAAAUUUAGGGUUAGUUCAUCCUAUCCGAACCAAUCUGAGCCUUUGCAUAAUCUUUUCUGUGUUUGCUUUGUUGAAUUUGCGGUUGCAUCGUCGUGUCAAGUUGCUGGUCUUAGCGUCUAGUCCUUUAGAGUUUCGAGUUCUGUUCACAGGUUGUCACGUCGCCGCUGCCAUAUAUCACCACCGCAUCAUCAUCAUCGCUGCUGCCAUAUACCACCACCGCACCAACUUCAUCGCCGCUGCCAUAUACCACCACCACAUAUUCACCGCCAAUCCGAGUCCAUAUACGCCACCACAUAUCCGCCGCCAUCACGCCAAUCCGAGUACACCUGCAACGUAUAUCCGCCACCAGUCCGAGUUCCACCAGAUUCAUCUCCGCCACCAGUCCGAGUUCCACCAGAUUCAUCUCCGCCACCAGUCCGAGUUCCACCAGAUUCAUCUCCGCCACCAGUCCAAGUCCAGUAUUUUGUUACUCUGUUUUGGAUUUCCAGAUCACGCCAUACUCCGAGUCGUGACAGAGAAGGACUCCCAAACUUUUGUGUUACCCGCAGUAGAAAAAUAGUUCCAGUUUAAAAAAAACUAACUUUGGAAAAUUCUGGCUAGGCAGUUUUUAGACCAUUUGUAGACUUUUUCGAAAAAAAAAUGUUGCGGAGCAAAAAAAAAGGAAAAAGUGCAAAAAAAAGUGAAAAAAAAUUCAGAGUGUGCUCCUCCCUUGUUUACGUGCAGCGCCGUGAUUUUGUUAGUGUUCUAGGCUCGCGUCUCUAGCACGGUCUAGCCUAGGACCAGCACAGUACCGUCGUUGAGCGUUUAUUCAACUUUGCAUAUCUGAAUUGAUUAUUGCUGACCCUUUUUGCUACCAUAUUAUAAGCCUUCCCAGCUCCACAUACAUCUAUGUCGUGCGUUUGACUCUCCCUGGUAAUCGCUCUAUCCAAGCUUUGAGAGUUUUGACUACAACGGUUGCCGAUCACCACCUGCUGCUGGGUAAGAACUGGUAAGAAUUUGAGAUUCGCUUGAAGGAUUUGUGACACACCACCAUCACCACCACUUCCUAGUAGUCUGUAUUAUCAUAUUCUUUUGUGUUUCUAUUGCUGCUAACCAUGGCAGGAUCACAAGCCGAUGAGACUGAUUGGGAGAACAUGACAAACAAGGAGUUGCAUGAUAAAUUUCAGCAAAUGAUGAGUGGCCAGGUGGGAGAUGUGCUAAACAGAUUUGAAGAGGCUAUGGAGAGGAUAGAUGCCGUGGAGAAGUCGUUCGAGACAAAGCUGGAUAACAAGUUUAAUUAAUUGCUCAAGCGCCUUCCCCAACCGCCACCGGCUGCACCUGUCGCACCUCUACAACAACAACAACCACAUCUCCAACGCCGCCUUCCAAAUCAAGUGGGAUAAGCACAACGCGUUCCAAUUGAGACUGGUCAAAAUUUGGGUGUCGCUGCACCUACUGUUGAUGCUUCUUUGGCUCCUGCUACUGUGGCGGCUGAGGAGGAUGACGAUUAUGCAGGCGAUUAUGAGGAUGAGGUUGAUCAAAAUCAGAACUACGUGCAGCCACCAGCACCACCACCAGCAGGUCGACCUCAGGUAUAUGUUCGCAACGGUAGGCCUGCACCACCACCUCAGGUAAGAGAUCAUGACCAUGUUCCUAAACUGAAAUUGAAUAUUCCACCGUUUGAGGGUAGAUACAUUCCUAAUGAAUAUCUUACUUGGGAGUUAGAAACUGAACAACGUUUUACAUGUUUACCAUAUCCCGAGGAGAGACGGGUUGCUGCUGCUGUUUGUGCUUUCACUAGUUUUGCAUGUGUAUGGUGGUCUGAACAUUGUAGAUUAUAUCCUAUUCCAGCUACUUGGGCUGCUUUGAAAACUGCUAUGUGUACUCGUUGGGUUCCACCAUAUUAUCAACGUGAAUUGCUUCAAAAACUGCAGCGUUUACGACAAGGGAAAAAUUAUGUAGAAGAAUAUUAUCAGGAAUUACAAACUGGCAUGAUUAGAUGUGGUAUUGUUGAGGAGAAUGAAGCUAUGCUUGCACGUUUUAUGGGUGGUUUAAAUAGAGAGAUUCAGACCAUUCUAGAGUAUAAGGAGUAUACUAAUAUCACUCGUUUAUUCCAUCUUGCUUGUAAAGCUGAACGUGAAGUGCAGGAUCGACAAGCAUUGGCGCGAACUAAGUUUUCUGCAGGUCGACCUUCAUCAUGGACACCGCGUGCAUCUUCUACUUCCACUGCACCAGCACCUCCAUCAGGUUCCACCUCCAGCCGUGAUACAAGAAAGCAGGCACAACCACCACUAUCUGCCAAGAGCGCACCUGCCGGGCCUGCACAGAGCUCUUCUUCUUCCAUGGCAUCAACAGGGCACACAAGUGAUAUUAUUUGUCAUCGUUGUAAGGGAAGAGGACAUUAUGCGCGAGAAUGCAAAUCUCAGCGUGUAAUGAUUGCUACUGAGGAUGGUGGGCAUGAGUCCGCUAGUGACUAUGAUGAGGAGACUUUGGCUCUUAUUACACGUGAAGAACAUGGUGGAGAUGAUUCUGAAAAUGAGACGCAAUACAUGGCUCCUGAAGACGCUGACAGGUAUGAAUGUUUAGUUGCUCAACGUGUUUUGAGUGUGCAGGUCACACAAGCAGAGCAAAAUCAGAGGCAUAAUUUGUUCCAUACAAAGGGAGUUGUGAAGGAACGUUCUGUUCGCGUAAUCAUAGAUGGAGGGAGCUGUAACAACUUGGCAAGCAUGGAGAUUGUGGAGAAACUAUCUCUCACCACAAGACCACAUCCACAUCCUUACUACAUCCAAUGGUUCAACAACAGCGGCAAGGUUAAGGUAACACGUACUGUUCGUGUGCAUUUUAGUAUCUCCACAUAUGCUAAUUAUGUUGAUUGUGAUGUGGUACCCAUGAGAGCAUGUUCCUUAUUACUUGGUAGACCAUGGCAAUUUGAUAAAAACUCUGUACACCAUGGUAGAAACAAUCAGUAUACUCUUGUUCAUAAGGAUAAAAAUAUUACUUUGCUUCCUAUGACUCCUGAUUCCAUUUUGAAAGAUGACAUUAAUAGAGCUAAUAAAGCAAAACAUGAGAAAAAUAAGAGUGAAAAUCAGAUUGUGGCAAAAGAAUUUGAGCAACAAAUGAAACCUAAUAAUAAACCAUGUAGUGUUGUUUCUGAAAUUAAAUCGAAAAGUGCAUGUUUACUUGCCACAAAAUCUGAUAUUGAUGAGCUAGAUUUCAACAAAUCUGUUUGCUAUGCUUUUGUGUGCAAAGAGGCAUUAUUUUCAUUCGAGGACGUGCCUUCCUCUUUGCCCCCUGCUGUCACUAACAUUUUGCAGGAGUUCGCUGACGUCUUUCCACAAGACGUGCCACCGGGAUUACCACCUAUUCGAGGGAUUGAGCAUCAAAUUGACUUAAUUCCCGGUGCAUCGCUACCCAACCGUGCACCAUACCGUACCAAUCCAGAGGAGACGAAGGAGAUUAUGCGUCAAGUACAGGAGCUGCUCGACAAAGGUUAUAUACGCGAAUCUCUUAGUCCUUGUGCUGUUCCUAUUAUACUUUUGCUAAAAAGGAUGGUACAUCGCGUAUGUGUGUUGAUUGUAGAGGCAUUAAUAACAUUACUAUUCGUUAUCGUCAUCCUAUUCCUAGGCUAGAUGAUAUGAUUGAUGAAUUGAGUGGCUCUACAAUAUUUUCCAAAGUUGAUUUGCGUAGUGGACACCAUCAAAUUCGUAUGAAACUGGGAGAUGAAUGGAAAACAACAUUUAAAACUAAGUUUGGUUUAUAUGAGUGGUUAGUCAUGCCUUUUGGGUUAACUAAUGCACCUAGUACUUUCAUGAGACUAAUGAACGAAGUUUUACGUGCUUUUAUUGGACGAUUUGUGCUAGUCUAUUUUGAUGAUAUACUGAUUUAUAGCAAAUCUUUGGAAGAACAUUUGGAACAUUUACGUGCUGUUUUUAUUGCUCUACGUGAUGCACGUUUGUUUGGUAACCUUGGGAAGUGCACCUUUUGCACCGACCGAGUAUCUUUUCUUGGCUAUGUUGUUACUCCACAGGGAAUUGAAGUUGAUAAAGCCAAGAUUGAAGCUAUUGAGAGUUGGCCGCAGCCCAAAACGGUCACACAAGUGAGGACUUUCCUUGGCCUCGCUGGUUUCUAUAGGCGUUUUGUGAGAGAUUUCAGCACCAUUGCUGCACCUCUCAACGAGCUUACAAAGAAGGAUGUGCCAUUUGUUUGGGGUACCGCACAGGAAGAAGCCUUCACGGUAUUGAAAGAUAAGUUGACACAUGCUCCUUUACUCCAACUUCCUGAUUUUAAUAAGACUUUUGAGCUUGAAUGUGAUGCUAGUGGAAUUGGAUUAGGAGGUGUGUUAUUACAAGAUGGUAAACCUGUUGCAUACUUUUCUGAAAAGUUGAGUGGGCCUAGUCUGAAUUAUUCUACUUAUCAUAAAGAACUAUAUGCUCUUGUUCGGACUUUAGAAACAUGGCAACAUUAUUUAUGGCCCAAAGAAUUUGUUAUACAUUCUGAUCAUGAAUCUUUGAAACAUAUUAAAAGUCAAGCUAAACUGAAUCGUAGACAUGCUAAAUGGGUUGAAUUCAUUGAAACUUUCCCUUAUGUCAUUAAACACAAGAAGGGUAAAGAAAAUGUUAUUGCUGAUGCAUUGUCUCGUCGCUAUACUAUGCUUUCACAACUUGACUUCAAAAUAUUUGGUUUGGAGACCAUCAAAGAUCAAUAUGUGCAUGAUGCUGAUUUUAAAGAUGUUUUGCAGAAUUGUAAAGAAGGAAGAACCUGGAACAAGUUUGUCGUUAAUGAUGGAUUUGUGUUCCGUGCUAACAAGCUAUGCAUUCCAGCUAGCUCUCUUCGUCUUUUGUUGUUGCAGGAGGCGCAUGGAGGAGGAUUAAUGGGACACUUUGGCGUGAAGAAGACGGAGGACGUACUUGCUACACAUUUCUUUUGGCCAAAGAUGAGACGGGAUGUUGAGCGUUUUGUUGCUCGCUGCACUACAUGUAAAAAAGCUAGGUCACGAAUCAAUCCUCAUGGUUUAUAUAUGCCUUUGCCUGUACCUAGUGUUCCUUGGGAGGAUAUAUCUAUGGACUUUGUUUUAGGUUUACCUCAAACAAAGAAGGGGAGGGAUAGCAUAUUUGUUGUCGUGGAUAGAUUCUCAAAAAUGGCACACUUUAUACCAUGUCAUAAAAGUGAUGAUGCUGUUAAUGUUGCUGAUUUGUUCUUCCGUGAAAUUAUUCGUUUGCAUGGUGUGCCAAAUACUAUUGUUUCAGAUCAUGAUACUAAAUUUCUUAGCCAGUUUUGGAGAUGUUUAUGGGCUAAGUUGGGGACUAAACUGCUUUUUAGUACUACUUGUCACCCCCAAACAGAUGGACAAACUGAAGUAGUCAAUAGAACAUUGUCUACUAUGCUUAGGGCUGUUUUGAAGAAUAAUAAGAAAAUGUGGGAAGAAUGCUUGCCUCAUAUUGAGUUUGCUUAUAAUCGUUCAUUGCAUUCUACUACUAAGAUGUGCCCUUUUGAAAUUGUGUAUGGUUUCCUACCUCGUGCACCUAUUGAUUUGUUGUCUCUUCCAUCUUCGGAGAAGGUUAAUUUUGAUGCUAAACAACGUGCUGAAUUGAUCUUAAAAAUGCAUGAGUUAACUAAGGAAAACAUUGAGCGUAUGAAUGCUAAAUAUAAACUUGAUGGAGAUCUAGUUUGGUUACAUUUGCGUAAGGAUAGAUUUCCUGAUUUUCUCAAAUCAAAGCUAAUGCCAUGUGCUGAUGGUCCUUUUAAGGUGUUAGAGAAAAUAAAUGAUAAUGCAUAUAAACUUGAGUUGCCUGCAGAUUUUGGGGUUAGUCCCACUUUUAACAUUGCAGAUUUGAAGCCUUAUUUGGGUGAGGGAGAUGAGCUUCCGUCGAGGACGACUUCAUUUCAAGAAGGGGAGGAUGAUGAGGACAUCAAUACCAUUGUUACACCCACAACCCCUGCUGCUAUACAUACUGGACCAAUUACUAGAGCUCGCGCACGCCAAUUAAAUUACCAGGUACUUUCGUUUCUUGGUAAUGAUUCUAAUGUUCAUGAGAAUAUGAUGCUGCCUAAAUUGGAUACAUUUGUUUUGCUUACAAAUGAAGGGCCUAGCUUUGAGAAGGAUGAACAUUGGAGCAAGACCAAGCAUGGAGAUGAUGGCAUGCGCAUGGGGAACAAGAAUGGAGUUACAAGUGAUGAUUUCAGGACGUUGAAGCCACCAUAAUGCGUGGAUGAAGCCUUGGACGAAAUAUACAAGAUGCUACUUCAUAACUUUCGUCCAGAGGCUAUUCUAGGUGCUGCGUCACCUUAUUAUUGGGCCAGGCCCAUGUAAUUUCGAAAUACUUGAGUCUAGGCUGUUUUUAGAGUCCGUAUGUGUGGGGAAACAAGAGAUAGGGUUGGUUUCGGACCCCUUCCCCAAGGGCCACGAAAUCCCCCUCCCUCUUCCUCCAUAUAUACAGCCCUUAGGGCGUCGUUUAGACUUCGGGUUUUGUUAAGAUUAAAAGUUCGCCAUAGCUGCAACUUCGCGUACUUCGUUUGUGUUCAACGACCAGACAAAGGCGUCACAGAACCCCACCUUGAUCAAUAAAGCUUUCAUCUUAUAUUCGCAAUAUCCAGAUUGCAAUCUCAAUUUCUUGCUUGUUCUUCGUUUGCUCGCAGGAAACAGACCCUCGUGGUCAGGUUGAUCGUGCUCCGGCGUGGUCAAUAACCUCUCUGUCGGGUGGUUGGUGCGACAUAUGCCAACGGAUGGCUUAUCAUUGUGGGUGCCAAUAAGACAUCGCCGAUGCCUGGAAACGGGAUGAGGCGAAGACAUGCACGCCGGCGGAUCUUACCCAGGUUCGGGGCUCUCCGAGGAGAUAACACCCCUAGUCCUGCUCUGCGGGGUCUCCGCAUGAUCACUAGAUCAAGGAAAGGUUGCUACAAUCGCUCCUGGAGCUGUUGGGUUCAAGGGAGAAGAAGAACAAGGCUAGCUCUUGCUUCUCUCUAUCUCUACGGUGUGUGUGUUGUGUUCAGAAGCUAACCCUUUGCAUGGGUGCUCCGGGGGGUUUAUAUAGGCCUACCCUCCGGGGGUACAAUGGUAAUCCGGCUGGGCACUGGUCCCAGCCGUCAGUGUCUACGCUCGCCGGCUUCUCCGCCGGCUGUUGGGUCCCGCCGACUGGUGGGUCCCGCCGGCUGCCGGCUUCUUGGUCGACAGGCCGGCCCCACCGCCUAGGGUCUUGUCGGCGGCUGCUUACUGUAGCCUCGCCUCUGAUGACGAGGGCUUUGUCGAGGUAAGCGUGGCUACAGUGGGCCGCCUUGGGGGCUCUCACUUUAGCCUUACCUCGUCUUGUCUCCUUAAUGGGGCUCCUGCUUCGAGGAAGGGGGUAGCCGGCUUCUGGGGGCCGGCUACACCCUCGGUUGACUGGGGGAGGCCGGGCCGCCUCCGCGCCUCUCUCUGGCGGAAGGGGCCCGGCGCCUGCGGGCCGUACAGGAGUCGGUCGUGGAUGAUGUCGAGGCUGGCAUGGCUACAGUGCCGAGCCGAACAGGAGACGGUCAUCUCGUACGGCCUCCUGUGACCAUGCCUGCCUCGGGCCUCGGGGGUAGUGGGCCGCACUAUGGCCACACCCCGUCUUGUCACCGUUAUGUGGGUGUAGCUUUGGUGGUUGUCGUCUCGGUCGGCUUCUUGGAGUCGGCGUCCUUCUUGGCCGGCUUCUUGGAGUCGGCCACCCCGUAGUCGUCCUGGGGAGGGGUUGCUGAGGCUGGGUCGCCUUCCGGGAGUCGGCUUCAGAGGUAGCCGGCUAGGGGAGGCGGCCCAAUGCUUGGAGUGCUUGGAGGUCCGAAGGCCUGAUAAAUUCAACAACAGAACCAGGGGCAGUCGGCUAGGCUACCCGUGGCCAUUUACUCCGACAGUAGUCCCCGAAGCUGAUUGGGCUUCGAGGUGGAGUAGGGGUUGAGAAGCUCGAUCAGCUUCCUAUCUUGACAAGUCGGCAGCUGGGAGCCGGCUUUAGUUAGGCGUGCCGCCUUGGUCGAAAACUCCGGAGUCGGAGGGCGGGAGCUCGCUAGCGUCUGCUCCGGGCCGCGAGCCGGCCACUUGCUGUCUGCGAACCACGUGGCCCCCCUCGGCCAGAAAGCCUGCCAGCCCAUGCGCGUGACGGGACGUCGCCGCAGGGCGGGGGCCCGCCACGUCCGCGCCCGGGCCUAGGCGCGGAUUCUCUGUAUCCCGAAACCGCCCGCACGUUUCCUUGCGGCAGUUUCGGCUCGCCUUUAGGGCGCAAUAAUCGCGGGGCGUGGGGGGAAUGGGCGCAGUUAAUCCCACGUCUCCCCCCACGUCCGGCCUCUUCGGCCUCGCCUCGCGAAGCUAUAAGUAGGGGGAGGUGGAGGGCGGCAGGCCCUCGCACGCUCCUCCUACUUCCACCAUCUUCUUCGCUCGCCGUUUCUUGCAACAGCGCCUCGCCGCUGCACUCUUCCACCGCACGUUCCUCCACCGCCGCGCUAGUUUUUGCCAUGCCUCCCGCCACGGAGCAGUAUGGCGGGGAUUGGGACGGCUCCAACGUGCACGAAGACCACGUCGAGUUCCUCCGCAAUACUCGGCGGCUGCCGGCCGCGGACAAGGUGGAGGUCCGCCUUGCGCCGGCGAGGGAAAUUACGCCGGAGCCGCGGGAGGGCGAGCGGGUGGUCUUCCGCUCACACUUCUUGCGUGGCAUCGGCCUGCCAGCGAGCGCCUUCUUCCGCUCCUGGCUCGACUUCUAUCAGCUCCAGCCGCACCAUCUCACCCCAAACGCGGUGGUGCUGCUGUCCGCCUUCGUCACCCUAUGCGAGGGCUACCUCGGCGUCCUCCCCACCCUUGGGCUCUGGGGGGAGUUCUUCCAGUCGAAGCUGGGCACGCGCAUGCGGGCCGUGCCGGCUCAGACUGGCGCCUUCAUCGCGUCGCGGAGAUCGGUCGCCGACAACCCCUUCCCCGUCAUCACGCUGAUCCAAUCGGUGAAGAAGUGGCAAAAAUCGUACAUCUAUGUGCGGAACAUCGCCCCGCGGGGCGACUACAUCAACCUGCCGGCUUACGUAGCCGGCCCACCAGAGGGCAGGCGGCCCCAGUGGUCCUUCCGGGCCGUGACUCUGACGCCGGCCGGGUCCACCGCCGUCGCCCGAGUGCGGGAGCUGACCCAGGCAGAGGGCUUGACGGGGCCCGACCUUCUGGCCGCGUUCGUCACGCGCCGGGUUCUUCCGCUCCAGAGCUGGCCUCAUCUGAUCUGUCAGAUGAGCGGCCAGCUCGAUCCGAGCCGAAUGUGUACCAAGGAGAUGCCGCGCGAGGAGGUCGCCUAUAUGGUGAACUACCUUGCGAACUGCAAACUCACCGAAGAGUGGCAGUUCGGCAAGGAACCGUAUAGCCGAGCCAAUCCGCCGCCUACGGUAUGUUCUCCUUGUCUCUUUCUCUCUCUCUUCGCUUUGUUGCCGAGUUCCUCUUAGCCGAUUCUAACUUAGUCGGUUUGCUUUUCGACAGAGCCCUCUGCUUCGGCCAGCUGGCGGGUCAGACUCGGAGCGCCGAUUUGUCCCCGACCGGACCGAACACGAUCUGGAGGACCCCGACCUGGGGGCGGCCGGUAUGGACGACGACGUCGAGCCGGGUGGUGGCCAAGCCGGCGGCGAAGCAGGCGGCUCCGGGCUCGGAGUUACCUUUGACGACUGGCCGGACGACGAUGAGGCCGAAGUCGUCCCGCGCCGCCAGCCGGCAUCUGGACGCGGCGCGGGUUCCUCCGCCGCGCUGCCUGCUCGGGGUGGAGGUCAAAAGCGUCGCGCCGCCCAGGGUUUGUUCGGCAGCCGAACGAAGAAGCCCAGAGGCGGGGCGGCAGCCACCAGGCGGGAGGAGGCGGCCGCGAAGGCGGCUCGCUUCCGCAAGACGGUGAAGCAACCGCAGACCGUGUCGGCGUAAGUUCACUUUCUUUCGUAUACUCUUUUUUCUUUCUUUUCUUUGGUGGUUCCUGAACUCUUGUCUUUUUCUUCAACGAUCAGAGCUCCAUUGUCGCUUGAGCGGGCGGCUGCCGCCUCCGUCGUUGAGUCGCCGAGGGGCUCUGGGAGCACCACCCGCCGCGUGGACCCCCGUGCCGACCUUCAGGAGGCGACAGAAAGGAACGCGCGGGAGGCGCGGGCGGAGCGAGAGGCGCGGGAGGCGGAGGCACGGAGGGCGGCCGCCACCCAGGCGGCACGGGAGGAGGAGGCGGCGAAGGCACUCGCCGAUGCCGCAGCCAGGGCCCAAGCAGAGGCUGCGGCCGCGGCGGCGACGGGGGAGGUUUUGAUGGUCACCCCGCUGUGCGUCAUGGCGCCUGGGGACAUGGAGCCCUCGCCAGAGGGAGCCAGCGGCGACCAGCCAGGGCUGGGGGGAAGCGACGACGUCAUCAUCCUGGAGAGGGCGCCGGUGCCGACCCCGCCAACUGGGGCGGUCCAGCUCGUCGGCCCGGGAUGCGGAGGCGGCCAGCGCUACCUCGGGGUGGACGCCAGGCGGAGGGACGGCCGUGGUGAACGUGGCUGCACAGGACGUCCGGACCCGGCUCCAGGGCCAAGCUGCGGCGCUGAGGCAGUUCACCGAUGAGUUCCUCGUGGCGCGGGCGGCCAUCCGGGUUAGUAUUCCCAUCUUGCUUCUUCUUGAUCUUGAUUUCUUCCGUGGGGGCGCGUCAGCGCACCCACUGGGUGUAGUCCCCGAGUUCUGAGUCGGCUGCUGAGCAGGCGGCUUGGAACUUCUUGGUGGAUUUGCCUUUGCUAUUUUUGUUCUUACUUCGGUCUUCUGUCCAUCUUGCAGGACUACCACAACCUUCGAGCGGCCGCCUUCAACUCCCAGGCUCGGGAGCUGACUCAGAAGACCGCCGACCUUACUGAGAGCCGAGGUACGUGCUUUGUUCUUUAUCUCAUGUGGGGGCGCGUCAGCGCACCCACUGGGUGUAGUCCCCGAGAUUCAGGCCGACUGCUGAGCAGUCGGGUCGGAUCUUCCUUGACGACUUCUUCUUAUUGUUCUUUCUUUUUCUGCCGUCCCUGCAGCGGCCAACGCCAGUCUUAGGGCACAGCUGGGAGAGUCUCAGACUGCCCUUCGUGCCAAGGAUGCCGAGCUCGCCGCCUUGGUGCAGGAGCGCGACCGCCUGGUCAAGAAGCUGGCCGACCAGGAGGAGGGCCACAAGGCGGCCCUGAAGGUGGUGCAGGACCGCGAAGCCGCCCUCCAGGCCGAGUACGAGACGGAGGCGGCUGGCUGGGCUGAGGCCAGGCAGACUCUGGUCUCUGGCUAUGACCAGAUCGAAGAUCUGGUUGACGGUAAGCCGCCUACCUCUUCGUCCUUUCUUGCCAUCUGCCACUUUGGCUCUUUUUCUGAUUUGGUGCUCUUUUCUCCUUUUCUUCUUCUUUCUUGCGCAGAAUAUUUCCCUGGCUAUUCUACUGUCGCCAACCAGACCAUCGAGGCCCGUCGCCAAGCGCGAAGGCAGGCUGGCUUUGAGAUCUCGCCAACCGCCGGCCGCUCGCUGGAGGAGCAGCUCCUGGCGAUCCAGGCCCGCAUCCAGCCGGCUCACCGACUGCUCCGUCGGCUUCAGCGUGCCGGGGCGCAAGUCUUGGCCGCCCUCUGGCCCGGCCAAGUGGUUCCUCGCACCCCCAGUCGGACUGCCGACUGGCUGGAGGUGGCAGUCGGCCGCUUCGAGGCUUGGAAGGCCUCGGCGGCUCGCUCCGGCGCCAGGCGGGCGCUGGAGUUCGUCAAGGCCUGGUAUCCCGGCCUGAGCCUGGAUCAGCUGGCUACCUGGCGGCAGCAAGCCGACACAGAGCUGGAGCCGGCGCGGCCGGCUAUCAUCCGGCGGGCUUCGGCGAUCACCGAUUACACCGACACCAGCGUCUUCGCCCCCGAGGUAGAUGACAACGGUGUCGCCCAGCCGGAGGAGUGGUUCGGGCUGAACCCGGCGGACGGUGAGGACUCGGCGGAGGAGAUCGACUCCAGCGACGAGGGCGAAGAGGAGGAGGAGGGUGAAGACGCCGAGCCGGCUGGUGGGGCAGCCGGCCAGCCUCAGCCUGACCGUACCUCCAGCACUACGUCGCGAGCGAGUGCGUCGCCUGCCGCUGAUGGUGGUCAAGCCGAGACCCGCUAGGCGGCCACUCCUUCAGCCGGCGGGGCCGUCUCCACCAACCAGCUCGGCCUCCGCGCCGCGCCCUAGUCUGCCAUCUUUUGUUUUCCUGUCUUGUUACUUUUGGAACAAUGUUUGGUUAAGUCUGCACAAUUCCACCCACUGGGUGUAUUCGAACUUAUGUCUGUUGCCAGCCUGUUGGGGGCUUUAUGUGUAUAUAUAACUUAUGCAUUCGGCCUUUCCUUGUACUUUUGCUUUUUGUCCUUGUGUUGUUUCCUUUGCCGCCCUCCCUUGGUGGCCGCCUCCCCAGUCCAACAGUUGCUCUGCAAUCUGUAGCUGUAGGAGUGCUUGGCCAAUUGGGGGGAGGAGUACUUUAGCUUUGCUGGACUAAAGCUAAGUGUUUAGGAAGCCGGCCAGCCGGCUGUUCUGGCAGCCGGCAGGCAUGUUUGGAGGCCGUCUCUUUGCUAUAUAGGUUCGUUGUUCCUUAGCCAUUUUUCGUGUGGGCGUCCUUUCUGCCUUGCCUCUUGCUAGUCGGACAGUCGGUUCUUCGAGCUGCGACUUUCAACAAGAGGGGACUCGGGAGCCGGCACACUACUUUUCUGACUUCAUGUAGAACUUUCAAUAUAGCUCAAGGCGGCCAGUCCCCGGGCCGACUAGUCGAACCCGGUGCCAAACAAGAAUUCAAAAUGUAAUAAUACAUUCAUGGAUAUGACACUUGUCAUUCAUAGAUAAACAAGGGCAGUCCCCGAGUACUGCUCGGGGGGCCUGUUGGUUUGUACUUAAUACAAAAAAGGGUAGCAUGAUACAUACUGCUUUCAACUGUAAAAUCAUCUCAGGAGGUUUGCGUUCCAUGGUCGCUCCGACUCCUUGCCGGAGUCGUCUCUCUUGCGUGCUCUUGGUUUUUGCGCGUCGAUCAAGUAGUAGGAGUCGUUGCCGAGUGCCUUGCUGACGACGAAGGGGCCUUCCCAAGGGGCCGAGAGCUUGUGCUGGCCGGCUGUUCGCUGGAUCAGCCGGAGCACAAGGUCGCCCUCUUGAAAGGAUCUUGGCUUGACCUUGCGGUUGUAGUAGCGGCGCAGCCCUUGCUGGUAGAUGGCGGACCGGCUGAGUGCUAGCAGCCGGCCUUCUUCCAGUAGGUCCACGCCGUCUUCUCUUGCUUCUUUGGCCUCCUCCUCCGUGUACAUGGUGAUCCGAGGCGAGUCGAACUCGAUGUCUGUUGGGAUGACAGCCUCGGCACCGUACACGAGGAAAAAUGGAGUGAAGCCGGUUGCCUUGUUGGGUGUAGUGCGCAGGCUCCAGAGGACAGCCGGCAGCUCUUCGAGCCAGCAGCCGGCCGAUCGCUCCAGUGGUACAACCAGUCGGGGUUUGAUGCCGGAGAGGAUGAGUCCAUUUGCUCGCUCGACCUGGCCGUUUGACUGCGGGUGGGCAACGGACGCUAAGUCCAGUCGGAUGCCCUGCGUCGCGCAGAAACGUGCCAGUGCUCCUUUGGCGAAGUUCGUGCCGUUGUCGGUGAUGAUGCUGUGCGGCACGCCGUACCGAGUAGUGAUGUCGGUGAUGAAUGUCACGGCAGUCGGCCCAUUCAGCUUUUUGAUCGGCUUUGCUUCGAUCCACUUUGUGAACUUGUCCACAGCGACAAGUAGAUGCGUCAAGACGCCGCGGGCUGUCUUGAAAGGGCCCACCAUGUCCAGUCCCCAGACGGCAAAAGGCCAGGCGAGGGGAAUGGUCUUGAGUGCAGAAGCCGGCAGGUGUUGCUUGGAACUAAAAACUUGGCAUCCUCUGCAGCUCUUGACUAUUUCUUUAGCAUUCUCCAAGGCAGUCGGCCAGAAGAAACCAUGGCGGAAAGCCUUGGCCACAAGUGAUCUUGAGGCUGCGUGGUGGCCGCAUUCACCUUGGUGGAUGUCUUUGAGGAUUGCCACUCCUUUUUCUGGCUCGACACAACGCUGGAAGACUCCAGUGACGCUGCGCUUCACAAGCUCUCUGUUGAUUAUUGUAUAUGCUGCGGGUCAUCGUUGCACUAGUCUUGCUGAGAUCUCAUCAGCCGGCAGCUCUCUGCUGACUAGGAACUUGAGGAUGGGCUGGGCCCAUGAGGGAGCUGUGACUUCUUCUGUUAAUGUAGCCACCAUGACUCGGGUGGGUGGGUUGGGUGAGUCGGCCACUGCUUCUUGUGUCGUUGUAGUCCCCGGGCCGACUGCUGCAGUCCCCAGGCCGGGUUCUGAAGUCCCCGGGCCGGGUGCGACUACGGCAGUCCCCGGGCCAGUUGUCUCAGUCCCCGUGCCGCCUGCGGGGUUUCUCCAGUCGGAUCUGGCUGUGUCUGGCGCAGGUGGUACGAAGAUGGAAUCCGACUCUGGAGACGGCUUGAUGGACGGCUUGAGGAGGCGCUGGAGGGAGACGCCAGUCGGUAUGGCUUGUCGAGUGGAGCCAAUCCGUGCUAGGGCAUCUGCUUGGUCAUUGUCGGCCCUUGGCACGUGGAGGAACUCGCACCCCUCGAAGUAUCCGCUGAUCUGCUGGACGAGCAAUCGAUAACUCGCCAUGUUCGCGUCCUUGGCGUCCCAGUCGCCAGACGAUUGCUGGACCACCAAGUCUGAGUCGCCGUAGCAUAGGAUCCGGCGUAUGCCAAGCUCUUUGGCUAGCCGGAGCCCGUGUACGAGCGCCUCGUACUCGGCCACGUUGUUGGAGGCGGCAAAGUGGAUCUGCAGCGUGUACUUGAGCUUGUCGCCUUUGGGAGAGGUGAGGACGAUGCCGGCUCCCAAGCCGGUGCGCAUCUUGGACCCGUCAAAGUGCAUCCGCCAAUGGGUAGAGUCGGGAGCCGGCGGUAGGUACUGGGUCUCGGCCCAGUCGACGAGGAAGUCGGCCAAUGCUUGCGACUUGAUGGCGGUGCGGGGCUGGUAGAAGAUUGUGUAGGACGCCAACGCGAUGGCCCAUUUUGCCACCCGGCCGGAUGCAUCCCGGCUGCCUAUGAUCUCGGCGAGCGGGGCAGUGCAUACGACCGUGAUGGGGUGCUCUUGGAAGUAGGGCUUCAGUUUCUUGGCAGCGAAGUACACCCCAUAGCACAUCUUCUGGUAGUGCGGGUAGUUUUGCUUUGAGCUGGAUAGCACUUCGCUGAGAUAGUACACCGGCCUCUGGACUAGCUGGGCUCGGCCUUCCUCCGGGCGCUGGACCACAACAACAGUGCUGACGACUCGGCUAGUCGCGGCGAUGUAGAGGAGCAUGGGCUCCUUCUCAGUCGGCGCCGCCAGGACAGGCGGAGUGGUCAGCAUUUUCUUCAACUCAUGGAAGGCUUGGUCGGCUUGGUCGUUUCACUCGAAGUGAGUGGACUUCUUCAUGAGUCGGUACAGGGGGAGAGCCUUCUCUCCUAGUCGACUGAUAAAACGAUUCAAGGAGGCUAAGCAGCCAGUGAAUUUCUGCACAUCUCGCUGUUUGGUGGGAAUCUCCAUCCUCUCGAUGGCCUUGAUCUUGACAGGGUUGCAUUCAAUGCCGCGUUCGGAGACCAGGAAGCCCAGUAGCUGGCCGGCUGGCACUCCGAACACGCACUUCUCGGGGUUGAGCUUGAUUUGGAAUCGGCGCAAGUUGGCGAAUGUUUCUUUCAGGUCUUCCAGCAAGGUACCGCGCUUCUCUGUCUUCACCACAAUGUCGUCUACAUAGACGUGGGCAUUUCUGCCGAGUUGUUUCAAGAGGCAUUUCUGCAUGCAACGCUGAAAAGUGGCAUCGGCAUUCCUCAAGCCGAAUGCCAUAGUCAGGUAGCAGAAAGCUCCAAAGGGUGUGAUGAAGGCAGUCUUCAGGCGGUCAGCUGGGUCCAACUUGAUCUGAUGGUACCCUGAGUACGCAUCCAAAAAACUUAACAGCUCGCAUCCGGCUGUGGAGUCUAUCACUUGGUCAAUCCGUGGCAGAGCAAACGGAUCCUUUGGGCAGGCCUUGUUCAGACUGGUGUAGUCUAUACACAUACGCCACUUGUUAUUCUUCUUCAGAACCAGAACUGGGUUGGCAAGCCACUCUGGAAAGAACACUUCCAUGAUAAAGCCAGCGGCAAGGAGUCGGGCUAUCUCUUCUCCCACAAUUCUUCGCUUCUCUUCUGACAGUCGGCGGAGGGGUUGCUUGACCGGCUUCGCAUCAGAUCGGACAUGUAAUUUGUGCUCGGCGAAAUCCUUCGGGACACCCCGCAUGUCCUUUGGGGACCAUGCAAAGAUGUCUCGAUUCUCACGGAGGAAGUCGACGAGCUCGCCUUCCUAUUUACUGUCCAAGUUCGCCCCAAUGACAGCGAACCUCUCCGGGUUCUCCGGGUCCAGGGGUAUCUUCUUCGUCUCUUUGGCAGGCUGGAAGGAGCCCUGCGCAUCACAAUCCUUGGGGUUGGGGGACAAGGCCGGCUGCUUGCCGGCCAUGGCCACAACCCGUUCCGACAUCUUCUUCUCUCCUGCCACCACGAGGGACUCGGCCAGCCGGCUACUGGCCAUGGCGCACUCGAUGGACUUCUUGUAGUCGCCGGCUACCGUGAUGAUCCCCUUCGAGCUCGGCAUCUUCAUCUUCAGGUAGGCGUAGUGGGGCACAGCCAUGAACUUGGCCAGGGCAGGUCGGCCGAGCAGUGCAUGAUAGGGGCUCUCCAAAUCCACUACCUCGAACCAUAUUGCUUCUCGGCGAAAAUGAUCUUUGUCUCCGAAGAGAACAUCCAUUUUGAUCUUGCCGAUUGGGGAGCAAGACAGGCCAGGGACGAUACCAUGGAAGACGGUGCGGCUCGGCAUGAGCUGCUUCGCUUUGACGUUCAGCUUCUCCAUGGUAUCGCGGUACAGUAUGUUGAUACUGCUUCCGCCGUCUAUCAGGACGCGGGAAAAUCUGGCAGCUCGCCUCUCCGUCGCGAGGGUGACAUCCAAGACCAUUGCAUAGGAGCCAGGCGAAGGCAUUACCUCUGGGUGGUCAGCCUGGCUUCAGCUGAUUGGUUUCUCUGACCAGUGCAUGAACUCGGGAGUGUUAGUGGCGACUGCAUUCACUUCUUGAUGUUGUCGGCGUCGGCCGCGCUUGUCGUCGGCUUGACUGGUGAAGACGACGUAGGCGGCGUGCUCUUCGGGAAAUUCGUCUUGGAUGGCGCCGACUGCCGGCCGAGCCGCCGGCUGCUGGGGGGCUGGAGGCGGCGGGCCGAGAGGCGGAGGCGGCAACAUCCCCUCGCCCUUGGUGAUGCGGGUGAGCCAGUGGCAUGUCCGGGUUGUGUGGUUGGACGGCUUCGCGCCGCUGUGGAACUUGUAGGGGGCGUCGAGAGCUUGUUCGUAGGAGAAAGACGGCUGCCAAGCCGGCCUUCCACCCUUCUUCUUGGGAGCGGGCCGUUCUUCGGGUUGCUCGUCUUCAACGGUGGCCACCUGCCGACUGGAGGAAGUCGGUAUGGGGGCCUUUCGCUUGUGGUCGUUCUGGUAGGGGCGCCGAUUAGGGUCGCCAGCCGGCGUCUUAGGAGCCGGAGCAAUCACUUUCCCCGAGGCGUCCACUCGGAGCUCCGUCUUCAUUGAGGAGUCAGCUGUGGCGUACUUGUCCGCGAUGACCAGCAACUCAUCGAGGGUAGCCGGCUCGUCACAGAGGAGUCGGUGCUUGAGGAGGGUGCCCUCUCGGCACCCGACGGUGAAGUACUCGAUGGCCUGGACCUCGUGCACCCCCUCGCAGGAGUUGCGGAGCUCGGCCCAUCGCGUGAGGUAGUCGCGGGUCGACUCGUUGGGCCCUUGGACGCAGAGGGAGAGCUGGCGAGGCUUGGGAGGCCGCUUGUAGGUGCUGGUGAAGUUGCGGACGAAGACUUCGAUGAAGUCCAGCCAACUGUUGAUGCUGUAGGGCUUGAGGCUGUUGAGCCAUGUGCAUGCCGUGCCUUGCAGCAUGAGGGGGACGUACUUCACGGCGACGCGCCGAUUGCCGUUGGCUAUGCUGACGGCCGUGGAGUAGUCGAUGAGCCAAUCUUCCGGCUUCACCGAGCCGUUGUACUUGGGCGUGUCUCUGGGGAGCGAGAACCCUUUGGGGAAGGGCUCGUCGCGGAUGCGGGGGCCAAAGCAUGGCGGGCCGACAUCGUCUUCUUCUUCUAAUGCCAAGGAUCGAGCAAGGCGGUCGAUCCUGUGGCGGGCGUCGUUCUCGCCGACUCCUUCUCGACGGCCGAGUCGGUCGCCAAUAGUCGGGUGUGUGAUAGGCGGCGGAGUGAGGCGUCUUUCUCUUCGAGGCGGGGGAGGAGGCAGAUUUCCUUGGUGUUCAACCGCUCGAGGGCGGCCUUCCGCGUCGCGCUCGAUGGUAAUGCGAGUCCGGCUGCGGCUGGCAGCCGGCUCCUUGUCUUUCUUCUGGCACGCGCCGCUCGCAGUCGGCGAGCGGGACGUCGCGGCGUGCUCCCGGCGCGGGGGAUGACUAUCAGCGCGGGCGCCGGCUUCGUGCCGUUCUGCAGCCGCGUCGAUCAGCUGCUGGAUCCGUCUUGCCAUGUAGGGGAGCUCAUCGGCUCCCAGCCCAUUGAGCUCUUCUGCAGCCGCCUGAGCGGCUCGUAGAUUCUCGAGCGGGGUGGCGUAGACGGGGCGAUCUGCCCCCAGCAUGCUGGCGACGGCCGCGCCGCGCUUCUGGACGAAGCCGGCUCGGCUCGGGCCGCUAGGCAUCGGCGUACCGAAGGCGGCGCGGUCGACUUCGCGCUGGUGGGCCUCGGUGAGGCGUCUCAUGGAGGCUAUCUUCUGGCCCUCCGCGAUGAGGGCAAGGCGGCGUGCCUCUAGGGUCUCGGCGUCAGCGUCGGCCGGGAUGGGGGCGGAGAGGUCGUGCAUUGCCACUUGCAGGGCGUCGUGGGCAUUCUCGCCCGAGUUGGCGACGUGGCUGAUGACCAGCACUUCGGUGACAGCGCUGCUGCCGCUGUCAGCUCGAGGGAGGGGGUCGUCCAAGACCACCACGUCGGAGGGGUAGGCGUCAAGCGAUGCUGUGUCGGAGUCGAUGAGCAUCGGGUCGGUGGAGCCGACCGACUCCAUGUCCAGCAGGCUCGCUGGAGACGUGAAGCUGGUCGAGGAGGCUGACGAGGCGGUUCUCGGGGUAGUCGGUGCCUGCGUCGGACGCAGGCUCGUCGGAGAUGCGAGUCUCGCCGAGCAGAUCGGCGAGGCAACUCGCUGCGCAGGCGUCGUCGACGCCUUGCAACGCGUCGAGGCAAACGCCAUCGGGCGCAGCAGGCUGGCUGCGCUCGCGGGGGAGGAAGAGGGUUCCCGUCCAGAACAGGUCUCCGGACAACGGUGCACCUGGCCCCACGGUGGGCGCCAAAUGUCGGGUGGUUGGUGCGACAUAUGCCAACGGAUGGCUUAUCAUUGUGGGUGCCAAUAAGACAUCGCCGGUGCCUGGAAACGGGAUGAGGCGAAGACAUGCACGCCGGCGGAUCUUACCCAGGUUCGGGGCUCUCCGAGGAGAUAACACCCCUAGUCCUGCUCUGCGGGGUCUCCGCAUGAUCACUAGAUCAAGGAAAGGUAGCUACAAUCGCUCCUGGAGCUGUUGGGUUCAAGGGAGAAGAAGAACAAGGCUAGCUCUUGCUUCUCUCUAUCUCUACGGUGUGUGUGUUGUGUUCAGAAGCUAACCCUUUGCAUGGGUGCUCCGGGGGGUUUAUAUAGGCCUACCCCCCGGGGGUACAAUGGUAAUCCGGCUGGGCACUGGUCCCAGCCGUCAGUGUCUACGCUCGCCGGCUUCUCCGCCGGCUGUUGGGUCCCGCCGACUGGUGGGUCCCGCCGGCUGCCGGCUUCUUGGUCGACAGGCCGGCCCCACCGCCUAGGGUCUUGUCGGCGGCUGCUUACUGUAGCCUCGCCUCUGAUGACGAGGGCUUUGUCGAGGUAAGCGUGGCUACAGUGGGCCGCCUCGGGGGCUCUCACUGUAGCCUUACCUCGUCUUGUCUCCUUAAUGGGGCUCCUGCUUCGAGGAAGGGGGUAGCCGGCUUCUGGGGGCCGGCUACACCCUCGGUCGACUGGGGGAGGCCGGGCCGCCUCCGCGCCUCUCUCUGGCGGAAGGGGCCCGGCGCCUGCGGGCCGUACAGGAGUCGGUCGUGGAUGACGUCGAGGCUGGCAUGGCUACAGUGACGAGCCGAACAGGAGACGGUCAUCUCGUACGGCCUCCUGUGGCCAUGCCUGCCUCGGGCCUCGGGGGUAGUGGGCCGCACUGUGGCCACACCCCGUCUUGUCACCGUUAUGUGGGUGUAGCUUUGGUGGUUGUGGUCUCGGUCGGCUUCUUGGAGUCGGCGUCCUUCUUGGCCGGCUUCUUGGAGUCGGCCACCCCGUAGUCGUCCUGGGGAGGGGUUGCUGAGGCUGGGUCGCCUUCCGGUAGUCGGCUUCAGAGGUAGCCGGCCAGGGGAGGCGGCCCAAUGCUUGGAGUGCUUGGAGGCCCGAAGGCCUGAUAAAUUCAACAACAGAACCAGGGGCAGUCGGCUAGGCUACCCGUGGCCAUUUACUCCGACACUCUCGGAGUUGGUUUAUCGAUUGCUAAGGCACGACGUCAUCGCACGUUCGUAGUCGGAUCGUCAAAGUCGACUUCCACCAAAGCGAUAUCCAUCAUCUCAGGAAAGACGGGACACCUUUGCCUCUAUCAGAAGCCUUGGACGAAAUAUACAAGAUGUGAUGAGGACAUCAAUACCAUUGUUACACCCACCGCCCCUGCUGCUAUACAUACUGGACCAAUUACUAGAGCUCGCGCAAACCAAUUAAAUUACCAGGUACUUUCGUUUCUUGGUAAUGAUUCUAAUGUUCAUGAGAAUAUGAUGCUGCCUAAAUUGAAUACAUUUGUUUUGCUUACAAAUGAAGGGCCUAGCUUUGAGAAGGAUGAACAUUGGAGCAAGAACAAGCAUGGAGAUGAUGGCAUGCGCAUGGGGGACAAGAACGGAGUUACAAGUGAUGAUUUCAGGACAUUGAAGCCACCAUAAUGCGUGCAUGAAGCCUUGGACGAAAUAUACAAGAUGCUACUUCAUAACUUUCGUCCAGAGGCUAUUCUAGGUGCUGCGUCACCUUAUUAUUGGGCCAGGCCCAUGUAAUUUCGAAAUACUUGAGUAUAGGCUAUUUUUAGAGUCCGUAUGUGUGGGGAAACAAGAGAUAGGGUUGGUUUCGGACCCCUUCCCCAAGGGCCACGAAAUUCCCCCCUCUUCCUCCAUAUAUGCAGCCCUUAGGGCGUCGUUUAGACUUUGGGUUUUGUUUAGAUUAAAAGUUCGCCAUAGCCGCAACUUCGCGUACUUCGUUUGUGUUCAAUGACUAGACAAAGGCGUCACAGAACCCCACCUUGAUCAAUAAAGCUUUCAUCUUAUAUUCGCAAUAUCCAGAUUGCAAUCUCAGUUUCUUGCUUGUUCUUCGUUUGCUCGCAGGAAACAGACCCUCGUGGUCAGGUUGAUCGUGCUCCGGCGUGGUCAAUAACCUCUCGGAGUUGGUUUAGCGAUUGCUAAGGCGCGACGUCAUCACACGUUCGUAGUCGGAUCGUCAAAGUCGACUUCCACCAAAGCGAUAUCCAUCAUCUCAUCGAAAGACGGGACACCUUCGCCUCUAUCAAGUGGUAUCAGAUUUCCAGGUUGCUCGGUGAGAUUUUACAGGUUUUCGUAGUUUAGAUCGAGUCUGUUCUUCAUACCUACAGUCCACGAAAAAGCCACACAAAAAAAUUAGGGUUAGUUCAUCAUAUCCGAACCAAUCUGAGCCUUUGCAUAAUCUUUUUAGGGUUUUUGCUUUGUUGAAUUUGCGGUUGCAUCGUUGUGUCAAGUUGCUGGUCUUAGAGUCUAGUCUUUUAGAGUUUCGAGUUCUGGUCAUAAGUUGUCACGCCGCCGCCGCACCAUCAUCAUCGCCUUGCCAUCUACCACCAUUGCUUAUCCGCCACCGCUUUGAAUCCGUAUCCAUAUACCACCACCAAUCCGUAUCCAUAUACCACCACCGAUCCGUAUCCAUAUACCACCACCGCUACCAUAUACCACCACCGCUGCCAUAUCCUACCAUCAUAUAUCCACAACCAAUCCGAGUUCUUUUCAUAUUCGGUUUGUUUUAGAGAUCCAUCUAUUUUCCGUUUCGUGUUUCCUUGCCUGAGUAGGUCUCAGAAAAAAAAGUCUGGAGACCCCCGGGCAGUUUUUAGGCCAAAAUUUCGGCGACCAAAAAUAUUUUUUCCCUAUCCUAUUUUUAGUUCCCGGGGAGUGUUUUGAGACACUCGCCAUCAUAGUGAUUUUUUGUCGCACUUUUUCGUCAUCGCUGCCCUGAUUUCCGAAAAAAAUAGUCAAAAAAUUUUGUGCCUAUCCUGUCAGUUUGACCUGGGAAGAGUUUUGAGACACUCGUCAUUAUAGUGAUUUUUCGCAAAAAAAAAGAGGACAAAAAAAAAAGAGCGCGAAAAAAAGAGGAAAAAAAAUUCCACAGUGUGCUUUUCCCUUGUUUACGUGCAGCGCCGUGAUUUUGUUAGUGUUCUAGGCUCGCGUCUCUAGCACGGUCUAGCCUAGGACCAGCACAGUACCGUCGUUGAGCGUUUAUUCAACUUUGCAUCUCUGAAUUGAUUAUUGCUGACCAUUCUUGCUACCAUAUUAUAAGCCUUCCCAGCUCCACAUACAUCUACAUCGUGCGUUUGACUCUCCCUGGUAAUCGCUCUAUCCAAGCUUUGAGAGUUUUGACUACAACGGUUGCCGAUCACCACCUGCUGUUGGGUAAGAACUGGUAAGAAUUUGAGAUUCGCUUGAAGGAUUUGUGACACACCACCAUCACCACCACUUCCUAGUAGUCUGUAGGAUCACAUUCUUUUGUGUUUCUAUUGCUGCUAACCAUGGCAGGAUCACAAGCCGAUGAGACUGAUUGGGAGAAGAUGACGAACAAGGAGUUGCAUGAUAAAUUUCAGCAAAUGAUGAGUGGCCAGGUGGGAGAUGUGCUAAACAGAUUUGAAGAGGCUAUGGAGAAGAUAGAUGCCGUGGAGAAGUCGUUCGAGACAAAGCUGGAUAACAAGUUUACUGAAUUACUCAAGCGUCUUCCCCACCACCACCGGCUGCAUAUGUCGCACCUCUACAACAACAACAACCACAUCUCCAACGCCGCCUUCCAAAUCAAGUGGGACGAGCACAGCGCGUUCCAAUUGAGACUGGUCAAAAUUCGGGUGCCGUUGCACCUACUGUUGAUGCUUCUUUGGCUCCUGCUACUGCGGCGGCUGAGGAGGAUGACGAUUAUGCGGGCAAUUAUGAGGAUGAGGUUGAUCAAAAUCAGAGCUACGUGCAGCCACCAGCACCACCACCAGCAGGUUGACCUCAGGUAUAUAUUCGCAACGGUAGGCCGGCACCACCACCUCAAGUACGAGAUCAUGACCAUUUCCCUAAACUGAAAUUGAAUAUUCCACCAUUUGAGGGUAGAUAUGUUCCUGAUAUAUAUCUUACUUGGGAGUUAGAAACUGAACAACGAUUUACAUGUUUACAAUAUCCUGAGGAGAGACGUGUUCUUGCUGCUGUUUGUGCUUUCACUAGCUUUGCAUGUGUUUGGUGGUCUGAACAUUGUAGAUCCUGUUCCAGCUACUUGGGCUGCUUUGAAAACUGCUAUGCGUACUCGUUGGGUUCCACCAUAUUAUCAACGUGAAUUACUUCAAAAAUUGCAGCGCUUAAGACAAGGGAAAAAAUUUGUAGAAGAAUAUUAUCAGGAAUUACAAACUGGCAUGAUUAGAUGUGGUAUUGUUGAGGAGAAUGAAGCUAUGCUUGCACGUUUUAUGGGUGGAUUAAAUAAAGAGAUUCAGACCAUUCUAGAGUAUAAGGAUUAUAAUAAUAUCACUCGUUUAUUCCAUCUUGCUUGUAAAGCUGAACGUGAAGUGCAGGAUCGACAGCCAUUGGCGCGAACAAACUUUUCUGCAGGUCGACCUUCAUCAUGGACACCGCGUGCAUCUUCUACUUCCACUGCACCAGCACCUCCAUCAGGUUCCACCUCCAGCCGUGAUACAAGAAAGCAGGCACAACCACCACUAUCUGCCAAGAGCGCACCUGCCGGGCCUACACAGAGCUCUUCUUCUUCCAUGGCAUCGACAGGGCACACAAGUGAUAUUAUUUGUCGUCGUUGUAAGGGAAGAGGACAUUAUGCGAGAGAAUGCAAAUCUCAGCGUGUGAUGAUUGCUACUGAGGAUGGUGGGUAUGAGUCCGCUAGUGACUAUGAUGAGGAGACUUUGGCUCUUAUUACACGUGAAGAACAUGGUGGAGAUGAUUCUGAAAAUGAGACGUAAUACAUGGCUCCUGAAGACGCUGACAGGUAUGAAUGUUUAGUUGCUCAACGUGUUUUGAGUGUGCAGGUCACACAAGCAGAGCAAAAUCAGAGGCAUAAUUUGUUCCAUACAAAGGGAGUUGUGAAGGAACGUUCUGUUCGCGUCAUCAUAGAUGGAGGGAGCUGUAACAACUUGGCUAGCAUGGAGAUGGUGGAGAAACUAUCUCUCACCACAAGACCACAUCCACAUCCUUACUACAUCCAAUGGUUCAACAGCAGCGGCAAGGUUAAGGUAACACGUACUGUUCGUGUGCAUUUUAGUAUCUCUACAUAUGCUGAUUAUGUUGAUUGUGAUGUGGUACCCAUGCAAGCAUGUUCCUUAUUACUUGGUAGACCAUGGCAAUUUGAUAAAAAUUCUGUACACCAUGGUAGAAACAAUCAGUAUACUCUUGUUCAUAAGGAUAAAAAUAUUACUUUGCUUCCUAUGACUCCUGAUUCCAUUUUGAAAGAUGACAUUAAUAGAGCUAAUAAAGCAAAACAGGAGAAAAAUAAGAGUGAAAAUCAGAUUGUGGCAAAAGAAUUUGAGCAACAAAUGAAACCUAAUAAUAAACCAUCUAGUGUUGUUUCUGAAAUUAAAUUGAAAAGUGCAUGUUUACUUGCCACAAAAUCUGAUAUUGAUGAGCUAGAUUUCAACAAAUCUGUUUGCUAUGCUUUUGUGUGCAAAGAGGCAUUAUUUUCAUUCGAGGACGUGCCUUCCUCUUUGUGAUAGAGGCAAAGGUGUCCCGUCUUUCGAUGAGAUGAUGAAUAUCGCUUUGAUGGAAGUCGACUUUGACGAUCCGACUACGAACGUGCGAGGACGCCGAACCAACUCCGAGAGGUUAUCGACCACGCCGGAGCACGAUCAACCUGACCACGAGGGUCUGUUUCCUGCGAGCAAACGAAGAACAGGCAAGAAACUGAGAUUGCAAUCUGGAUAUUGCGAAUAUAAGAUGAAAGCUUUAUUGAUCAAGGUGGGGUUCUGUGACGCCUUUGUCUGGUCGCUGAACACAAACGAAGUACGCGAAGUUGCAGCUAUGGCGAACUUUUAAUCUAAACAAAACCCAAAGUCUAAACGACGCCCUAAGGGCUGUAUAUAUGGAGGAAGAGGGGGGGAAUUUCGUGGCCCUUGAGGAAGGGGUCCGAAACCAACCCUAUCUCUUGUUUCCCCACACAUACGGACUCUAAAAACAGCCUAUACUUAUGUAUUUCGAAAUUACAUGGGCCUGGCCCAAUAAUAAGGUGACGCAGCACCUAGAAUAGCCUCUGGACGAAAGUUAUGAAGUAGCAUCUUGUAUAUUUCGUCCAAGGCUUCAUGCACGCAUUAUGGUGGCUUCAACGUCCUGAAAUCAUCACUUGUAACUCCGUUCUUGUUCCCCAUGCGCAUGCCAUCAUCUCCAUGCUUGUUCUUGCUCCAAUGUUCAUCCUUCUCAAAGCUAGGCCCUUCAUUUGUAAGCAAAACAAAUGUAUCCAAUUUAGGCAGCAUCAUAUUCUCAUGAACAUUAGAAUCAUUAGCAAGAAACGAAAGUACCUGGUAAUUUAAUUGGCGUGCGCGAGCUCUAGUAAGUGGUCCAGUAUGUAUAGCAGCAGGGACUGUGGGUGUAAUAAUUGUAUUGAUGUCCUCAUCACUUUGCCCCCUGCUGUCACUAACAUUUUGCAGGAGUUCGCUGACGUCUUCCCACAAGACGUGCCACCAGGAUUACCACCUAUUCGAGGGAUUGAGCAUCAAAUUGAUUUAAUUCCCGGUGCAUCGCUACCCAACCGUUCAUCAUACCGUACCAAUCCAGAGGAGACGAAGGAGAUUAUGCGUCAAGUACAGGAGCUGCUCGACAAAGGUUAUAUACGCAAAUCUCUUAGUCCUUGUGCUGUUCCUACUAUACUAGUGCCUAAAAAGGAUGGUACGUCAUGUAUGUGUGUUGAUUGUAGAGGCAUUAAUAAUAUUACUAUUCGUUAUCGUCAUCCUAUUCCUAGGCUAGAUGAUAUGCUUGAGGAAUUGAGUGGCUCUACAAUAUUCUCUAAAGUUGAUUUGCGUAGUGGAUACCAUCAAAUUCGUAUGAAAUUGGGAGAUGAAUGGAAAACUGCAUUUAAAACUAAGUUUGGUUUAUAUGAGUGGUUAGUCAUGCCUUUUGGGUUAACUAAUGCACCUAGUACUUUCAUGAGACUAAUGAACGAAGUUUUACGUGCUUUCAUUGGACGAUUUGCGGUAGUCUAUUUUGAUGAUAUACUGAUUUAUAGCAAAUCUUUGGAAGAACAUUUGGAACAUUUACGUGCUGUUUUUAUUGCUCUACGUGAUGCACGUUUGUUUGGUAACCUUGGGAAGUGCACCUUUUGCACCGACCGAGUAUCUUUUCUUGGCUAUGUUGUUACUCCACAGGGAAUUGAAGUUGAUAAAGCCAAGAUUGAAGCUAUUGAGAGUUGGCCGCAGUCCAAAACGGUCACACAAGUGCGGAGUUUUCUUGGACUCGCUGGUUUCUAUAGGCGUUUUGUGAGAGAUUUUAGCACCAUUGCUGCACCUCUCAACGAGCUUACAAAGAAGGAUGUGCCUUUUGUUUGGGGUACCGCACAGGAAGAAGCCUUCACGGUAUUGAAAGAUAAGUUGACACAUGCUCCUUUACUCAGGAAGUUGGAGUAAAGCUCAUUGAGAGGUGCAGCAAUGGUGCUAAAAUCUCUCACAAAACGCCUAUUAAAACCAGCGAGGCCAAGAAAACUCCUCACUUGUGUGACCUUUUUGGGCUGCGGCCAACUCUCAAUAGCUUCAAUCUUGGCUUUAUCAACUUCAAUUCCCUGUGGAGUAACAACAUAGCCAAGAAAAGAUACUCGAUCGGUGCAAAAGGUGCACUUCCCAAGGUUACCAAACAAACGUGCAUCACGUAGAGCAAAAAAACAGCACGUAAAUGUUCCAAAUGUUCCUCCAAAGAUCUGCUAUAAAUCAGUAUAUCAUCAAAAUAGACUACCACAAAUCGUCCAAUGAAAGCACGUAAAACUUCGUUCAUUAAUCGCAUGAAAGUACUAGGUGCAUUAGUUAACCCAAAAGGCAUGACUAACCACUCAUAUAAUCCAAACUUAGUUUUAAAUGUUGGUUUCCAUUCAUCCCCCAGUUUCAUACGGAUUUGAUGGUAUCCACUACGCAAAUCAACUUUGGAGAAUAUUUAGAGCCACUCAAUUCAUCAAGCAUAUCAUCUAGCCUAGGAAUAGGAUGACGAUAACGAAUAGUAAUAUUAUUAAUGCCUCUACAAUCAACACACAUACGCGAUGUACCAUCCUUUUUCGGCACUAGAAUAAUAGGCACAGCACAGGGGCUAAGGGAUUCACGUAUAUAACCUUUGUCGAG
rnacentral:lncRNA from 1 species